CAAGACAAUCAAAUUAUAUCCAUUCAAAAAAUAGCAAUUGUUCACAUGACAAUACAGAGUUCCAACAAUCUAGUCUGAUUCCAAAAAACAAAUCUUAAUAUCAAAACAUCAGAAGCAUAUCUAGAAAGCGAUAUAAGCAUUUUUUUUAUAUUUCAAGUAACAUAACUUCCAAGAAAAAGAUGCACUAUUAGCUGAUUUUUAAUAUCCAACACUACACCACCGCUUCCCGACGGCUAUUCAAAGCACUUCAAUCUCCAAACUGCCAAACCUGCAUAGAAUCCAAAACAUACAUAAUUAUAACAAGUUAUAACAGCCAGCUCCCAAAUGAAUCUAGAGAGUAAUAAUAUUAGUUGAUUUUCCAAGCAAUCAUUCAAUAGACACAACACUACUAUAUUAAGGUACCAUGAAAAUGUGGACAACACACGCUAAAAAAUAGCAUACUAGUUACAAGUUAAAAAAUUGUUCUAUAAAUGUGACAUUUUAUCGUCCAAACAUAGAAAGGUCAGAAUCAUUUUAAAACAAAGGGUGGACAGAUCAUUUCAUAUUUGCAAAGUACAACAACAAAAUCAAAUUUAUAUGCAUGUGACAUGGCUUGGUGUAUCAAAAUGGACGAUUCCGUACAAUACAAUGUAGUUCUUAGUUAACAAAACAUAAAAGUAGUAAUACUAGAGGCAUACUUUCUUCAUCAAUUAUAGCUAAUUUCUAUCAAUAAACUUGCCUUUUGCAUGUAAAAAAAUUAGUCAAAGGCAAGGCCAUUUCGGGCAAUAGAAUGAUCCACUUAAUUAGUGAUCUUAUUAUGCUAACAGUACAAUUCUUUACAAAGACGGAACAUUUCUGAGGAUCAGAAAACUUUAGCUAAGAACUUUAGAAUAAAGAUGAACAUAAUGGUUCAGAUUUAGUCUGAUGCUUUUAGACCAUAACCUUAUCAUCUAGACUAACCACACCUGAGAAUUAUGAACAACAGUAACAUAUGUUGGAAGGAAGAAAAAAGCAUACAUUCUCCCAUUUACUGAUUAGCUUUCAUAGCAUACAAGGUACAUAAUUAUUUCUUCCCACGCUUCAAUAUGUGAUAGGAUACAAGGCACACAAUUAUCUCUGCCCACAUGAAAAUGUAUGAAGUAAAUAAUUCAAGGGAAUAUACCUAGAUCUUUUUUUCUCCAGUUCUGGUUGUAUACAUAACAUUUUAGUUUAAUUUAGCACAUCAUUCAUUAGUUAUUCUUUCCAUCAAGCUUUCACCAAUGACGUGGUGUGAAUAAUACCAAGAAAUAGAGAAUAUGCUAGUAAUAACACUAAAAUUUUGAGACUGAACAAAUGCACUAUGUAGCAAAUCGAACACUCCUAAAUCUGAAGCGAGAAUAAUAUACCAUCUUUUAGUAGUCUUAAAGAAAAAUGUGUAAUCUUCAUUUCCAUCGGUCCUUGAGAUUGGAACUAUGCACACGCAUUUCCAGAAAAACAAUAGUAUAAAAUCCAUCACCUCUGCUGUAACAAGCGAAAACAACUCAGCAUCAAUUAAACUAUUAGCUUGCAAACCCAAAGAGGAAGGGAAACAGAAGGAUUGUUUAUACAGCUAUAUUAAGAAGUCAGGUAAUAUUUAAAUUGAAUAAGACAUCAACGCAGUAAUGAAGUUCAUUUCAAGGGUUUCACUUUGUGUCACCUAUUUGAUCAAAGCAGAACCUAUCAGACAAAGAUUAGUAUGCUAGAGAAACAAUGAGUACAGCAUGAUGAAGAUGUACUCUCAUCAAUGUUAGGAAGUGAAAUGCAAAGUAACAACUCCAGUGUUUGCAUAGAACACACCAGUCUUGCAUCCACAUUGUUUGCAACCAUAUUAAUACAAAACUUAAAGAUUCAAUCAGAAAGCAGAAGAAUAAGGGAGGAAUAACCCACUAUCCCAGUGACAGCAAACAGCAAAGCGUAACAAACAGAGGAAGAAAUCAAUCUAAUCGCCCUGGUCGCGUAGGCCAGCCAAUGGACAGAUGUGUAGUGCAAGAUAUUACUGUGAUUACUUUGAACAAACGUGCAGUGCAACAUCGAUGUCACAACAUCCAUCAGUUUUACUUGUUGCUCUUUAGGGGCGUGUGGCUUUCUGGCUACAACAUCAACAGCAGCAGCAUGACAGGGGGUCAAAAAAAACUCGACCUUGGGAGGCAAGAGUGCGAGGCCAAGCAGGCGGUGGUGUGCGGUUUUUCUUCUUUUCGUUUGUUUUCAGGCAGGAGGGCAACCCGUUUAUCCAAUCUGUAGGAGACUACAAUCAACUUGGAACUCAAUUACUGAAUUAAUUGAAGAUCGUGAAGAACCUGCAGGUUUAAUUCCCAUUAUUGGAUUUCUUGCAUUGUCGUACUACAUCCAACAACAUUUCAACCUAGUGAAGAUUGAAGUUGCAGCAUUGGAAACCCCACAGCCAACGUCCAGUAACGGGAUACAAACAAAAGUCUAAAACUGUACCCCAAAAAUACAUCUAGAACUCAAGUACAAGCAAGCCAUUUGCCGAGAUGCACUCACCAUCUAAUGAAAUCAAUGCGGCCGGUGCCGUCCGCUCCACCUUGCAAUAUUGCCAAGUCUCAUGCUAGUGAUGAAAUUGGCUUGACCUUUCUUCCCAGUUCUAAUGUACAAACUUCCAUAACGUGCAGAUUUGUUUCAAAUGCAUGCUAUUAUAUAAUCUAUCAAGUAGACAACAAAAAAGCCAUUAGGACGAUAAUAAAUAUGUAUAUAUAACAUUAAAAUCUGCAACACCUGACGAAUUUUAUUUGAUAUCUAAAGUGGAAGUAUGGAUCUGAAGUACAUACAGAACCAUAGUUUUUUGAGAAAUAUACAAUACCAUAGUUAAUACACUGGAGGCAGGAGCAGAUACCAAAAUACAGUCGUUUCAUCAAACAAAUAAGGACAAGUAAAAUAGGGUGUUAUGGUCCAGUAUACAACCUUGCCAUGUCAACAAAUAUUACAGCCAACUAUGGUUCACGGACCACUAUGCACACCAAGACAAUUGAACUCUGACACCGGCAUGGUCAAUCACAUUUUACAUAAAAUAUUCAGGUAAUUAACAAGCAUAACAUUUCACAGCAACAUUCCGUAUUACUCGUAAAGGCAAAAGAACAGAAGAAGUGUAUAUACCAAACAAUAUUCAUGCAUAUUGAGAUGGUUCCAUCCAAGGCAAUCGAAGCUAACAGGAAAAUAAAAAGAUGCAUGUGUACACGCAACAACAAUCUGAGAUGAUGAAACAAACCUGCAGAGCUGACCAUCCCCAUGAGAAUAAACUGCAGAUCCCCCGACCCAAAUAAGGAGUGUAAGAACUCAAUCCCGAAGAACAAAAUAGCUGAGGAGAAGAGUGUGGGGGUUGGAGAUUCCUCACUCACAUUGGCUCUCAGCCGGAUGGAUCUGGAUCUGUGCCCGCCGCCGGAUGGACCUGGAUCCAUACCCGCAGCUGGAUGGAGCUGGAUCCGUGCCCGCCGCUGAUGACCACGGGGACUUGAUCCGGCAUGCCGUCCUGCCGCCACCGCUGCCGUCUCAGCUCGAAGUGUAGCACUGGGCCGCCGUAUCUCGAGGCCGCGAUCUGAAUGGGGAGGGGCAUGGCAUGGGGUAGACAGGGAGGGGUCUGGAGCGGGAUAGAUGAGGAGAGACCUGGCGGGGGGUGGUUUAGUGUCGGCGCCGCCGGUGCCGACAUAGAGCGACGCGAGGAUAGGUGGCGGCGGCUGAUGGUUGGUAUGGGAGGAGAUGGGGGAAGGGGAAGGGGAAGGGGAAUUAGGGUUAAAAAUGGGAAGCCUCGAAAAUUUUGACUCCCCACGUUGGGGACUUAAAACUUUGUUUCUCUCGCGCGCUAUGGUAGUUUUUUUGUCUCCAUAUAUUAUUACAUCCGACUGACAUGUGGGACAAAUAAAGAGCAUGCCACGAUACAUCGGUAGGAGCCCCAUCCAUGACGGUCCAAUGGUGUAUUCAUAAAGGAAAAAAGUAGGUCUGAGUAGUCCCGCUUAGUCAAUUCAUGACGGUUUCCAUGACAGUCCCUCGAUGUCCGUCAUGAAGGGGCUAUCAUUUUGUAGCCCAUUCACAUCUUCCUGAUCUGUGCCGGUUUCCGUGACAGUUUAUAGGAAUGUCAUCAUAAAUCCGUCAUGGAUUAACAGAUUUCUUGUAGUGAAGGUUGUUUGCUGUGGUCUCAUUGUGCAUAAUAGGGCCAGCCAUUAUAGCUCGUAUUGGGGAAGAGGUUGUGCUGUGCUGGGUUGAGGCUAGCGUGUCCUUUUUAUAGAAAAAGGGUACGGAGUCUUCCUUCACACGCUUGCGAAUGAGACAAUUUAGGUGUUGAUCACUGGCGCGUGAUCGACAAGCUAGGCUGAUAGGUUGGGCACCGACUGCCGAAAGGUGUCGGGGUCACUAUGUGGCUAUCUUACACGAGAAGCUUAGCCGGGGUUAGGUUAAGGUCUGGUGGAUUGGUUAAUCUAGGUUUAUUGACCUGGCUAAGAUAGGAUUAACCAAUGAUCAGCCUAGCUCUGAUACCAAGGUUGUCAGGACCGUAUUUUCAGGGUAUUAAUUUCCAAGAAAAUGGCCCUUGUGCUCACCAGCCCCAGGAUUACUGUUAACUGAUGAGACACCAACUCGAUACAGAAACUCCAAGCAAAAAAACAUAAUAUGUAGUACAAGACCAUUCUAGCCUAUGAGUACAACACAAGGUUUCUGGUGGCUGAUGGCGGAAGCGGUUUGUGGUUUAUCAGCGUCUAUGGGACUCCAUCUCCCACAGGAAUAGCUGACCAGGAUAACUCCUAUCUUCGCAAGGCUGCUAUCAUCUUUACAUAGGCUCCGGGGCUGUCAUCGCAACACUUCUCUCCGUGCAAGAAAUCUGGCCAAGACAAUAGCCAGGGACAAGCAAUGAGUACUUUUGAAUGUACUCACAAACAUUAUGAACACAUGUAUAAUAUAAUGAAUGAUAAUCAUGUUCUAAAAUACUUCAUGAUCACACGUCAGUCAUAAAAAAAUCCAUGAUGCAUGCAAGCAGGUUAUUCAUAUACAACAUGAAUAUGCAAUAAGGGAGUAGGAAUAGAAUGCACCGAUCGGGUGUCUGAAGCGACGCCUCGAAAGGAUAAUAAUAUAAAGCAUGCCACAGUCGGGCGUCUGAGCGACACCACAUAAAGGGCUUAUAAAUAAUUUAAAUGACAAGCAUGCCACAGUCGGGCGUCUGAGCAACACCACAUAAAGGGCUUAUAAAUAAAUAAUCACAGUGAAUAUCCAGUAGGUAGAACCAUCCCAGGGAUACUCAAUAAUUCAAAUAAUGUAAAUGGUUAGUCCACAAUAAUAAUAAUCAUAAUCAUCAUAUGUCACAGGUCAUAAUCAAUGCUCUGGUUUAGCAGUUUUUCCUCCGAAGACCGACACUAAGACCGACACUUGACCCAUCCCAGACUAUAGUCCUUAACCAUGGACACGGCUAUUCAAAUAUAUAUAAUAUUUGCAGAGGGUGUACUCUUUACUCACGAGUAACGGAUUCCAUUCGUCCAUCGGGACUAAUUCCGUGUAUGGUCUUUUAAUUGAAAACACACCUGACCGCACACACCAGCCUGACUUACCGGUGUCUGGAAUCACCCACGACACUCGUUAAGCAAAACUCUAUGUGGGGAGGCUACAACCUCGAUUAGCAUGGGAUCACAAAAUUUAUAACGCGCGCAAACUAGGGAAGCUACCCCCUCGGCUACAAUCGGAAACACCCAUGCCCCUGGACCAGGUGGCAUGCCUACCGGAUGCAGCCAGUAUCUUCCACCAUGGCCUCUAUAUACGGUGUAUGCUAAGAAAGGGGUUGACAACUUACUGAACCGUACCCUACCUACGGCGGGGACAAGUGGUAGUACGAAACAAGCAUGGGGGUUACUGGAACAAGACUCGAUCUAUGGUCGACUCAGGAGGUUAAAGUAUUUCCUGCAUAAUUAGCAUAACAAAUAUGUUUCAACCAACAGACAGAAUCACCACUCCGCAUACCUCACUUAUGUUAUAACGGACACAACCGUCUCGAUGAAGACUGGAGACAAGCUCGUGUCUACCAAGACAGAGGCUUUCCCGGAUUCAUUCCAAUAAGCAUGAAAGGUAUACAAGGGUAAUUUCUAUCACAAGCAUAUCAAGUCCCAACAGCAAGGAACAUUCAUUAUGCACUCACGAGUAUGAUCAUAUCAUCACAUAAAAUAACAAAUUCUCGUGUUAAGGUGGUGUUGUAACCAUAUCACACAACAAUAUUAUGCCAGGGUUCAGAAAUGCUUGCCUUCAAGUUGUGGAGAGCCAGGGUGCAUUCCAAAACUUUUGAAAGUUUUCUUCUCUCUCCAUUAUCCUAUUUAAAUAUUUUUUUGAAUUCAACACAUAGUUUCAAAACAGUACAAAAAAGUUGUUUGGAAAAUUUUCAAAUAAAUAUGUAAAUAAACUAGACAAAAUUUGUGAAACCACAAUAAAAGAAUCAAAUCAUUUGGACCUAUAUUUAAAAAGAUAUAGCCAGUCAAAGUUUAGUCAAAAUCUGUUUUUAAUAAUUAAAUAAAAGAAUCAGAAAAAGAAAAAAAAGGUUCGAGGGGGAAAGCGUACUCUGCGCUUUAUGCUUCCACUUAUGCCAGCGUGGACCGGCGCGUGGGUCAGUGACAGUGGGUCCCUUGGGCCCACUGGUCAGGUUUGACCAGUCGCCCGCCUCCUUCCUCCUCUGUCCGAGCGGAGGCGGAGCUCCGGCGAUCACCGCUGGAGAACAGCGGCUCCCCGCGGGGUUCCAAGGGCAGGGAUGGAUCCUCCAGUCCAGGGCGGUCCUCCGAGUGGUCGAGAGGGUGGCGGGGACGAAGGGAGUCGCCGGUGGCGAGCUUUGCGGCGGACGGAAACUUCUGACGGGUUGGGGUCUUGGGCUAUGAUGGCUCCCGAUCAAAGCUGAGUGGCUGGGCAGCUCCGCACGGCUGAGGGAAGGAGGAUGGAAGCACUGGAUGGACGGGGGGCUUUGGAGGAAUGGCUUGAGGUCGCUUGAGGUCUGGACGGGCUCGGGGGCUUCUUUUAUAGCGUAUCUAAGUCGGUUCUGUCACAUCCCUAGCUUCUAGUAAUGCUCUAGGCUAGCUUCAUGUGUGCAUCAUGUUUAAAUUUCAUUUAAAUUUGAAAUGAGGAUUGGUGGAACCCUCAGAAUCAUGUUGAAAAUGACCCAAAUAAAAAAAAUUCCCCAAAAGGGUCCAAGAAAAUGCUCAUGUUGCCCUCUGAAAAUAUUGGACAGAGAUAAAAAUCAAAACAAUAUUUUUAGGAGCUCAUGGACAUUUAAUUUGGCCAUUUGGAUUAAUUCGAUAAAUAUUUGCAUUGGAAAGAUAUUUCUAUAUAUAUGAAAUAUGGUCCAAAAAUUAUGCCAAUUAUAAAAGAGCUCUGGAAUAAUACCAUUAGCCCCUACAAAAAUUGGCAUAAUAAAAUUAAAUGAUUUAAUAUAUCUGUUAAAUCAAACAAAUGUCAGAAAAAUAGAAAACAGAGGUAAAAUAGGAAAAACAGAGAGAGGGAGGGAAACAUUACCUGCAGCCCACCUGGGCCACUUACCUGUAGCUGGCCUAGCUCCUCCCGCUGGCCCAGCCCACCUCCUCCCCUUUGUCUUCUUCCUCCCCUCGCACCGAAGCAGCUCGGUGGCGAGCGCCGAUGCCGCCUCGGCCACCUCCUGCCUCCCUGCUUGCCUCCGCUACUCCCUGGAGACGCCACGCGGCUCCCUCAGGCCUCUCUCAACUCCCUCCCGUGCUCAUCCCCUUCUCCUGCUCUCCCUCUCGCUCCGCACCUCGGACCCGAAUGGAGCCGUCGCCACCGACGCCGUUCGCCGCGGCCACCAUCCCCCUCUCGCCUCCCCGACGCCUCCCAGAGCUCCGCAGUGCCUCCCUCGACCUCCUCGACGUCUCACGCGACCAGAAGGGCCCCGAGCAGCCGCCAUCGUCAUCAUCCCCAAGCUUCGGCCCCGGCGCCGUUCUCCGUCGAAUUCGGCCACUCCGGCGCGCCCCCGAGCUCGCUGACCCUCCCUGCGCGAUCCCCGUGAGUCCCUGCUCUGUUUCCCCCUAACCCCAAGUUCGAUUUCGAGCUCUAGCCGCCCCCUCUACCGGAGCCGAGACGCUCCGCCGCACGGACUCGUCGCCGGCGAAGCCCCGGUGACCAAACGGCCCCGCGCGUGCGUCCGUUGCACUCGCAACGACCCGUGGAGCAACGCUAGCGUGGCAGCUAGCUUGUUUGCAAGCCACAGCACUAACCCCGCACCCACCCGAGCUCCGGCCGCCGCCUCGGGCUCCACUCCGGCGGACUCCGUCCACCCCCGCACCUCCCGUUGGCCCCCCUAGGUGCGCACGGGCACGGGCUACCUUCUGGUGCCCUUCGCGCGUCCAGCCGUCGCCCGUAGCGCAACCCCGGUGAACUUCCGCCGCGUUCCGGGUCGCCGCCGGCCGAACUCCGGUGGCCAGUGACGUGGCUGGCUUAAUUAGCCACUAAUCACCGCUUUGUGACACUGACAGCAGGGCCCCACCUGCUAAUUAAUCAUAGAUUAGUUUCUGUUUAGUUUUUAACUAAUCCAGUGGCCCCACCCGUCAGCAUUGACUCUGCUGACGUGGCCUUUGACCCGGCCCCACCUGCCAUUGACACUAAACAGCCCUGGGUCACUGACCAGUGGACCCCACUGGUCAGGUUUGACCUGGAGGCGCCCUGUUGACCUGCUCACGUCAAGGUGAUGACAUGCUGACGCCAUAAUUCAUUUUCUGGAAUUAUUUUAAUUCUAAAUAAUCAGAAAAUUCCAGAAAAUAGCUAAAACUUCAAUAAAUCAUAGAAAAUUAACCGUAACUCCAAAUGAAAUAAAUUAUAUAUGAAAAAUUAUCAGAAAAAUUCAAGGAAUCCAUCUGUACCAUUUUCAUGCAUGUUAGAACAACUUAUAGCUGCUGUUUAGCACAAAUCAAUUAAAGGGCAUUUAAAUAAUCACAUAUGGAGUUUGAAUUUGAAUCUUGUAUUCAAACCAACUUCAUUUAACUUGUUGCUAGAUGCAUUAGCCCAAAACACAUUCAUUUUGCUAUGUCAUGAUCAUGCAUCAUAUUGUGCAUUGCAUUGAUUGUGUUUCCUUCUGUGUUGCCGGUAUUUGUCCCCUCUCGAUAGACGUGAUACCGAGGAUGUGAUCGUUGACACUGAUGAAGACUCAAUGUUAUCUUCAGAAGUGCCAGGCAAGCAAAACCCCCUUGUUCAUUCCGAUAAAAUCCCACUCUCUCGCUCCAGCUCUCUUUUACUGCAUUAGGACAACAACGACAUAUUUGAUACUUGCUGCGGUAGCUGAACCCCUUUAUCCUUUGCAUGACCUGUCAUUGCCACAGUAAAUAGAUGAAACCCACUAGCAUGAGUAGGAGUUGUUUGAGCCCUGAUGUGCCUACUCAUUCAUGCUUGUUUGUCAUGCCUGCUACUGCUUAGAGUUGAGUCAGGUCUGAUUCAUUGGGGAUGAAUCAGAGGCGUGUGAACAUGUCCUACUGUGUGUGAGCUAAGUGUGUGAACACGAUUUGGUAAAGGUAGCGGUGAGAGGCCAUGUAGGAGUACAUGGUGGGUUGUCUCAUUGCAGCCGUCCUCAGGAACUGAGUUCUGUGUUUGUGAUCCAUGACCAGCUACUACCACACAUUGGAAUGCUUAAGUGCCCCUCUCGACUUAUUAAUCAACAUGAUCUCUGUCCAGGAGUUGCAACUAGUUUCUGGUGUUUGUAGGUAGUGUUAGUAGUCUACCAGGUGGCACCCGGUACAGGUGGGCUUGGGACAGACUAGGCACAGUGGCACGGUGUACCAAGUGGCACCCGGUUGGUGGGCUUGGGAACCCUGCACACAUCGUUUGGGGCCGUGAGCGACACCCCGGCCGGAUCUCCUUGCGGAUGGAACCCGAAUAGGCGAUAAACCUGGACUAGAGACUUGUUCGGUUAGUCAGGUCGUGGCCGACUCCCUCGCCUGGCUUCCGCUUGAAGGUUGCCGAGGUACAUGACGUGUACAGGGCGAUAAGUGGCGAAAGCGUGUGUGAAGAAGUACACCCCUGCAGGGUUAACAUCAUCUAUUCGAAUGGCCGGAUUCCUCGGAUAUGGAAACGUGGACCCCUUGUACAGUUCAUAGACAAGUGAAAGUGGAUACUCUAAAAUACGCAAGAUAAGCGUGAGUGCUAUGGAUGGCGUUCUCGUAGGGAGACGGGAGCGGAUCCAUAGUGGUGUAUUGAUAUGGUGAAUAUGUGGACUCGUGUGCGCCACCUCAAAGAGUUACUUGCAGUCGUAGUUCAGGAUAGCCACCGAGUCAAAGCUGGCUUGCUGCAGUUAAACUCCACCAUCCCCUUUGUUGAUAAUGAGGCAUAUGUAGAUAGAUCUGAUGUAAGUCUUGCUGGGUACAUUUGUACUCACGUUUGCCCAUUUUAUGUUUUGCAGAGAGACUUCAGUCUCACUAGUAGUUCCGCGUGGACUUCGACGUUUAGCUUGAUACCUCAGCUACGAUCUUGUGCCCUCGGCAGGAUCUGAUAAAUAGUCAGGCUUCUCAGCCCUUUUCAUUUAUAGAUGUCUGUACUCAGACAUGAUAGCUUCCGCUUGUGCUUUGACUUGUAUGUUCUGAUUGUUGGGUCAUGAGACCCCUGUUUGUAAUAUCUCGCUCCUUGGAGCCUAUUGAUUAAAAUAUUUGAGUCGUAGAGUCAUGUUGUGAUGCCAUGUUGUAGUUGCACAUAUCGAGCAUAUUGUGUGUAUGUUAUUGAAAUGCUUGGUAUGUGUGGGAUCUGACAACCUAGUUGUUUAUCCUUGGUAGCCUCUCUUACCGGGAAAUGUCUCCUAGUGUUUCCACCGAGCCAUGGUAGCUUGCUACUGCUCCGGAACACUUAGGCUGGCCGGCAUGUGUCCUUCUUCGUUCCUGUGUCUGUCCCUUCGGGGAAAUGUCACGCGACGAAUACCGGAGUCCUGUUAGCCCGCUACAGCCCGGUUUACCGGAGUCCUGCUAGCCCAGUGCUACAGCCUGGAUUCACUCGCUGAUGACCGACACGUUCGAAGCUGGGUCAUGGAUGCCUGUCCCUGUAAGUCUGUGCCACUUUGGGUUUACGACUAGUCAUGUCAGCCCGGGCUCCUUAUCAUAUGGAUGCUAGCGACGCUAUCAUAUACGUGUGCCAAAAGGCGCAAACGGUCCCGGGCAAAGGUAAGGCGACACCCGUGGGAAUACCGUGCGUGAGGCCGCAAAGUGAUAUGAGGUGUUACAUGCUAGAUCGAUGUGGCAUUGAGUCGGGGUCCUGACAGCGUUGGUAUCAGAGCUUGACUGCCUGUAGGAUUACCAAGCCAAACUGGUCGAAGUUGAGUCUAGAAAUGCUUUAGUUAUAUGUAAGGGAAUUGAUUGUGGGAUGGAACGUAAGGCUCUUUUUACUCCUUAUACCUUAUGCCCUUCUGAUCUGAGUCAUCAUCUUAUCUUCUACGGGGAUUAAGAACUAGGCUAUCUCUUCUUUCUAUCAGGAUCACGUGUUACUAAUCCGUAGACUUAUAAGAUUGUUGAUUCAAGCCUCAGUUCAGCUCCUACUACUUCCGUAUGUUAACUGUUGAUCUCGAAACCUUGAUAUUGUGCUUCUGAGUGGUUAUGCCACCAUUUUUGUGAAUGUCUCAAAUCUUUUCUGAGCAUUUACAGCCGUUAUGCUGUCCGAGUCAUCCCAGGUUUCUAAAUAGUCUGAUGCAUUUGCAAAAUCCUUUCCCUCUGGUCUCGAUGUUCCUUUAUGCCAGCUCAAUCACACUAAUUGUUGAGUUGGGGUAUUCUAUUGCCUUGACAUUAUGUUGGAGUUACUAUAAUGACCUUAGGUGUCUCAGGGGAUCAUCUAGUAGCCUAGCCAUGAUUUAUGCUCCAGUGUGAUGACUCUGGCCGUCAUUAUCGAAAGCAUCCCGUGAUGCCAUUUGGUUAGUAGGUAUUCUAUUCCUUGGGCUUUGAACCCGAGAUUCACUCUACUUACUUCAUGUUGAUAGUGUUUGCUAGUUCCUUUAGGAUAUUAGUAACUUUGCGAUAGUCCUCGAGGUCCGUGGUAUUUCCUUCUUCCAAUUACCAUGAACCACUCUUGGCAAGAGUUCUUCUGGAUUAAAAGAUCACAAUUAGAGUACUCUUGAGGAGAUCUCCACUCAUAAAUCGUGACUCUGCCAGUUCUACCUUUCUGCAUGGGUUAUCCGGAAGAAAUAUGUUGAACUUGGUUCGACAUACUAAUCUAUGCAUCCACAACUCAGAAAGUUAUAUGUUCCUUUGAGCUGUUCUCUUUAGUUGCAUUCUGACCCUCGUCUAUCAAUUGAUAGUCAAGAGUAUGCGUGCGUUCGUUCAUUGAUGCCUAUGACUCUUGUGGUCUGUCAAGCCAUUCCAUUCCGGGAUGACUAGGAGAAACAAACUCCAGUACCUCUUCCAUAUCUAGGAUUGGGACAAAAAAGUUGUGCUCCACAGAACAAAUUGCUAAUCCAGCUUUUGUUCUGCUCUAUCUUGGAGUAUUACCAUCUUUAUAUCGGGAUGUUAUAGGAAUUGCACACCAUCCUAUGCACUCUUGGUACAGUGAUACUUCUUGCCAUCAUUGUUCAUUCCUCGGUUCCUGUAUUAUUGUAACCGGAAUACCGACAAGUGAAUCGUGAUGUGUGAAAUCAAUACUGCUAGCAACUCUGUUGCUUGAUAGUUAAAGGAUAAUAAUUUCAUUCUUAGUAUGUUGGUUUUCGAAUCAUCCUUCUAAGACUGAUCGGCUACCUAGUCCUUAUUUCGGUGCACCCUUCGAUUGACGAGUUAGGAUCUUGUCAAGUCCUCACUCAUCUGAUCAUAUCGCUUUCCCUCAAAAGAAAGAUUAUUCUCGAGCUUAGUAACAUACCGGUGGUUCAUGACUUUCCAAAUAUCUUCUUGGAGGUGUUACCGGGUUGUCACCUGACCGCUAUGUUGAGCUCGUGAUCAAGUCGGGUUCUUGUGAACCACCCUUUCUCCAAGAAUCUGUGAUGGAUAUCCCGGAGCUAGUUGGUUAAGCUAGACAACAACUUGGAGAGUUGGAAGAUAAAAGCUUGUCUGACUUAGUUCAUGUUAAGGGAUAUUUUUCUGUGUAUGUGUGUGUGUUGAAGAAAGAUGAUAUCUUCAUUAAUUGGUCCUUGUGAUCAGUUGUUGGACCUAUUAUCUUACCCCAUCUAUAAUUUGAGUAUGGGCUAUCAUCCAAUCAGACCAGAACCAACGAUAUUCGUAAUGUUGUCUUACUCGUGGUUGAUCCCUCGAGCAUACACCAUUAUAUCUUUGGGUCUGACCAAUGCUAACACUUGUUCACUUAACUAUGGAAUUCCUUUUAAAAAGGAAACCCGGAAGAAUUGUUGUUGAGCCCAUUGACAACAUCCUUAUCUCCUCCAUGAUUUUGUUGAACAUUAAGCUAGUGUUGGAAACUUUUGAAAGCAUUUCUUCAUGCUAACUCAUGAAGCAUUUGUUUGAUGAAAGGAGUGACUUCCUCUUAUACACGUGCAUUUGGUGAUAGUUGCCGCCGUGGAUUCGAGAAAGUCAAUGUUGUUUCCUUUGGAAUCAUCCCAAAUCAGUCAUGCAUACGUGCGAAGUAUUCUGUGGUUCGGAGACUUGCAACCUCCAUUCUAUAUGGGUCCCUAGCACACCAAGCCACUGAUUGAUUUGUUCAAGAUUAAUAAGUUUUAAGUGCUAGUCCUGAAGGUACCAGACGGAUUUGUACAAAACUUCGAUAUCCUCGCUGAUGGUUUCCCCUCCUGAACUCGGUAGUGUUUUAUUAUAAGACUACUUUGUGGUCAUGCUUGUCUUGGACAACGUGUUCACAUGUUUGUAGCAGAACCAGCUCAUGUUUUGGAGCUUACUAUCGUAGUUCAUUCCCCGAGAAUCUCGCAGCGUUGUCUCGUCGGAUUGUGUUGCAAACUUUCAUUUUUCUUCCUAGACUCGAUGAGUCUGGAAUAUCCUGACACCAACCAGAUCUGAAUCUCAGGCAGAUAUGAUGGUUUGGAACAUUUCCCAAGAACUAUAAUAUCGGUCCCUCGAAAACUGGUAAAGUGGAUGUCGUGGCCAACACACCCAGCCGGAAGACCUGUUAUUAUAAUAUCUUGAUUGAGGAAGUUGGCCACCUCCCCAUAGGGAUUUCGUAGGAUUUACUCCCUAGUUGCCCUAUGGAUUUCGAGAUCCCGAAGUCCGACCCUUUACUUGAUGUUCUAGAUAUCAAACCAUAUCUAUGAAUGGGUUACGCUAGCACAUCAAGGAGAACAUUAGAAGCAGAGUGCUAAAUGUCUCUCGGUCGAUCAUCCAGAUUUUGUUUCUUUGGCCUCGCCAAGGUGAAAUCUAAGAAGGUGUUAUCUUCCUUUGCAUCGGCAUUUUCCACCGGUAUUCAUCAUGGUAGUAAGUUGUGUUGCCAGAAUCCUUGACACGGAUAUUGGUAAAACCUUGAUGAUUAUGGAAAUGCUCAAGUUCUUGAGAGCACGCACAAGCGUUAGGUGUUACCAUCGGCACUAGCUAGGUUUGCUCUCUACUUCCUUGGUUAUGCUAUAACUUCUCAACAGUGGAUUUACUCUCUAUUGUUGGGUUCUUCCCCAGUUACCAGAAUCAUUCCCAGCAUUUGCAUUUUGUUCCCAGCUUGCACCGCCAAUGUGCCAUUCUACCAUGGGUCCCUUCCAUUUCCGGUGAUAAGCAAAAAUCAUCCAUUACGUUGUCUUCCACAAGGUAAUCCACAUCACCCAAGUUUGAGUAUGCCAUUCUACCGACCCCCUCCAAACGAUCGCUCGAGAAUUGUCUUAGGCUGGUUUAAAGAGUUUCAAUGAUCUCUGGAUCAAAGGUAAUUCUUUUUGCCACUUAGGGUAAUAGUCUAUGAAUCACCCUCCUCCAGGAUGUUUCUUUGUGGUAUCAUGGCAACUCAACUCCUCGCUACGUUGACAAUCGUUUACCACCUUCUUAGGUGUGGAAUUGUUGUCUACCUAGUGAACCUUCGUCAUCCGUUUCUCUCCACCCCUCUUGAUGUGUAUCCCGUGUCUCAACCCGAAAGAUGGUUCUAUGUCUCAUUCCGUAAGUUAAUCUUGAGUUGUUCGAUCUUCGAGGAGAUCGACCCUUCUAGAGUCUCCUUCUUCCCCCCCCCUGUCAUGUUGACAGGAUUUCUCAGAGCAAGACGACAAGACAAAGAUGGUGUUCAACUCAACGUUCAUUUGAAGUGCAACCUGGAUCGUGAAGAUUGUACUAGUUUGCGUUUCCCCUUCAUCCUACCCUACGCUUGAAUCUCGAGACGAGAUUCUUGUUUAGUGGGGGUGAGUUGUCACAUCCCUAGCUUCUGGUAAUGCUCUAGGCUAGCUUCAUGUGUGCAUCAUGUUUAAAUUUCAUUUAAAUUUGAAAUGAGGAUUGGUGGAACCCUCAGAAUCAUGUUGAAAAUGACCCAAAUAAAAAAAAUUCCCCAAAAGGGUCGAAGAAAAUGCUCAUGUUGCCCUCUGAAAAUAUUGGACAGAGAUAAAAAUCAAAACAAUAUUUUUAGGAGCUCAUGGACAUUUAAUUUGGCCAUUUGGAUUAAUUCGAUAAAUAUUUGCAUUGGAAAGAUAUUUCUAUAUAUAUGAAAUAUGGUCCAAAAAUUAUGCCAAUUAUAAAAGAGCUCUGGAAUAAUACCAUUAGCCCCUACAAAAAUUGGCAUAAUAAAAUUAAAUGAUUUAAUAUAUUUGUUAAAUCAAACAAAUGUCAGAAAAAUAGAAAACAGAGGUAAAAUAGGAAAAACAGAGAGAGGGAGGGAAACAUUACCUGCAGCCCACCUGGGCCACUUACCUGUAGCCGGCCCAGCUCCUCCCGCUGGCCCAGCCCACCUCCUCCCCUUUGUCUUCUUCCUCCCCUCGCACCGAAGCAGCUCGGUGGCGAGCGCCGAUGCCGCCUCGGCCACCUCCUGCCUCCCUGCUUGCCUCCGCUACUCCCUGGAGACGCCACGCGGCUCCCUCAGGCCUCUAUCAACUCCCUCCCGUGCUCAUCCCCUUCUCCUGCUCUCCCUCUCGCUCCGCACCUCGGACCCGAACAGAGCCGUCGCCACCGACGCCGUUCGCCACGGCCACCAUCCCCCUCUCGCCUCCCCGACGCCUCCCAGAGCUCCGCAGUGCCUCCCUCGACCUCCUCGACGUCUCACGCGACCAGAAGGGCCCCAAGCAGCCGCCAUCGUCAUCAUCCCCAAGCUUCGGCCCCGGCGCCGUUCUCCGUCGAAUUCGGCCACGCCGGCGCGCCCCCGAGCUCGCUGACCCUCCCUGCGCGAUCCCCGUGAGUCCCUGCUCCGUUUCCCCCUAACCCCAAGUUCGAUUUCGAGCUCUAGCCGCCCCCUCUACCGGAGCCGAGACGCUCCGCCGCACGGACUCGUCGCCGGCGAAGCCUCGGUGACCAAACGGCCCCGCGCGUGUGUCCGUUGCACUCGCAACGACCCGUGGAGCAACGCUAGCGUGGCAGCUAGCUUGUUUGCAAGCCACAGCACUAACCCCGCACCCACCCGAGCUCCGGCCGCCGCCUCGGGCUCCACUCCGGCGGACUCCGUCCACCCCCGCACCUCCCGUUGGCCCCCCUAGGUGCGCACGGGCACGGGCUACCUUCUAGUGCCCUUCGCGCGUCCAGCCGUCGCCCGUAGCGCAACCCCGGUGAACUUCCGCCGCGUUUCGGGUCGCCGCCGGCCGAACUCCGGUGGCCAGUGACGUGGCUGGCUUAAUUAGCCACUAAUCACCGCUUUGUGACACUGACAGCAGGGCCCCACCUGCUAAUUAAUCAUAGAUUAGUUUCUGUUUAGUUUUUAACUAAUCCAGUGGCCCCACCCGUCAGCAUUGACUCUGCUGACGUGGCCUUUGACCCGGCCCCACCUGCCAUUGACACUAAACAGCCCUGGGUCACUGAUCAGUGGACCCCACUGGUCAGGUUUGACCUGGAGGCGCCCUGUUGACCUGCUGACGUCAAGGUGAUGACAUCCUGACGCCAUAAUUCAUUUUCUGGAAUUAUUUUAAUUCUAAAUAAUCAGAAAAUUCCAGAAAAUAGCUAAAACUUCAAUAAAUCAUAGAAAAUUAACCGUAACUCCAAAUGAAAUAAAUUAUAUAUGAAAAAUUAUCAAAAAAAUUCAAGGAAUCCAUCUGUACCAUUUUCAUGCAUGUUAGAACAACUUAUAGCUGCUGUUUAGCACAAAUCAAUUAAAGGGCAUUUAAAUAAUCACAUAUGGAGUUUGAAUUUGAAUCUUGUAUUCAAACCAACUUCAUUUAACUUGUUGCUAGAUGCAUUAGCCCAAAACACAUUCAUUUUGCUAUGUCAUGAUCAUGCAUCAUAUUGUGCAUUGCAUUGAUUGUGUUUCCUUCUGUGUUGCCGGUAUUUGUCCCCUCUCGAUAGACGUGAUACCGAGGAUGUGAUCGUUGACACUGAUGAAGACUCAAUGUUAUCUUCAGAAGUGCCAGGCAAGCAAAACCCCCUUGUUCAUUCCGAUAAAAUCCCACUCUCUCGCUCCUGCUCUCUUUUACUCAAUUAGGACAACAACGACAUAUUUGAUACUUGCUGCGGUAGCUGAACCCCUUUAUCCUUUGCAUGACCUGUCAUUGCCACAGUAAAUAGAUGAAACCCACUAGCAUGAGUAGGAGUUGUUUGAGCCCUGAUGUGCCUACUCAUUCAUGCUUGUUUGUCAUGCCUGCUACUGCUUAGAGCUGAGUCAGGUCUGAUUCAUCGGGGAUGAAUCAGAGGCGUGUGAACAUGUCCUACUGUGUGUGAGCUAAGUGUGUGAACACGAUUUGGUAAAGGUAGUGGUGAGAGGCCAUGUAGGAGUACAUGGUGGGUUGUCUCAUUGCAGCCGUCCUCAGGAACUGAGUUCUGUGUUUGUGAUCCAUGACCAGCUACUACCACACAUUGGAAUGCUUAAGUGCCCCUCUCGACUUAUUAAUCAACAUGAUCUCUGUCCAGGAGUUGCAACUAGUUUCUGGUGUUUGUAGGUAGUGUUAGUAGUCUACCAGGUGGCACCCGGUACAGGUGGGCUUGGGACAGACUAGGCACAGUGGCACGGUGUACCAAGUGGCACCCGGUUGGUGGGCUUGGGAACCCUGCACACAUCGUUUGGGGCCGUGAGCGACACCCCGGCCGGAUCUCCUUGCGGAUGGAACCCGAAUAGGCGAUAAACCUGGACUAGAGACUUGUUCGGUUAGUCAGGUCGUGGCCGACUCCCUCGCCCGGCUUCCGCUUGAAGGUUGCCGAGGUACAUGACGUGUACAGGGCGAUAAGUGGCGAAAGCGUGUGUGAAGAAGUACACCCCUGCAGGGUUAACAUCAUCUAUUCGAAUAGCCGGAUUCCUCGGAUAUGGAAACGUGGACCCCUUGUACAGUUCAUAGACAAGUGAAAGUGGAUACUCUAAAAUACGCAAGAUAAGCGUGAGUGCUAUGGAUGGCGUUCUUGUAGGGAGACGGGAGCGGAUCCAUAGUGGUGUCUUGAUAUGGUGAAUAUGUGGACUCGUGUGCGCCACCUCAAAGAGUUACUUGCAGUCGUAGUUCAGGAUAGCCACCGAGUCAAAGCUGGCUUGCUGCAGUUAAACUCCACCAUCCCCUUUGUUGAUAAUGAGGCAUAUGUAGAUAGAUCUGAUGUAAGUCUUGCUGGGUACAUUUGUACUCACGUUUGCCCAUUUUAUGUUUUGCAGAGAGACUUCAGUCUCACUAGUAGUUCCGCGUGGACUUCGACGUUUAGCUUGAUACCUCAACUACGAUCUUGUGCCCUCGGCAGGAUCUGAUAAAUAGUCAGGCUUCUCAGCCCUUUUCAUUUAUAGAUGUCUGUACUCAGACAUGAUAGCUUCCGCUUGUGCUUUGACUUGUAUGUUCUGAUUGUUGGGUCAUGAGACCCCUGUUUGUAAUAUCUCGCUCCUUGGAGCCUAUUGAUUAAAAUAUUUGAGUCGUAGAGUCAUGUUGUGAUGCCAUGUUGUAGUUGCACAUAUCGAGCAUAUUGUGUGUAUGUUAUUGAAAUGCUUGGUAUGUGUGGGAUCUGACAACCUAGUUGUUUAUCCUUGGUAGCCUCUCUUACCGGGAAAUGUCUCCUAGUGUUUCCACCGAGCCAUGGUAGCUUGCUACUGCUCCGGAACACUUAGGCUGGCCGGCAUGUGUCCUUCUUCGUUCCUGUGUCUGUCCCUUCGGGGAAAUGUCACGCGAUGAAUACCGGAGUCCUGUUAGCCCGCUACAGCCCGGUUUACCGGAGUCCUGCUAGCCCAGUGCUACAGCCUGGAUUCACUCGCUGAUGACCGACACGUUCGAAGCUGGGUCAUGGAUGCCUGUCCCUAUAAGUCUGUGCCACUUUGGGUUUACGACUAGUCAUGUCAGCCCGGGCUCCUUAUCAUAUGGAUGCUAGCGACGCUAUCAUAUACGUGUGCCAAAAGGCGCAAACGGUCCCGGGCAAAGGUAAGCCGACACCCGUGGGAAUACCGUGCGUGAGGCCGCAAAGUGAUAUGAGGUGUUACAUGCUAGAUCGAUGUGGCAUUGAGUCGGGGUCCUGACAGGUUCCGCGGCGGCCGGGGAUAAGGUCGUCGGCGAACCGCCGUUCUGUUGCUGCACAGCGAUGUGGCGGCGACGUGCGCUAGCGGACGGGCUCGCGGAUGAGCUCGUGCUGUUCCAGAGGGCAGCUGGCGCGCUGGAGUGGCCCGGGCGGCGCCGUCCAUGGCAGAGGCCUCGUGCGGCCGUCGGCGGCUUGCGGCGGUAGCGCUGUGGGGCUCCAGGAGGGGGCCAGGGCGGCUCUGCAGCGAGGGGAGGGGUCGGGGCGUGCUGGCUGCGCGUGGGAAGGGACGAGAACGGGCGCGGGGAGACGACAGUGAGACACGACGGCUCGGUGCGCGCGCGUGCAAAACGUGCGCUCUGGGCGCGCCCAGAGCACGCACGCCAGGUGCUCGACGCAAUGCCAUCGCGCGCUAGAGGGCGUGAGCAAGGCUGGAAGUUAACAGGUCUAAUUUUGGGGUAGAUAGGGGCUUAGUGGACAAGCUUGCUGGGUCAGAGGAUCAAGUCCACAAUGCAAACUAACAAUCAUGCCAAAUCUGGCCAUGCACACAAAGUGUUCGACAGAAUGUCAUGGGCAUCUAGGCAACUCUUGGGGUGGACAAAAACUCCAGAUCCUAGUUUCUUUAGGUGCUAGAGAGGGUGGCAAGGUUAGUUGGGCAAAACCAGAAACUUAUUUGUGCAAGUUUUUGAGAAAACCAAAUCUGGGCAGAAACUCAAUGUUAUCAUUGCAUGGGCCAAAAAUGUUUAAAUGGGUCCAAUCUCCUAGACUUAAGUGUUUGGUAGAGUGGUUUGUAAUUAGGAGAAAGAAUCAUGGGAAAAAGGGCAUGUUAAAAUAUGGUUGCAGUAGAAAAUACUACAUUGGACCAGAAAGCAAAAGAGGAUGAUUUGCUCAGAAUUUUCAAAGGACACUCAUGGGUUUUUGCAUAAAGUUGAAUUAUAUGCAUCUACUGACAUCUACAAAUUUUUAUGUAAUUUUUAAAGGAGUAUUAAAAAGGGUUGUAGUGCAAAUGGGACCCUAAAUCUUAUAAAAAUCAUUUUUAAGAGAAAUAGAGCUCAGGGAAGAUAAUCAUAUAAAUAAUUCCACUGAUAAAAGAAAUGUUUCUGGAGAGGGUAUACAAGUCCAACAAUAUUAUUGAAAGGUUUUCUAUUUGGAGGGAAAACUCAGAAGAAAAAGAGUGGUUCUGAACCCAAAGAAAAUCCAGAAAAUAAAAGUUUAAUUUACCAAGGCAAAAUUUUAAUUAAUAAAUCAUGGUUAAAUUUUGGGGUGUUACACAUGUGCACAACACGUGUAUCACCGCUAUAUUCAUGCAUGCAUAUGUUUAAAACACUAUGAUCUCGUAUUCAAAUAUAUGAAUCCGCUUUCGUAUCAAAUUAUGAUCUUUGUUAGUCUCUUACACCCACACAAUCCUCUAACCUUUGUAGCUACCACUAACUUUCUCUCAUGCAUUCACACGCCCUACUCUCCCUCCCCCUCCCUCAGCAUUCUAUCCACCAGGCACAUUCAUUUUUUUCUUUAGAUCGUUCUCCCAGAGUCUCCACAACUCCUUUUCAACACACACCGAUCGAUAAACCUCUCCAGCGAUGCCUACCUACAACUUACACGCACACCUUCAAUCUCCUCCUUUAUGUGUCCUUGCCUCGUGUCUCUCAUACGGUCACACACACGUGUAAACUCUCGCCCCUCUUUUCAUCGAUCUCACAACCGCACACUCCUCCCCCUAUCUAGCUAGUAGUAGGGCCUCUCGCACCACCUCCUAGCUCCAUUCUCUUUGUCUAUCCGUCUCGCUGGGCCUUAUUUGCCUCUAACAAAUGGAUGUACACCGACCGAUCUCUCGCGAUACAUAUAGCUAGCUAGGUCCUUAUAACUCGUUUUUACCCACGCGUCGAUCGAUCUACCUCAUUAGUUGUGUCUCUCCCUUCCUCCGACAAACAACAAUUUAUAUACCGAUCUAGUUAGAUUUGCUUACCAAACACAUGGUUCCCCUUCAUCAUCCAUGGAUGCGUCCCGACAGAUCUAUCACGCACAUGCACACACAGAAACACAUCCCCACUCUUAUUGAUAACAUUGCAGUUCCACCCUCAGUUUGUCUAGUAGGCCUCUCCCACCAUCUUCGAGAAGAAACUCCAUCACCCAUCCAACACUCUACCCCUCUCCCUCCCUCUCUCUCUCUCUGUCCCAUCAUAUUUCCCGUCCUUCAGUUAUGUAUGGAUGUCGACCGAUCUCCCUCAAGACUAGUUGGGUCUCUCCUUCUCAACACAUAUAAGAGUCGUUCUACCUCUAUAGUUAGGCCUCUACCUACCCCUCCCCCCACCCCCCACACACACCGAUACAUCGAGCGCUCUAGUCAUGUCUCCCUGCCACACACAAACUUGACAUGUUCCCUCUAACGUUCCGGUAGGCCNNNNNNNNNNNNNNNNNNNNNNNNNNNNNNNNNNNNNNNNNNNNNNNNNNNNNNNNNNNNNNNNNNNNNNNNNNNNNNNNNNNNNNNNNNNNNNNNNNNNNNNNNNNNNNNNNNNNNNNNNNNNNNNNNNNNNNNNNNNNNNNNNNNNNNNNNNNNNNNNNNNNNNNNNNNNNNNNNNNNNNNNNNNNNNNNNNNNNNNNNNNNNNNNNNNNNNNNNNNNNNNNNNNNNNNNNNNNNNNNNNNNNNNNNNNNNNNNNNNNNNNNNNNNNNNNNNNNNNNNNNNNNNNNNNNNNNNNNNNNNNNNNNNNNNNNNNNNNNNNNNNNNNNNNNNNNNNNNNNNNNNNNNNNNNNNNNNNNNNNNNNNNNNNNNNNNNNNNNNNNNNNNNNNNNNNNNNNNNNNNNNNNNNNNNNNNNNNNNNNNNNNNNNNNNNNNNNNNNNNNNNNNNNNNNNNNNNNNNNNNNNNNNNNNNNNNNNNNNNNNNNNNNNNNNNNNNNNNNNAGAAAAAACACUCACGAACGCGGUUUGUAUCUCUCACACACACCCACGUAGGUGGGGGACGUGCACGAAGAGAAGAGGUGCAUGCACGAUGCACGUACUCCCGUAUCUUUCCCAACCACACCCGCGCGGGUACACGGUGGAGCUCAUUUUUGUACGAAAGAAGCAGCCCAUGUGGUAAUUUGGCACGUGUACUGGUUGUCCACUUGGUGGAGGAAGGAUCGUCUACCACGGGUGAACAAACAAACUGUGACUUGACACGUUAUGUUAAAUUAAAAAAAGGGGCAAACCAUGUGGGGCCUACCUUAGAGGCAAGGCUCUAUACACUGGAGUAAUUUUGAUGUGUCCCGGGAACUCGCAGAACGAGGAGAAGCUUGCUUAGUACGCCGUCUCCCCCGCCCACGGGCGCGGUGGCUCGCAGGAUGAGGUGAAGCUUGCUUCGCCUUAUUCCCGCUCCCACGCCCAUGCGCGCGGUGGCUCGCAGGACGAGGAGAAAAGUUUACUACUCCCUCCGUUUACUCCUCGUCCCUACUAAUACCUUGGUUAUAGAGAUUAUAUCAUAUUGUUUGGAAUAUAUAUGUCCUUUAGUAGAUUUCAAUAUGAACUACUAGUACAUAUUCGAAACACUGAUGUAUAUAGACAUAUUUUAGAGUGUAGAUUCACUCAUUUUGCUCCGUAUGUAGCACUCUCUGUCGGUGUCAAAACCGGCGGAUCUCGGGUAGGGGGUCCCAAACUAUGCGUCUAAGGCUAAUGGUAACAGGAGACUGGGAACACGAUGUUUAACAGGUUCGGGCCCUCUCGAUGGAGGUAAUACCCUACUUCCUGCUUGAUUGAUCUUGAUGAUAUGGGUAUUACAUGAGUUGAUCUACCACGAGAUCGUAGAGGCUAUACCCUAGAAGCUAGCCUAUGAUUAUGAUUGUCAUGCCCUACGGACUAAAACCCUCCAGUUUAUAUAGACAUCGGAGGAGGUUAGGGUUACAUGGAGUCGGUUACAGAGAAGGAGAUCUGUAAUCCGGAUCUCCAAGCUUGCCUUCCACGCCAAGGAGAGUCCCAUCCGGACACGGGACGAAGUCUUCAAUCUUGUAUCUUCAUAGUCCAACAGUCCGGCCAAAGUACAUAGUCCGACUGUUCGGAUACCCCCUUAUCCAGGACUCCCUCAGUAGCCCCUGAACCAGGCUUCAAUGACGAUGAGUCCAGUUGCCACGACCGGUUUUUCCGGGUAAUAAAUUUCCAGAAAAGACCGUCGUGCUCAUCAGCCCCAGGAUUACUGUUAGCUGAUGAGGCUCCAAUUGGAUACAGAAAUUCCAAGCAGAAAACAUCAUAUGUAGUACAAGACCAUUCUGGCCUGUGAGUACAACAAAUGGUUUCUAGUGGUUGAUGGCGGAAGCGGUUUGUGAAACAUCAGUGUCUAUGGGACUCCAUUUCCCACGGGAACAGCUGACCAGGUUAAUUCCUAUCUUCGCGAGGCUGCUAUCUCCAUUGAGUGGGUUCCGGGGCUGGCAUCGCGUCGCUCCUCCCGUGCAAGAAAAUCUGGCCAAGACAAUAGCCAGGGACAAGCCAAUGAGUACUUUGAAUGUACUCGCAAACAUUGUGAACACAGGUAUAAUAUAACAAUGAUGUGCUGAAAAUAUUUUAUGCUCAUGACGUCAGUCACCAAAGAUAAAUGAAACUCUGAUGCGUGCUAGCAAGUUAUUUAUAAAAAUGCAAUAACAUGGUAGCAUAAAAAUUUAUGAAACAAAUAACAAGCAAUGCCACAGUCGGGCGUCUUAGCGACACCACGUAAAGGGCUUUAAAAGAAAUGCCACAGUCGGGCGUCUGAGCGACACCACAUAAAGGGCUUUAAAAGAAAUGCCACAGUCGGGCGUCUGAGCGACACCACAUAAAGGGCUUUAAAAGAAAUGCCACAGUCGGGCGUCUGAGCGACACCACAUAAAGGGCUUUAAAAGAAAUGCCACAGUCGGGCGUCUGAGCGACACCACAUAAAGGGCUUUAAAAGAAAUGCCACAGUCGGGCGUCUGAGCGACACCACAUAAAGGGCUUUAAAAGAAAUGCCACAGUCGGGCGUCUGGGCGACACCACAUAAAGGGCUUUAAAAGAAAUGCCACAGUCGGGUGUCUGGGCGACACCACAUAAAGGGCUUUAAAAGAAAUGCCACAGUCGGGCGUCUGAGCGACACCACAUAAAGGGCUUUAAAAGAAAUGCCACAGUCGGGCGUCUGAGUGACACCACAUAAAGGGCUUUAAAAUAAACAAUCAUAGUGAAUAUCCCGGAGGUAGAACCAUCCCGGAGAUACUCGAUAAUAAUAUCACGNNNNNNNNNNUAAAGGGCUUUAAAAGAAAUGCCACAGUCGGGCGUCUGAGCGACACCACAUAAAGGGCUUUAAAAGAAAUGCCACAGUCGGGCGUCUGAGCGACACCACAUAAAGGGCUUUAAAAGAAAUGCCACAGUCGGGCGUCUGAGCGACACCACAUAAAGGGCUUUAAAAGAAAUGCCACAGUCGGGCGUCUGAGCGACACCACAUAAAGGGCUUUAAAAGAAAUGCCACAGUCGGGCGUCUGAGCGACACCACAUAAAGGGCUCACGGAUUCGACUCCGAACAUCGGCGAUCAGCGACGAGCGGCGUUGGUGGACUUCGCCCACCGUACACCGAGCUCGAGCUAUAAAACGGCCGGGGUGCCUUCCUCUUCUUCCUCACACCUGGCCUCACUUCUCCUCCUCCCUCCAUUACUGCUUACCAAAGCUCGGGCGAGGCUCUAAUGGCGGAGGCGAUGCCGGACUGGUUUGUGAUCCUGAUAUGCGGAGGGCUGGCGACACUGCUGGGGCUCUCUAUGCUCCUGUGUGCGAUGAUCUUCGACGAGUAUCGCGACGCUGCGGCUCGGGUGUUGGCUCUCCGCGGUGGUGGUGAUCAUGAAGAGUAGAUGGAGUGUGCCGGGUGCUAACUGUUGUUAAGGGGGUGAUUAGCUGGAUGUAACACCGUUACAAGGUUUUGCAAACAGUGCAUAUGUCCGAAUGAUUAUGGUUAUGAGUCUGCUGUGUGGUGCUGUGUGAAAUUAAUUAAACCACGUCAUGAGAAGGGGCAGGUGUAGCAACUCAGGGAAAAGAAAUCUCACUCCAGGAUUUUGCAAGGAAAAACAGUUAGUUUAAAAGAAGCAUAAACCACAACAAAAACUACACACAUUAGUAGAAGCCAAAUAAUUGACUCGUCGUACAAACUCAGGGUAUCACGCAUAAGUCACACACAUAAAUAAAUGCUGCAAGGAACAAAUACAAUAGUGACGUCUAAAAUGAAAAUGGUAACUGGACGGGGUCUUGAUAAAAUGUCUCUGGUAAAGGAAUACACUCCUCUUCUAUCGGAGGAAGUGGAUUGACCAGUCGAUGUAUGCGCCUCUCCGGGUCGGGUUUCAGUGGUCUGCCGAUGGCAAUCUGAGGAUUUAAAUCUGCGAGGCUCUGGAGAUAAUCCAUCACUCGCUGGUUCAAAUGCUCUUGAGCAAUGAUGUACUGGAUAAGGUUGGCUAGAACUGGGUCUCUCUCAAUACGUCCACCGGGAAAAGAUGUUACUUCUCCGGGUGCUGCACGGCUCGGAAAGUAAUAAUAUCCUCGUUCGCGGGCAUAGGGUACUGCGGUUCGAAGACGAGCAAUCGCUUCUUUUGCAGCAGCUUCUAUGGCUAGGUGUGGGGUUGGCAUAGAUUUCCCCAUGAAGGAAACUUCUGUUGGAUCUUGGUUGGAGUCUACAGGAGGGAUGUGUACUGCUGCCCAAUAUUCCGAGGUGGAUGGGGUGAUCCUUGAUUUGAAUAGCUCGUACUGAGGUGGCUGGGUAGAACCAUGGUACUGCGGGUAAAAUCCCACAAUAUUUUGACAAAGCUACCUGGGGUUGCAUCUGGGGUUCUCAGAUGAAUGCUGGGGCUCGGCAUGACAGGAAAAAGUGUGAGUGUGGUGCCCAAAGUGAGGGUUGCUGGCUAAGGUCACAAGGUGGCCUUUAUAUAGCAAUGGAGCUGGAUUCGUUUUACCGUGGUGAAAGGUAAUAAAUUUGCCAGCUUAUCUCCAAAGGUCGGGUCAGUGUCAGAGAUACACAUAUCUCAUAAAGAGACGUGUUACUGUGGUUGUCGUCGGGUUGGUUUUGGUAGUUGUGCCCGGAAAAAUAUGCAGCUAUGCGCUGACCAAAUAUGCAAGGCUACUAAUAAAACAGAGGUACAAUGACAGGCUGCGUUAAUAUACACGGUCGCCCGAUUACAAAGCGAGGAUACACUGAAAAUCGGUGCUACUCAUACGGCUUAGUCUACCUCGUUCAUGUCUAAACGGGCAUGCCUGGUGGAUGUUGAGGCUUCUCCACGUGUUUCUCUGCCGGGAUUAGUCGGAGAUGGUGGAGGAACUGCAGGGUCGGGGUAGUGAUGAUGACCAUCGCGGGGAUUGUUGGCCACAACCCCGUUGGAGUGUGCUCCCAAUAUGCGACGAAGCACCUCUGGGGUUAUCGCAGCACCUUGGACGAUGGCUGGGGCAGAUCUCGGGGUCUCGAUCGGUUGUCCAAACAGCACAACUGGGUUGUCGGCGUUGGGCUCGUUUUCUCCUCUCGCCGGGGCUCGACGAACCAGCUCUCCACGAGCUGUGAUUAAAUCAAUAGUGAUCUGGUCGAACAGUGCCUCUAGUGCACUUACAUAGCGCACUAGGUGCAACAAUGCGGGGUCCGUCUCGUGAUCUCCGUUGGCAACUUGGGGUGGUCUACCAUACCCUUCACGUCUGGGGUAGUAGUGGAACGAGCGACAGUUAACUCUGGGCGACAAGUGCCUGAGAUGAACUAUAGCCUCUCGAGCGGCUAGCUGGAUGGCUUGUGGCUCAAAGGAAGUUGUCCUUCCGGUGAACCUGUAGGGGCGCUCGGGUGCUAGACCCCUACCGUAGAUGUGCACAGUGGCCCAGAAUUGACGGUCUUCACCGCUCAUGGGUCCUUGAUACACAACAUAUUCUAGUGGCUCCUCUAACGCGUAGGCACGACGGGUGAGGUUUGCGAGGAUGGUCACAAAACCUCCAAGGUUGGUUGCUGUGGUUUCGUUGUGCACCAUAGGUCCAGGCAUUGCGGCUCGGUUUGGGGUAGCGGCUGUGCUGUGCUGGGUUGAGGCUAGCAUGCCCUUUUUAUAAGAAAAGGGGACGGAGUCUUCCUUCGCACGCUUGCGAGAAAGGACUAUUUAGGGGCCAGUCACUGGCGCAUGAGCGACAGGUUAGGUUGAUAGGUUGGGCACCGACUGCCAAAAGGUGUUGGGUCACUGUGUGGCUAUCUUGCACGAGAAGCUUGGCUGGUGUUUGGCUAAGGUCUAGUGGGUUGGUUUGCCUAAGUUUAUUGACCUGGCUAAGAUAGGAUUAGCCAAUGGUCAGCCUGGCUCUAAUACCAAGUCUGCCACGACCGGUUUUUCCGGGUAAUAAAUUUCCAGAAAAGACCGUCGUGCUCAUCAGCCCCAGGAUUACUGUUAGCUGAUGAGGCUCCAAUUGGAUACAGAAAUUCCAAGCAGAAAACAUCAUAUGUAGUACAAGACCAUUCUGGCCUGUGAGUACAACAAAUGGUUUCUAGUGGUUGAUGGCGGAAGCGGUUUGUGAAACAUCAGUGUCUAUGGGACUCCAUUUCCCACGGGAACAGCUGACCAGGUUAAUUCCUAUCUUCGCGAGGCUGCUAUCUCCAUUGAGUGGGUUCCGGGGCUGGCAUCGCGUCGCUCCUCCCGUGCAAGAAAAUCUGGCCAAGACAAUAGCCAGGGACAAGCCAAUGAGUACUUUGAAUGUACUCGCAAACAUUGUCAACAUAGGUAUAAUAUAACAAUGAUGUGCUGAAAAUAUUUUAUGCUCAUGACGUCAGUCACCAAAGAUAAAUGAAACUCUGAUGCGUGCCAGCAAGUUAUUUAUAAAAAUGCAAUAACAUGGUAGCAUAAAAAAUUAUGAAACAAAUAACAAGCAAUGCCACAGUCGGGCGUCUUAGCGACACCACGUAAAGGGCUUUAAAAGAAAUGCCACAGUCGGGCGUCUGAGCGACACCACAUAAAGGGCUUUAAAAGAAAUGCCACAGUCGGGCGUCUGAGCGACACCACAUAAAGGGCUUUAAAAGAAAUGCCACAGUCGGGCGUCUGGGCGACACCACAUAAAGGGCUUUAAAAGAAAUGCCACAGUCGGGNNNNNNNNNNNNNNNNNNNNNNNNNNNNNNNNNNNNNNNNNNNNNNNNNNNNNNNNNNNNNNNNNNNNNNNNNNNNNNNNNNNNNCGACACCACAUAAAGGGCUUUAAAAGAAAUGUCACAGUCGGGCGUCUGAGCGACACCACAUAAAGGGCUUUAAAAGAAAUGCCACAGUCGGGCGUCUGAGCGACACCACAUAAAGCGCUUUAAAAGAAAUGCCACAGUCGGGCGUCUGAGCGACACCACAUAAAGGGCUUUAAAAGAAAUGCCACAGUCGGGCGUCUGAGCGACACCACAUAAAGGGCUUUAAACGAAAAACAAUCAUAGUGAAUAUUCAGGAGGUAGAACCAUCCGAGGGAUAUUUGAUAAAUACCAAUAAUAUAACGGGUUAGUCCACAACAAUAAUAAUCAUAAUUAUCACAAGUCACAAGUUGUGAUUCCAGUUCUGGUUUAACAGUUCACCUCCGAAGACCGANNNNNNNNNNNNNNNNNNNNNNNNNNNNNNNNNNNNNNNNNNNCUGAGCGACACCACAUAAAGGGCUUUAAAAGAAAUGCCACAGUCGGGCGUCUGAGCGACACCACAUAAAGGGCUUUAAAAGAAAUGCCACAGUCGGGCGUCUGAGCGACACCACAUAAAGGGCUUUAAAAAUAAACGUUCAAAGUGAAUAUCCCGGAGGUAGAACCAUCCCUGAGAUACUCGAUAAUAACAAUAAUAUCACGGGUUAGUCAACAAUAAUAAUAAUCAUAGUUCUCACAAGUCACAAGUAGUAAUUCCAUUUCUGGUUAACCGUUUCACCUCCGAAGACCGACACUAGGACCGACACCUGACCAUCCCAGACUGAAAUCCUUAACCAUGGACAUGGCUAUUCGAAUAGGUUUAUUCUCUGCAGAGGAUGUACUCUUUACCCACGAGUAACGGAUUUUUUAGUCCAUCGGGACUAAUUCCGUCUACGGUCUUUUUGUUGAAAACACACCUAACUUGCACACACCAGCUUAUCUCACACGUGUCUGGAAUCACCCACGACACCUGUUAAGCAAACUCUAAGUGGGGAGGCUACAACCUCGCGUAGCAUGGGAUCAAAUUUAUAUCGCGCGCUCUAAGGGGUGGCCUCCCCUCUCGGUCCCAACCGGAAACACCCAUGCCCCCGGACCAGGUGGUCUGCCUACCAGCUACAACCGGUAUCCUCCACCAUGGCCUCUCUGUAUGGUGUGUGCUAGAAAUAGGUUGACAACUUACUGAACCGUACUCUACUUGCUGUAGAGACGAGUGGUAGUACGAAACAAGUAUGGGGGUUACUGGAACAAGACUCGAUCUAGGUCGACUUAGGAGGUUCAAGUAUUCCCUGCAUGAUUAGUAUAACGAAUAUAUUUCAUCCAACAGAGUCACCUCUCAUAUCACCUUACCAUGCCAUACCAGACAUAACCGUCCCGACGGAGACCGGCGACAAACUCAUGCCUACCCAAGGCAGAGGUUUUCCCGGGUUCCUGCCGGUAUGCAUGCAAGGCACAUGAGGGUGAUUAUCAUCACAAGUGAGUUCAUUUCCAAUAGCAUGGAAAUCAAUAACAUGCACCCAUGCAUAUGAUCAUAUCACAUGAAAUAACAAGUCCAUCAAAAUGCGGUGGUGUUAUAAAUGUACCCACGAUCACACCAAAACAUUAUGCCGGGAUUCAGAAUGCUUGCCUUCAAUGUUGUGGAGGGGUGGGGUGCUCUCUAAAACUUUUUGAAAGUUUCUUCUCUCUCCCCAAAAUCCUAUUUGAAAAUAUAUUUGAAUUAACACACAUUUCAAAAACAGUACAAAAAAGUUGUUUGAAAUUUUUUCAAAUAAAUCUUAAAAUAAACUAGACCAAAUUUUAGGAAGGUAGGAAAAAGAAUCAACUCAUUUGGAGUUAUAUUUAAAAAGUUAUAGCCAGUCAAAGUUGUGGUCAAAAUCUGUUAUUUAAAAUAAAAUAGAAAAGAAAACGUUUCAGAUAGAAAUACGCUUUCGGUGCAGAGGAGGCGUACUUGAGGCUUUACGCCUCCACUUAACCACGUGGACAGACACGGGGUCGCUGACAGUGGGUCCAGAGGGCCCACUGGUCAGGUUUGACCAGUCUUCUCCCUGCUCUUUCUCUGUCCCGAGCGGAGGCGGGACUCCGGCUAUCGCCGCCGGCGAUUGGCGGUUCCGUUCGAGCAACCGAAGUCAUCCACGGGUUCAGGGGGUCGAGGUGGUCCCGCCGGUGGGUGUUACGGCCUCGGAAGUGGACGGGGUCGUCGGCGGUGAGCUUCGCGGCGGACGGAGAGCUUCGGGAGCAGAGUGGUUUUGGGGCUACGGUGGUCCUCGAUCAAAAUCGAGUACUGGGAAUGGUUUACGGGAGGAUGAGGGUUCUCUUGGUGGAGAGAACGGAGAGUGGGAGGCCCUGGUGGUGCCGAAUUGGCCGGGGCAGUGGUGGCGGCUGCAGUUGCCGGAGGUGGGGAAGAAGACCUCCCUCGGGUCGAUUGGCUGUCAUGGGAGGACUAGGGGUGCAUUCUAAGGCUUCCUGUGUGCUCGGGGAGGCUCGGGGGCCUCCUUUUAUAGCUCGUCGAGGUCGGUUCCGCGGCGGCUGGAUAAGUUCUCCGGGGAACCGCCUCUUUGUAGCUUGCAGGGCAACGUGGCGAGGCUGGGGAUGACGGCAGGAGCUAGCGGACGAGUGGGCACUGCUCCAGGGGCGAGCUGGCGAGCGGAGGUGGCUUUGGUGGCGCCGACAUGGUAGAGGCUGUCGGGCGGCGGCGGCGGCUAGCUCUUGGCUUGCCGGGCGUGGCGAGGAGCGGCUUGGCGCGUACUGGUGAGAAAGGGAGUGCGCGGCAAGGUUCUGCAGUGUGGGCCAAGACCGUGGGGGCCAGCGUGUCGGCUCGGGCGCGUGGCUGCAAUUGGCGCGCUCUAGGCGUGUCCAGUGCAUGCACUGAGUGUGCUCGACGAAAUGCCCGAGCAUGCUAGGAGUCGCUGUUGAGGCCGGGGGUUAACAGGUCUAGGUUUGGGCUUGCAAGGAGAUCAGUGGACAAGCUGGUUUGGUCAGGGGAUUAGGUUCACAGUGCAAUGCCAAAACUCAUGUCAAAACAGAUCAUGCACUCCAGGUGUUUGACAAAAUGCCAAGGGCACUUAGGCAAGUCUUGGAGUGGCCAAAAACUCCAGAUGGUGGUCUCUUUAGGUGCAAGGGGGAGUGGUGUGGUUAUUUGGACAAAAGGGGAAACUUGCUAGUGUAAGUUUUACAAAACCUCAAUUUUGGACAGGAAAUAAAUAGCAUUACUUCAUGAACCAAAAAUGAUCCAAAUGGUGCAUGCUCCUGGACUUAAGGGUUUAACAUGGAGGACUACAAGUAGGAGGAAUAAUCAUGGAUAUAGGAGCAACUAAAAUGGUGGUUGCUGUACAAAUCCUCAAAUUGGACCAGAAUGGAAAAGAGGUUGAUUCACUCCAAAUUUUUAAAGAACAUCACUAGGUUUUUGCAUAAUGAGAAAUCAUAGGCUAUUACCAUCAUCCUAUAAUUUUGGUGGAGUCUAGAAAGAAUUAUUUAAAGGGGUUGUAGUGCAAAAUGCACUCUGGACCAGAGAAGAAAAAUUGAGUGCAGGGCUCAAAAUAUUUCAUGAAUGAAAUAUAUUUUUGCAUAAUAGUGAUUUAAAAACAUCACAUGACAUCUCCAAAUUUUUGUGGAAAUUUUAAGUGAAUCUAUCAAAUGGUUGUAGUUCAAAUAUGGCCAUUUAACCUUGAAAAACCAUUUUCAAGAAAAUAAAGAUCAAGCAAUUAAAUUAGUUAAUUAGUUAUACUAGUAAAAGGAAAGUUUUUCUUGAGAGGUUAAACAAGUCCAAUAACAUAUUUGAAAAGUUUUCUCUUUGGGAGAAACUCAUCACAACAGGGAAGGAGAUGAGUUAAAAAAAUCAAAAUGGAGCUCAGAAAUCCAAAGUUUUAAUUCCUAUCAAAAUUUUAAUUUAAUAAAACAAGGCCAAAUUUUUUUUGGGGUGUCACACCGGUGCAUAGAUUGUCUUCGGCAUUGCUGGGCGGGUUCCAUCUCCGAAUACUUCCAGAUAAAUUCCGAACACAAGUACCGUGUCCGGCUCCGCAUGAUAAAUUCCAUAUACCACCAUAGAGAGAAUAAUAAUCCAUGAAUCUAAUCUGCUGAUGACUCUUCGAAACGUGACAUCACGCCACGGUCCUGCUUUUAUUCGAACCAUUUUUUAUAACCAGCUACCGCACACAUUACGAGGUAGUUCCUUUGGCACGUCUUGUCGAAGCAGAGAUCGUGUCCCUCUUAUCGUGGGAUCCUCAUCAAUACGGGUAUGGGUAAUCCAACCAUGCAUGUUGGCAUGACUCCAUGUUUUUAGGCAAGUCGACAACGGUUACGCCGGGGACGCUUGAUAUUCUCCCCCUUUAUAGAGGGGUCGAGGCCUAUCCCUUUAUCUCCACGCUUGCGCCUUCCCGCACUUCAAGUUCCAACACCCAAAGCUCAAGCUUAAGCACCUCGGAUCUUCGAUCAUGUCCGAAUCCUACCGUAAAGGCCGGUGGAUGGCUUCCUCUUUCACAGAGGAGGACAUUGCGAAGAUUUGGGAGGCCGGGUAUUUGACUGCCGAUGUCAAGUACAUGCUUCCCGCCCCUGAGUAGGUUAUCCCUACUCCUGAGCCCAACGAGAGCGUCGUAUUUGUCUCUCACUUCCUCCGGGGCUUGGGCUUGACUCUUGACCCCUUCGUGAGAGGGCUCAUGUUCUAUUAUGGACUAGAUUUUCACGAUCUAGCUCCGGAUUCCAUCCUUCACAUCUCGUCAUUUAUCGUCGUGUGCGAAGCCUUCCUCCACGUCACCCCACACUUCGGCUUAUGGCUCAAGACCUUCAACGUGAAGCCGAGGGUGAUCGAGGGGCGACAUGCAGAGUGCGGAGGCGCCGUAAUAAGCAGAAACGCCGAUGCCUCGUGGCCCGAAGGCUCCUUCCCGGAGGUGUCUGAUCUAUGGCAAUGGAGGUGGUUCUAUGUCACAGCUCCCUGAGGCUCAAAGUGGGCGGCCGCCCCCGCCUUCCGCUCGGGCCCUCCGCCUGAACUGGCAUCGCGGGAUAACGUGGGACUGGACCGGGGGCCUGCAAACGAUGUAUCGACAUUGCAAAGCCGCAUUCAGGAGCUUCUCGAGAGGGAUAUUAGUCUCGUCAAAAUAAUGCAGGUAAUGCUAGUCCGGCGGGCCCUGCCGUGUAAACGUCGACCUCUCCGGAUGUGGGAGUUCAAUCCAGAAGGCCCGCAAACCGUUCAACACUUCUUCGGCAUGACACCGGAAGGAAUGUAUAAGUUGUUCUUUGGACCAUGAAUAAAGUGUCCGGACACCGUCGAGGAUGCGGGCCUGAGCUGCAACCGCCCAGAUACCCAAGUAAGUAACCCUGUGACCAAACACUUCAUUUAUAUUUAUCAUAACAUUGUUCUGAAAAACUGUCCACAACCAGGAUUGGAUUAGCAAGGCGGAGAGAAUCAGCUGUCUGGCCCCGCUUCCCGAAGGCUUGCCUGGUCCGGCAAUAGCCAGGAUGCUAAAACAGGCGCUAAGUCAAGUGCCAUCGAAGAAAGAUGAAGGGAGGAGUGGAGAGGCCAAGAGUGAGCCUCACACAUUGUGCAUCCGAACCGGGGGAAUUAAUGUUUCCACAGAGGACGACAAUCGGGGAAGUGAAUCUAAGGUUUCCUCCCCCCGCGGGAAGAAGAGGGCUGCCUCCGGAGACUUGGAAACGGAGGCGCCUAAACAAGGGAAGAAAACUUCACCAAAGGGCCCUGCCCUGAAGGGCGCUCUUACUGCACCGUGCCCGCUAACGGGACAACCCUCCAUAGAGCUGUAAGUUAAUAAACAAGAAGCUUAUUGCUUUUUCCUCUGAGAGUAAUAACCAAGACCUAUUUUUUGUAGUCCGGCUAGCAGUUCGUCUCAACAGGGUUCGUCCUCGGGGAUCUUCUUCCGGAGAUGAUGGAGAGUGAAACCCCACCCGCCUCUCCGCCCCAUGGGGCAGGCGACCCUGAGGUGUCGUCACGGAGGAGUCCAGAUCCACUUAGGCCAGAAGCUAAGACUUUGGCCAUCCCGAGCCCAGCGCGUUCGACUUCUGUGGAGGGCAAUGAGAAGGGUCCAGGAGAGUCCGGUGCCCGGCCGAACAUACUGACGGGCCUCCUGGAGUCCAUUGCUCUCUCGCAGGAUCACCGUACACUAAUGGGUACGGUGUUGGGGAAAAUUUCCUCCGCCACAAGCGGGUUAAAUGAAGCUUUUAGGAGCUUGCUCAAAGGUUUUGAGGUAAGCAAUGAAAUACGCAGUUUUUGGUUGCACCGCACGCGAUAGAUGUGCUCUGUAUAGAUAGUAGACCCUGAGACUAUGGUUGCCAGCCCAUGGCGGCAAACGGAGGAUCACACUCCCAGGUAAUCAUCGCACUUGUAUUGAUGUGCAGGUUGCUAAGGGUCCGGCGAUAGACCAGACCGCUGAAUUCGCCGAAUUGAGGCGACAGAUUGACGUGGUGGAGGCCGACAACACGCUUGUAAACAAGCGAUUCGAUGAAUCGCAGAGUACGCGCUCUUAUUUCCGUAUUUUUUUAGGAAAUUGUAAGAAGGUUGUAAUAUUAAUAUGAGGUGAUGUGGCUGCAGGCGGUGCUGCUGCCAUUGAGGCCCUGAGGGCGGAACUUGCCCUAGCCAAGGAACAAGCCCGGGUUAGCAAUGCGGCUGCCCUAAAGGCAGCCGAAGACUUGAAAGCCGAACAGGCUGCUCAUCUCCGAAGCGAGGAGAAGAUAGCCGAGAUGGCUGUGGAGCUGAGGGACACCGCCGGCCGAUAUGAGCUUCUCGAGAAGGAGAAUCAGGAGAAGGCGGCUGACCUGAAGAGGGCGCUAGAUUCGGCUAAGGAGAUGCACUCUGAUAUUAGAGACGCGAGGGAGGAACUUCGACAAGCCGGAGAAAUCGUGGCUGGAAACCCCUAAUUAUUGCGGAUGAAGUUCGUAGAUCCAAAGUAUGCUCCUUUGGAUCAACUUUGGAGCACUACAGAUGAUUAUGCGGACUUGGCGAAGAGUACGGUUGAUGCGACCAAGUUAUUCAAGGAUCAUAAAGAUAAUGAAAUAGAAAGGCUAUUCUGAUCGUAAUUUAGGGCUCCGACGCGCUCAUUGCCAUUGAGUGAGAAGAUGGCCGCUAUAGCCGAGCUCCAUAGGUUGUCCGGUCUUGCAAUGAGGUCUGUAAUAGACCAUCUAUGGCCGAAAGGACCGAGGCCGGACAGUUACUGUGGUUUAGUGCAGCAACUAUUUGGCGCCAAAGCGCGGAUAGAUGCCGUGAAGAGGUCGGCAUGCAUAGAGGGUGCGCAGAUGGCUCUUGCCCAUGUUAAGACAUAUUGGGCAGAUAUGGAGGCCACCAGCAUUGCAACCCAGGGUCCGGCAGGAAGCCAAGACCCCGCCGAGCACUAUUUUGAGCAGGUCACAGAAGGUGCCCGUAGAAUAGAGGCUCAGUGCUCGAAGAAUGUCAUAUUUGAGUGACAAGUCUAUUGAUUGUAAACAAUUAUGUGUUAAUUAUAGAGGCUAUUUUUUAUACUUUUGCCUGAAAGUAUUAUAAUGUCUCCUGUGUGGCUGUUUAUGUAUGCAUCUAACAGGAAAGUUAGCAGUCAUUGGCUUUAGCCCCCACGCAUAUAAUGCGGGGGUGUUCAAAAAAAUAUGCGUAAACACACUUGAUCCAACAUCCUGGUCCGUUAAGGAGGUGAUCGCACGUCGAACCAGGCAACCAGACUAUAUAGCUGUAACACUUUCACUUAGCCAUCGGAGUUGAAAGGUGGGGCUACUAUGUAGCCCCUAGUACUUCCGCGUGCAUCCGGAUACGGUGCGCGUACUUGACCGGGAAACCGGUCCUUCGUUGAUGCGGAGGAAUCCUAUAGAUUCCGAUGAGUCCUCGAGUGGUUGACCAGGCUCUCGUUGUAUCAUGACAGUCAGUUUUCGGCUUUCUCUACUGAGGUGUUCAUCCGGAAUAACCAGGGCAAAAUCGCAGUAGUUCUCCUUUGGCCGUCUUAGCCGAUAGAACGGAACGUAAGGCAGCAAACCCAUGAUCCGGGCUAACCCAACAUUUGACCAAAGACAUGAUUCGGAGCUGAUGCAUAUAAGGCCAAACUCGCGACGCCGAACACUCCCAAAGGUAUUCGGACUUUAGAACAUAUACUGGGCUGAGUAACGCCCUUGACCCUUUAUUUCCAGGUACGUGCAUGAAUCGUCGUGGCAAAAAGCCUAUAACGCCAAUGUCCCUUGUGGGUGUAUGAAAUACCCAUGGGAUGUCAAGCAACAAAAGACAGUAAAGAAGGUUUACAUAGGCACUUAAGCUAAAGAGAAACAUUUGGGCGGGGCCCUACUACACGUCUGCGCCUUUGUCUUCAUUGUGCCAUAUCCUAGAAGGGUGUCGCACGAGUAGUGUCUGUAAAAACAAAAACUCAUAUAGAGGAGUAAGCAUGCGGGAAGUUGGUGAUUCUCAAUGGAUAUUAGAAAUAUGAGAUAUUGGCCUAUUGAUAAGGGAAGCCGAAUUGUGGGCCUUAUUAUGUAUUGACAGCCCCUAGUACCAUUUAUGGGGAUAUAUGUAUAGCACCCAGCCAGGGUUUAUCUAGGCUAUUGUUGAUGGUGGUGCACCAGACUCGUCUAGCCGUGUCCAUGGUCUGAACGGCCGAUCAUGCGUUCUAAUGGGAGAGGCCGCCUAGAGUCCAGCAGCAGGAGUUGCCGCAUACUGCUCUGUAUUUCCACUAAUCGUUAUGACGCCACGUGGACCGGGCAUCUUAAGUUUAAGGCAGGCGUAGUUCGGUAUUGCAUUAAAGCAAGCGAAGGACGUUCUUCCGAGUAAUGCAUGAUAACUGCUGCUGAAGGGAAGCAAGUACAAGAGUAAUUCCUUGCUUCUGAAGUUGUUGGGAGUACCGAAUGUUACUUCUAACACGAGGGAGCCCCGGCAGCGGGCUUCAACGCCUGGUAUCACUCUGCUAAAGGUGGUGUUACUCUGGCUUAUUCUGGAUGGGUCUAUCCCCAUCUUGCGGACAGCGUCCUGAUUACUACUGCUGCCGUCCAUUAGGACUCGAGUGAGAUGGUAUCCACCAUUUAUUGGGUCGAGCACCAAGGCAGCGGAUUCUCCACGCCGGAUGCUGGCCACGUGGUCCAUGUGAUCAAAAGUGAUCGGGCAGGCCUCCCGGGGGUUUUGACUUCUGGUGGGAAUUUUUUCUGUCCCCCAGUGUUCGGCUGGCGAGGCUCAUCCUCGUCUUCGCGUGGUGUUUCCCUUCCCUUGUGAUCGGCGUUUAACCUGCCGGCCUGCUUGAAGACCCAACAUUCUCUGUGAGUAUGAUUUGCAGCUUUUUCCGGGGUGCCAUGGAUUUGACAUAGUCUGUCCAGGAUUUAUUUUGGCCGAACAGUCCUUCUUUGCUGCGUUUAAAUGGCUUCUUUCUCUGACUGGGUCGCGAGCCCCUGAAUCCGGUGUUGACCGCCGUGUUUUCCGGACUAUCUUCAUUGCUUCGACGCUUAUUCUUGUUGCGUCGUGGCUUUCCAUUGCCAUCUUGAAUUUUGGAUGUGCCUGGGUCGCUGGUGCCUCUAUGGGCCAACCAGCUGUCCUCGCCCACACAAAAGCGGGUCAUAAGGCUUGUUAAGGCCGCCAUCGUCCUUGGCUUUUCUUGGCCGAGGUGUCUGGCAAGCCACUCGUCCCGGAUACUAUGCUUGAAGGCCGCUAGGGCUUCAGCAUUCAGACAGUUGAUGAUUUGAUUCUUCUUAGUGAGAAAUCUGUUCCAAAGCUUAUGGGCUGACUCUCCGGGCUAUUGUAUUAUGUGACUUAAAUCAUCUACAUCUGGAGGUCGGACAUAGGUCCCUUGAAAAUUGGCCCUGAAAGCGUCCUCAAGUUCCUCCCAACUUCCAAUUGAAUUUUCGGGGAGGCUUUUCAACCAGUGCCGAGCUGGCCCUUUCAACUUGAGGGCGAGGUAUUUGAUGGCGUGGAGAUCGUCCCCUCGAGCCAUGUGGAUAUGAAGGAUAAAGUCCUCAAUCCAUACCCCAAGGUCUGUCAUUCCGUCGUAUGCCUCUAUAUUCACGGGUUUGAAUCCCUGUGGAAAUUCGUGAUCCAACACCUCGUCGGUGAAACACAGAGGGUGUGCAGCCCCUCUGUACCUGGAUAUGUUAGGGCGUGCUAUCAAUGGUUGUUGUAUCCGGGUUUGAUUCCGGACUGGUAUUUGAUCAGUAUGAUCAUUUUGGUGACCAUAAUCUUGUGCUUGAGCGCGCCCUCUAUAUCCAUAGACGGACCUGGUCGCACCAGCCUUUUUGUCCAAGAGCUUACGUAAAUCAUGGGCUGACUUGUGUGCGACACCGGUGGCUGCUCUAUCGCGGCCAUGAGGUGGUCGGUCCAGUUGAUCGGCUGUAGUAUUCUUUGGCGGAAUGGGCUCUAAGGCUUCAUUGUCGAAUUCUGGCAGUAGCUUGCGCUUUCGGUAGCUCUUUGUUUGGCGAUCGUCGCCGUAUUUUUCUUCAGUGUCUAGCACUUUCUUCCAUCUUCGGUUGAGCGUGUCCUGCGUGGCGUUAAGCCUUUGCUUCUGCUUCUUUAAGCUCCUCGCCAUGGCAAUAAGCCUUUUGCGGAGGUUAUCUUGUUCCAGACGUUUUUCCGGGAUGACGAAUGCAUCGUCAACCGGACUGUCCUCCCCUUUGGAGGCAGUGUGAUAAGUUCGGCCCUCGGGAUCGCUGUGAUCGGGCAUCUGCUCCGGGCUGUGUUUGGCGUGACCUGGCUUAUCCUGCUCCAUCACUGGGUCCCUAUGGUCAUUGUUGCCUUUGGAGUCAACCGAAGUGUCAUCCUUUUUUGCGUUGUUAUCGCUAUUUUAACUAUGACUGGACUUAGAGCAGCGCCUGCGUCGUCUUUUUUGCUUUUGUCUGGGGGGUUUAUCCUCCAUUGUGUCCCUUUUGUCACCAUUGCCUUCUUUAGGCGUAUCCACCAUGUAGACGUCAUGUGAUGAAGUGGCAGUCCAGCGCCCCGUAGGCGGUGGUUCCAGAUCGUCCCCUGCAUUGACGUCCAUACCAUCGAUGUUGUCGGAGUCGAAGUCAAGCAUGUCUGUUAGGUCAUUGACAGUGGCUAUAAAGUGGGUGGUGGGUGGGUUGCAAUUUUUGUUCGUCAUCCGUGUCCCACACGGGCCGGGUAUAGUUCGGCCAAGAGUCUCCUGAUAAAGAGAGAGAUUUUAACGAAUUUAGCACAUCAGCGAGGGGGAGUGCUGAAAGAUAUCCGCGGUGGUGAAUUCCAUUAUUGGAACCCAAUCGGACUCGAUGGGUCCGGAUGCGUGCGGUUCAGAGCCCACACCCGAACACAGGUCCGGGGGUCCGGAGAUAUGGAUUUCCCUAGGAGAGGAGUCUGUGUUCGGCUCCAAUGCCGAUGAGUGUGUGGCCUCCGGGGCGGGGUCCAUCCACCCGUCCUUGGGAGGCACGAUCUGCUCCGGACCAAAGUCCAGAGUCGUAGCAGGCAGGAUAUUCCGUAUACUGUCCGAUGACAGAUCUAAGUCAUGCGUGUGGCGAUCAUUUGGCGCUCCUGACAUGGGCUCGAAUCGGUCGAAGAUCAAGUCUCCGCGGAUGUCGGAAGUGUAGUUUAGGUUUCCAAACCUGACCUGAUGGCCAGGGGCAUAGCUAUCGAUCUGCUCCAGAUGGCCAAGCGAGUUGGCCCGCAGUGCGAAGCCGCCGAACAUGAAGAUCUGUUUGGGGAGAAAAGUCUUACCCUGGACUGUGUUGUCGAAGAUUGAAGGAGCCAUCAAGCCUUAUGAUGACGACACAGAGGAACUCUCAAUGAAAGCACCAAUGUCGGUGUCAAAACCGGCGGAUCUCGGGUAGGGGGUCCCGAACUAUGCGUCUAAGGCUAAUGGUAAAAGGAGACUGGGGACACGAUGUUUACCCAGGUUCGGGCCCUCUCGAUGGAGGUAAUACCCUACUUCCUGCUUGAUUGAUCUUGAUGAUAUGGGUAUUACAAGAGUUGAUCUACCACGAGAUCGUAGAGGCUAAACCCUAGAAGCUAGCCUAUGAUUAUGAUUGUCAUGCCCUACGGACUAAAACCCUCCAGUUUAUAUAGACACCGGAGGAGGCUAGGGUUACAUGGAGUCGGUUACAGAGAAGGAGAUUAUAAUGCGGACCGCCAAGCUUGCCUUCCACGCCAAGGAGAGUCCCAUCUAGACAUGGGAUGAAGUCUUCAAUCUUGUAUCUUCAUAGUCCAAUAGUCCGGCCAAAGUAUAUAGUCCGGCUGUCCGGAUACCCCCUUAUCCAGGACUCCCUCACUCUCCCUUGCCCCUCGACCCUCGCCCACAUGGUGGACGUGCAGCAAUUCAUUUGGUCUCAUAUAGCUAGAACUGCACUACCAUUAUUGCUCGACUUCCCGAAGAGGCGAAGAGCCAAUCACAAGGUUAAUAUUUUGGAGAUGCCAAGCACAAGGUUAUAGGAGAACGAGUUGUAGGUGCCGCGUCAUUUAUAAAUAAAGUUUUUUUCUUCAGUGGCACAUACGCAAUAUGAUAGGUUCAUAUGGAGAGAAAAGGAAACCGCUCCACUAUAUACAUAGUCAGGACGGGCCAGCCUACACGGUUGCUUGCUGGGGUUGCUCUCUUCACACUCUCUCGCACAAAAUGACUGUGGCCACAUCUCUAACAUCCCACUGUCGGCACGUCCCAAUCAGGAGUCCCCGCUGUUCUCUCUCACAAAUCCGUUGAGGUUGCCAUCGUCCCUUGCUAACUGCCGCGACGUGGGCAGUUGCCGCCUCCUGCCGCCCUCCUCAAGGUUGAGCUACGUCCCUCAGGUACAACUCCCUUUACAGCCGGCUUGCACCACUACUCCAGCUGCCCACAUCAGUCCCUGUGCAUAUUUCUCUACUUCUUUGCCCCGCACAUACCUCUACUGGCUUCUACGUACUGUAUUUGUGAAUCAACUAGUCCCAUUAAUCUUAUUCUAAUCGCGCUUCUUCAAUUUCUUUGCCACAGGGAUGCUCAUCUCGAUUUUGGUGAAACUGCACAAAAUGAUCCGAUGGUCAAAAGGUUGCAAACUUCAUUUAUUAGGAAGCUCGAACGUUGCCAGCAAAUUGAAGCCUGGUUAGGGUUCACGGUUCAAGGGCUAUGGACUGCAUGCAUCGCUUUUUCUUUAGCUUCCUCUGUUCCAAAAUAAGUGUCAACUUUAGUAGUAGCACAACUUUGUACUAAAGUUUGCACAAAGUUGAGACACUUAUUUUGGAACGGAGGGAGUACAUAUUUUCCAUGAUCUGUCAAUCAUUGAGAUGCAAUAGCAUGCAUGUUAGUCUCCUUUGUAUUUGAUGAAAUGUUGCAACGGGCAACCUUGGAUGCAAGAUACAUGUAACAGAAGCUGGAAGCUCCAUAGCAUUGUACAAAUUUAUCUCACUGAUAAAUUAUAGUAUGUACUAUACUAGUACUUCCUCCGUUCCUAAAUAUAAGUCUUUGUAGAGAUUUCACCAUGAACCACAUGCGGAUGUAUAUAGAUGCAUUUUAAGUGUAGAUUCAUUCAUUUUGUUCCGUAUGUAGUUCACCUAGUGGAAUCUCUACAAAGACUUAUCUACUAGUAAUAGCUAGCCCCCACUACUAGGAAUUCUCUAUCCUCUCCUUGAGCCACAUCAUCAAAAUUAAUGUAGCCUUACAUGAACUAAAUUAGUCCAUAAUAGCCGUCUGAUCUAGACGUUGAGAAGCUCCGCACUAGGCCACAUGCAAGCAUGCAGAAAUACCGUGGCAUGCAUGUGAGUGGGUUUUAAAUCACAUCAACAUGUCUGCAAGCAAGCACUACUAGGAAAAGGGCUAUAGAUGAUAUGGCCACUAAUGGUGCACUAGACAUGUGGUGCGCCACUACCAUAAGCAGUGGCGCACCAUGUGUCGGUGCGCCAUUAGUGUGAUAGACACUAAUGGCGCACCAGACCCAUGGUGCGCCACUAGUAACAAUUUUUUUAUUUUCCCCAAAAUACUAAUGGCGCACCAGGGCACAGUGCGCCAUUACUAGUUUUAACUAGUAAUGGCGCACCAGCCACACAGUGCGCCACUAAUAUUUUUUUUGCAAAACUACUAAUGGUGCACCACCAGCUGGUGCGCCAUUAGUAACCAGGGUUACUAAUGGCGCAUUUGUAGCUGGUGCGCCAUUAGUAACCUGGGACCAGCUAGAUAUUUUGGACAGCCACACCUACACACUCACUUUCCCCACUUCAUUCUCUCCACCUCCUCCUCCAAGCUUGUCUCGGCUGCCUCCUCCUCCUCACCUCAUUUGCACCAUAGAUUCAUCCAAAUUAAGUGGUUAAAUUACCUUUUUUGAUAGGUAAGUAAGGGGAAAGCUAUCUUUAUGUUGUAGAUCUACUUUUUUUUCUCCCUCCAACAACGUGCACAUGCACUUUUUAUGGCCUAGCUAGAUCUAUGUAUGUUUGUGGUGUUGCAUAUAUUUGUGGUGUUGCAUAUAUGUUUGUGUUUGCAGGUACCGGUAUUUGAAAUGCGAUAGUUGCCAAUAUUUUGCCGGAAUGUUGAUUCAUUUCCGUUUCGGCGAGAAUUUUGGUACUAUGCAUUCUUUUUGGUCCUAUUUUUAGGCAAAGUCAUUCCAAAUUUUUUCUUGGUUCUAAAAUAUCGUUUUGCUCUACCCCGCAGGUGACCAUGGUCCGCACGAUGACCGAAGGCAUAGUGAAUAGUUUUUUGAGCUCCGCGAAGGCCGAGAUGCUUCAAAAGAACGAGAUGGAGAUAAGAUGUCCAUGUCGAAGAUGCAAGCUGAGGAGCCUUAUGGACCCGGAUUCCGUACAGGUGCGGGACCACCUGCUCUUGCAUGGUUUCAUGGAUGGCUAUCGGUGGCAAGGUGAUGACGAUGAUUAUGAAGUCGUCCAUGGGGGCCGGGCAAGAAAUGAGGAAGGGCAGCAAGACAACCGCGGCGAGGGCGGGCGAGAAAACGAAGAAUCUCCAGGACAUGAUCACGAAGUAGAUGCAGUACACAGUCAUCAUGUAGAAGAUUCCAGAAAUGAUGAUGAGGAAGAUGCAGGAACAGACGAAGGGCAUGAUCAUGAAGAUGAAGAUGCCGGAGCAGACGACGAUGGACCAUCGAUGAGCUGGGUGCAGGACCCUCAUAUUCAAGAGCUGCUUCUCAAGCAUACGGAUAACGCAAGAGCUGCCGCCCGAGAGAAAGCCAAGCUGGAUCAACUGGAGAUAGACGCGGUUACUCCAUUGUAUGAAGGAUGCAGACCCGAGGAUACCCACCUGAAAGUAACGCUCAUGGCUCUGGAGAUGAAGGUAAAACACAAAAUGACCGACACAUGCUUCGACGAGAACAUGUCAUUCUGGCACGAACGUCUUCCCAAGGGGAACAAGUGCCCGGCCAGUUUUGAGGAGGCGAAGAAAAUCGUGUGUCCUCUGGAUUUACCGCACAUGAAAUACCAUGUGUGCAUGAACAAUUGCAUCAUUUAUUCGGACGAGAACGAGGAGUCUACCAUAUGUCCGGUGUGCAGCGUCACUCGAUACAAGAAGAGGAAGAAAGCUCCUCGAAAAGUGGUGUGGUACUUUCUGAUCAUUCCUCAUCUGCAGCGGUAUUUCGCGGACCCUAAGGUAGAAAAGCUCCUACGUUGGCACGCAGAUAGGGAGGAGAAGAAGCAAGAAGAUGACACAAAUGAUCCGGAGAUAAAUAAAAUAGACAAGAUGCUGAGUCACCCUAAGGAUAGGAGCCAGUGGCAAGCGUUGAACUUCGAACACCCAGAAUUUGGGAGGAUACAAGGAACAUCAUGCUGGGCGCGAGCAUCGAUGGAGUCAAUCCGUUUGGCAGCCAGAGAAGCACACAUAUCACCUGGCUUGUGUUUGUGUGGAUAUACAACCUUCCCCCCUGGUUGUGUGCAUGAAGAGGAAGUACAUUCACAUGAGUAUGCUAAUUGAAGGGCCGAAACAACCAGGGAACAACAUCAAUUUGUAUCUAGGGAUGCAGAAAGAGGAGCUAGACACGCUAUGGAAAAUGCCAGCCAAUAUGUGGGACGCCGCAGAGAAAGAAUAUUUCCCUAUGAGAGCCGCACUGCUCACGACGGUGCACAACUAUUUCGGUUACGGAUAUGUCACGGGGAAGGUGGUCCAUGGAUUUUCUGGAUGCGUCACGUGCAUGGAUGACACGAAGUAUUGCCAGCUAGAUAGAGAUCCCGGUGUCGGUGUCAAAACCGGCGGAUCUCAGGUAGGGGGUCCCGAACUGUGCGUCUAAGGCUAAUGGUAACAGGAGACUGGGAACACGAUGUUUACCUAGGUUCGGGCCCUCUCGAUGGAGGUAAUACCCUACUUCCUGCUUGAUUGAUCUUGAUGAUAUGAGUAUUACAAGAGUUGAUCUACCACGAGAUCAUAGAGGCUAAACCCUAGAAGCUAGCCUAUGAUUAGAUUGUGUGUUGCCCUACGGACUAAAACCCUCCGGUUUAUAUAGACACCGGAGGAGUCUAGGGUUACAUGGAGUCGGUUACAGAGAAGGAGAUCUCUAAUCCGGAUCGCCAAGCUUUCCUUCCACGCCAAGGAGAGUCCCAUCCGGACACAGGACGAAGUCUUCAAUCUUGUAUCUUCAUAGUCCAACAGUCCGGCCAAAGUAUAUAGUCCGGCUGUCCGGAUACCCCCUUAUCCAGGACUCCCUCAGUAGUCCCUGAACCAGGCUUCAAUGACGAUGAGUCCCGCCACAGAUUGUCUUCGACAUUGCAAGGCGGGUUCCAUCUCCGAAUACUCCAAAGAAAUCUUCGAAUACUUAAAUUGUGUCCGACUCUGUAAGACAAAAUUCCACAUACCACCGUAGAGAUGACAAUAUUUCACAAAUCAAAUCUGCUGACCACUUUUUACCACGUGACAGCACGCCAUGGUCCGGUCAUUAUUCGAACCGUUUUUCACAACCAGCUCCCGCACAUAUUGCGUGGUGGUUUCUUUGGCACGUCUUGUCAAAGCAGAGAUCGUGUCCCCUUAUCGCGGGAUCUUCAUCAAUACGGGUAUGGGUAACCCUACCAGCGCCAUCAAUCAAGGCGCUUGGAAAAUAAGUGAUUUCGAGAGGCAAGUGGGGAGGCACACAUUCUGCAUCGCCUUUAUAAAGGGACAAGGAUCUCCCGUUUUCACCCACGCCUUCUUCCUCCUUUGCCCAUCCGUUCUCGCCCUCUCGAGCCCCAGCGCCCAAUUUCUCACCUUCUCCGUAGGACCGCAACAUGUCCGGAGCGGGAGGCAAGUGGAUGGCCAGAGGAGGACAUUACCAAGCUUCGAGCAUCGCGCACAAGCUUCCGGCGGAGGGUCAGAUCACACCCACCCCAAAGUCUCGGGAGAGAGUAGUAUUUCUCCCUCAUUUCAUCCGCGGACGAGGAUUUCCACUCCACCCGUUUGUCCGUGGGCUCAUGUAUUACUACGGGCUAGAUUUUCACGAUCUAGCCCCGAAUUUUUUCAUCAACAUCUCGGCGUUCAUCGUCGUGUGUGAGGCCUUCCUCCGCAUCAAUCCCUACUUCGGCCCGUGGUUGCACAUCUUCUGCGUGAAGCCGAAGAUCGUGAGCGGCCAACAGGCGGAGUGCGGAGGCGCCAUGGUGGGCAGAAUGCCCAACAUUACAUGGCUUGAUGGCUCCUUCAUGGAGACCAUGAAAGGGUGGCAAUCAGGGUGGUUCUACAUCACCGAGCCGCGUGACGCCAACUGGGUGGCGGCCCUGAAAUUCAGAUCCGGAAUCCCCAUGCGGCUCACUUCUUGGGAAAAGAAGGGCCUGGCCUGGGGCGAAUCCACGGAGCUGACCGGACUCGAGACCUGCAUCAAAAGUAUGAGGGACAAUAAGAUCCAGCUUGUCAAUGUGGUCCAGGUCAUGCUCGUUCGCCGGAUUCUCCCGUGCCAAAGACGGGCAUUCAAUAUGUGGGAGUUCGAUCCGGCAGAACACUAGAUGCUGCUGAAGGAAAUAUGCCCUAGAGGCAAUAAUAAAGUUAUUAUUUAUUUCCUUAUAUCAUGAUAAAUGUUUAUUAUUCAUGCUAGAAUUGUAUUAACCGGAAACAUAAUACAUGUGUGAAUACAUAGACAAACAUAGUGUCACUAGUAUGCCUCUACUUGACUAGCUCGUUUAUCAAAGAUGGUUGUGUUUCCUAGCCAUGGACAAAAGAGUUGUCAUUUGAUUAACGGGAUCACAUCAUUAGGAGAAUGAUGUGAUUGACAUGACCCAUUCCGCUAGCCUAGCACUUGAUCGUUUAGUAUGUUGCUAUUGCUUUCUUCAUGACUUAUACAAAGUUCCUGUAACUAUGAGAUUGUGCAACUCACGUUUACCGGAAGAACACUUUGUGUGCUACCAAACGUCACAACGUAACUGGGUGAUUAUAAAGGUGCUCUACAGGUGUUUCCGAAGGUACAUGUUGGGUUGGCAUAAUUCGAGAUUAGGUUUUGUCACUCCGAUUGUCGGAGAGGUAUCUCUGGGCCCUCUCGGUAAUACUCAUCACCUAAGCCUUGCAAGCAUUGUAACUAAUGAGUUAGUUAUAAGAUGAUGUGUUACAGAACAAGUAAAGAGACUUGCCGGUAACGAGAUUGAACUAGGUAUUGGAUACCAACGAUCAAAUCUCGGGUAAGUAACAUACCGAUGACAAAGGGAACAACGUAUGUUGUUAUGCGGUUUGACCGAUAAAGAUCUUCGUAGAAUAUGUAGGAGCCAAUAUGGGCAUCCAGGUUCCGCUAUUGGUUAUUGACCAAGAAUAGUUCUAGGUCAUGUCUACAUAGUUCUCGAACCCGUAGGGUCCGCACGCUUAAGGUUUCGAUGACAGUUAUAUUAUGAGUUUAUGAGUUUUGAUGUACCAAAGGAGUUCGGAGUCCCGGAUGAGAUCGGAGGCAUGACGAGGAGUCUCAAAAUGCUCGAGACGUAAAGAUCGAUAUAUUGGACGACUAUAUUCGGAGUUCGGAAAGGUUCCGAGUGAUUCGGGUAUUUUUCGGAGUACCGGAGAGUUACGGGAAUUCGCCGGGGAGUAUAUGGGCCUUAUUGGGCCAUACGGGAAUUAAGGAGAGAGGCCGAAAGGAAGGAGGCGUGCAGCCCCCCUCUGGUCUGAAUUGGACAAGGGGUGCAGCCUAUGACCCCCCUCUGCGUUUGGAUCGGUCGGAUCGUGAAGACGUACGACUACAUCAACCGCGUUGUCAUAACGCUUCCGCUUACGGUCUACGAGGUUACGUGGACAACACUCUCUCCUCUCGUUGCUAUGCCAUCACCAUGAUCUUGCGUGUGCGUAGGAAUUUUUUUGAAAUUACUACGAUCUCCAACAGUGGCAUCCGAGCCUGGUUUUAUGCGUAGAUGUCAUAUGCACGAGUAGAACACAAGUAGUUGUGGGCGAUAUAAGUCAUACUGCUUACCAACAUGUCAUACUUUGGUUCGGCGUUAUUGUGAGAUGAAGCGGACCGGACCGACAUUACGUGUACGCUUACGCGAGACUGGGUUCACCGCUACGAGCACUCGUUGCUUAAAGGUGACCGGCGGGUGUCUGUCUCUCUCACUUUAGCUGAAUCGAGUGUGGCUACGCCCAGUCCUUGCGAAGGUUAAAACAGCACCAACUUGACAAACUAUCGUUGUGGUUUUUGAUACGUAGGUAAGAACGGUUCUUGCUAAGCCCGUAGCAGCCACGUAAAACUUUCAACAACAAAGUAGCGGACGUCUAACUUGUUUUUGCAGGGCAUGUUGUGAUGUGAUAUGGUCAAGACGUGAUGCUAUAUUUUAUUAUAUGAGAUAAUCAUGUUUUGUAACCGAAGUUAUCGGCAACUGGCAGGAGCCAUAUGGUUGUCGCUUUAUUGUAUGAAAUGCAAACGCCCUGUAAAUGCUUUACUUUAUCACUAAGCAGUAGCGAUAGUCGUAGAAGCAAUAGUUGGCGUGACGACAACGAUGCUACGAUGAAGAUCAAGGUGUCGCGCCAGUGACGAUGGUGAUCAUGACGGUGCUUCGGAGAUGGAGAUCACAAGCACAAGAUGAUGAUGGCCAUAUCAUAUCACUUAUAUUGAUUGCAUGUGAUGUUUUUCCUUUAUGCAUCUUAUCUUGCUUUGAUUGACGGUAGCAUUUUAAGAUGAUCUCUCACUAAAAUUAUCAAGAAGUGUUCUCCCUGAGUAUGCACCGUUGCCAAAGUUCAUCGUGCCCAGACACCACGUGAUGAUCGGGUGUGAUAAGCUCUACGUCCAUCUACAACGGGUGCAAGACAAUUUUGCACACGCGGAAUACUUAGGUUAAACUUGACGAGCCUAGCAUAUGCAGAUAUGGCCUCGGAACACGGAGACCGAAAGGUCGAGCGUGAAUCAUAUAGUAGAUAUGAUCAACAUAGUGAUGUUCACCAUUGAAAACUACUCCAUCUCACGUGAUGAUAGGUUAUGGUUUAGUUGAUUUGGAUCACGUGAUCACUUAGAUGACUAGAGAGAUGUCUGUCUAAGUGGGAGUUCUUAAAUAAUAUGAUUAAUUGAACUUAAAUUUAUCAUGAACUUAGUCCUAGUAGUAUUUUGCAAAUUAUGUUGUAGAUCAAUAGCUUGCAUUGUUGCUUUCAUAUGUUUAUUUUGAUAUGUUCCUAGAGAAAAUUGUGUUGAAAAAUGUUAGUAGCAAUGAUGCGGAUUGGAUCCGUGAUCUGAGGUUUAUCCUCAUUGCUGCGCAGAAGAAUUAUGUCCUUGAUGCACCGCUAGGUGACAAACCUAUUGCAGGAGCAGAUGUAGACGUUAUGAACGUUUGGCUAGCUCAAUAUGAUGACUACUUGAUAGUUUAGUGCACCAUGCUUAAUGGCUUAGAAUCGGGACUUCAAAGAAGUUUUGAACGUCAUGGACCAUAUGAGAUGUUCCAGGAGUUGAAGUUAAUAUUUCAAGCAAAUACCCGAGUUGAGAGAUAUAAAAUCUCCAACAAGUUCUAUAGCUAAAAGAUGGAGGAGAAUCUCUCAACUAGUGAGCAUGUGCUCAGAUUGUCUGGGUACUACAAUCGCUUGAAUCAAGUGGGAGUUAAUCUUCCAGAUAAAAUAGUGAUUGACAGAAUUCUCUAGUCACCAUCACCAAGUUAGUAGAACUUCGUGAUGAACUAUAAUAUGCAAGGGAUAACGGAAACGAUUCCCGAGCUCUUCGUGAUGCUAAAAUCAACGAAAGUAGAAAUCAAGAAAAACAUCAAGUGUUGAUGGUAGACAAGACCACUAGUUUCAAGAAAAGGGCAAAGGGAAGAAGGGGAACUUCAAGAAGAACGACAAGCAAGUUGCUGCUCAAGUGAAGAAGCCCAAGUCUGGUCCUAAGCCUGAGACUAAGUGCUUCUACUGCAAAGGGACUGGUCACUGGAAGUGGAACUACCCCAAGUAUUUGGCGGAUAAGAAGGAUGGCAAAGUGAACAUAGGUAUAUUUGAUAUACAUGCUAUUGAUGUGUACUUUACUAGUGUUUAUAGCAACCCCUUGGUAUUUGAUACUAGUUCAGUUGCUAAGAGUAGUAACUCGAAACGGGAGUUGCAGAAUAAACAGAAACUAGUUGAGGGUGAGGUGACGAUGAAUGUUGGAAGUAGUUCCAAGAUUGAUAUGAUCAUCAUCGCACACUCCCUAUACUUUUGGGAUUAGUGUUGAACCUAAAUAAAUGUUAUUUGGCGUUUACGUUGAGCAUGGAUAUGAUUUGAUCAUGUUUAUUGAAAUACGGUUAUUCAUGUAAGUUAGAAGAAUAAUUAUUGUUCUGUUUACAUGAAUAAAACCUUCUAUGGUCAUACACCCAAUGAAAAUGGUUUGUUUGAUCUCGAUCGUGUGAUACACAUAUUCAUAAUAUUGAAACCAAAAGAUGUAGAGUUAAUAAUGAUAGUGCAACUUAUUUGUGGCACUGCCGUUUAGGUCAUAUUGGUGUAAAGCGCAUGAAGAAACUCCAUAAAAGAUGGAUUUUUGGAAUCACUUGGUUAUGAAUCAUUUGAUGCUUGCGAACCGUGCCUUUUGGACAAGAUGACUAAAACUCCGUUCUCCAGAACAAUGGAAUGAGCUACUGACUUAUUGGAAAUAAUACAUACCGAUGUAUGCGAUCCAAUGAGUGUUGAUGCUCGUGGCAAGUAUCGUUAUUUUCUAACCUUCACAAGAUGAUUUGAGCAGAUAUAGGUAUAUCUACUUGAUGAAACAUAAGUCUGAAAUAGUUGAAAGGUUCAAAGAAUUUCAGAGUGAAGUGGAAAAAUCAUCAUAACAAGAAAAUAAAGUUUCUGCGAUCUGAUCACGGAGACGAAUAUUUGAGUUACGAGUUUGGUCUUCAAUUAAAACAAUGUGGAAUAGUUUCACAGGUCACACCACCUGGAACACCACAACGUUAUGGUGUGUCCGAACAUCGUAACCGCACUUUAUUGGAUAUGGUGCAAUCUAUGAUGUCUCUUACCGAUUUACCGCUAUCGUUUUGGGGUUAUGCAUUAGAGACAGCUACAUUCACUUUAAAUUGGGCACCAUCAAAAUCCGUUGAGACGACGCCUUAUGAACUGUGGUUUGGCAAGAAACCAAAGUUGUCAUUUCUUAAAGUUUGGAGUUGCGAUGCUUAGAUGAAAAAGUUUCAACCUGAUAAGCUCGAACCCAAAUCGGAGAAGUGCGUCUUCAUAGAAUACCCAAAGGAAACUGUUGGGUACUCCUAUCACAAAUCCAAAGGCAAAACAUUCGUUGCUCAGAAUGGAUCCUUUCUAGAGAAGGAGUUUCUCUCGAAAGAAGUGAGUGGGAGGAAAGUAGAACUUGACGAGGUAACUGUACCUGCUCCCUUAUUUGAAAGUAGUUCAUCACAGAAAUCUGUUCCUCUGACUACUACACCAAUUAGUGAGGAAGUUAAUGAUGAUGAUCAUGAAACUUCAGAUUAAGUUACUACAGAACCUCGUAGGUCUUCCAGAGUAAGAUCCGCACCAGUGUGGUAUGGUAAUCCUGUUCUGGAAGUCAUGUUACUAGACCAUGAUGAACCUACGAACUAUGAGGAAGCGAUGAUGAGCCCAGAUUCCACGAAAUGGCUUGAGGCCAUAAAAUCUGAGAUAUGAUCCAUGUAUGAGAACAAAGUAUGGACUUUGAUUGACUUGCUCGAUGAUCAGCAAGCCAUGUUAAAUAAAUGGAUCUUCAAGAGGAAGACGGACAUUGAUAGUAGUGUUACUAUCUACUAAGCUCGACUUGUUGCGAAAUGUUUUCAACAAGUUCAAGGUGUUGAAUACGAUGAGAUUUUCUCACUCGUAUCGAAGCUUAAGUCUGUCUGAAUCAUGUUAGCAAUUGCCACAUUUUAUGAAAUAUGGCAAAUGGAUGUCAAAACUGCAUUCCUUAAUGGAUUUAUUAAAGAAGAGUUGUAUAUGAUGCAACCAGAAGGUUUUUUCAAUCCUAAAGGUGCUAACAAAUUGUGCAAGCUCCAGCGAUCCAUCUAUGGACUGGUGCAAGCAUCUCGGAGUUGGAAUAUAUGCUUUGAUGAGUUGAUCAAAGCAUAUGGUUUUAUACAGACUUUUGAAGAAGCCUGUAUUUACAAGAAAGUGAGUGGGAGCUCUGUAGCAUUUCUAAUAUUAUAUGUGGAUGACAUAUUGUUAAUUGGAAAUGAUAUGGAAAUUCUGGAUAGCAUGAAAGGAUACUUGAAUAAGAGUUUUUCAAAGCAAGACCUCGGUGAAGCUGCUUACACAUUGAGCAUCAAGAUCUAUAUAGAUAGAUCAAGACGCUUGAUAAGAUUUUUUCAAUGAGUACAUACCUUGAUAAAUUUUUGAAAUAGUUCAAAAUGGAACAGUCAAAGAAAGGAGUUCUUGCCUGUGUUACAAGGUGUGAAGUUGAGUAAGACUCAAGACCCGACCAUUGCAGAAAAUAGAAAGAGAAUGAAAAAUCAUUCCCUAUGCCUCAGUCAUAGGUUCUAUAAAGUAUGCUAUGCUGUAAACAGACCUAUUGUAUACCUUGCUCUGUGUGUGGCAAAGGAAUACAAUUUUGAUCUAAUAAGUAGAUCACUGGUCAUGGAGCAAGAAUAUCCUUAGUGAGGACUAAGGAGAUGUUUCUCGAUUAUGGAGGUGAUAAAAGAGCCCGUCGUAAAAGUUACAACGAUGCAAGCUUUUACACCAAUCCAGAUGACUCUAAGUCUCAAUCUGGAUACAUAUUAAAAGUGGGAGCAAUUAGCUAGAGUAGCUCCGUGCAGAGCAUUGUGGACAUAGAAUAUUUGCAAAAUACAUACGGCUCUGAAUAUGAUAGACCCGUUGACUAAGCUUCUCUCACGAGCAAAACAUGAUCAUAUCUUAAUACUCUCUUUGGGUGUUAAUCACAUAGCGAUGUGAACUAGAUUAUUGACUCUAGUAAACCCUUUGGGUGUUGAUCACAUGACGAUGUGAACUAUGGGUAUUAAUCACAUACAGAUGUGAAUAUUGGUGUUGAAUCACAUGCUGAUGUGAACUAGAUUAUUGACUCUAGUGCAAGUGGGAGACUAAAGGAAAUAUGCCCUAGAGGCAAUAAUAAAGUUAUUAUUUAUUUCCUUAUAUCAUGAUAAAUGUUUAUUAUUCAUGCUAGAAUUGUAUUAACCGGAAACAUAAUACAUGUGUGAAUACAUAGACAAACAUAGUGUCACUAGUAUGCCUCUACUUGACUAGCUCGUUUAUCAAAGAUGGUUGUGUUUCCUAGCCAUGGGCAAAAGAGUUGUCAUUUGAUUAACGGGAUCACAUCAUUAGGAGAAUGAUGUGAUUUACAUGACCCAUUCCGUUAGCCUAGCACUUGAUCGUUUAGUAUGUUGCUAUUGCUUUCUUCAUGACUUAUACAAAGUUCCUGCAACUAUGAGAUUUUGCAACUCACGUUUACCGGAAGAACACUUUGUGUUCUACCAAACGUCACAACGUAACUGGGUGAUUAUAAAGGUGCUUUACAGGUGUUUCCGAAGGUACAUGUUGGGUUGGCAUAAUUUGAGAUUAGGUUUCGUCACUCCGAUUGUCGGAGAGGUAUCUCUGGGCCCUCUCGGUAAUACUCAUCACCUAAGCCUUGCAAGCAUUGUAACUAAUGAGUUAGUUAUAAGAUGAUGUGUUACAGAACGAGUAAAGAGACUUGCCGGUAACGAGAUUGAACUAGGUGUUGGAUACCAACGAUCAAAUCUCGGGUAAGUAACAUACCGAUGACAAAGGGAACAACGUAUGUUGUUAUGCGGUUUGACCGAUAAAGAUCUUCGUAGAAUAUGUAGGAGCCAAUAUGGGCAUCCAGGUUCCGCUAUUGGUUAUUGACCAAGAAUAGUUCUAGGUCAUGCCUACAUAGUUCUCGAACCUGUAGGGUCCGCACGCUUAAGGUUUCGAUGACAGUUAUAUUAUGAGUUUCUGAGUUUUGAUGUACCGAAGGAGUUCGGAGUCCCGGAUGAGAUCGGGGACAUGACGAGGAGUCUCAAAAUGGUCGAGACGUAAAGAUCGAUAUAUUGGACGACUAUAUUCGGAGUUCGGAAAGGUUCCGAGUGAUUCGGGUAUUUUUUGGAGUACUGGAGAGUUACGGGAAUUCGCCGGGGAGUAUAUGGGCCUUAUUGGGCCAUACGGGAAUUGAGGAGAGAGGCCGAAAGGAAGGAGGCGCGCAGCCCCCCUCUGGUCCGAAUUGGACAAGGGGUGCAGACCCUCUUUCCUUCCUCCUCUCCCCCUCUUUCCUUCUCUCCUACUCCAACAAGGAAGGGGGGGAGUCCUACUCCCGGUGGGAGGAGGACUCCUCCUGGCGCGCCCCUCCUGGCCGGCCGCACCUCCCCCCUCCCUCCUUUAUAUACGGGGGCAGGGGGGCACCUCUAGGCACAAAAACACAAGUUGAUCUACGGAUCGUUCCUUAGCCGUGUGCGGUGCCCCCCUCCACCAUAUUCCACCUCGGUCAUAUCAUCGCGGAGUUUAGGCGAAGCCCUGCGCCGGUAGAGCAUCAUCAUCGUCAGCACGCCGUCGUGCUGACGGAACUCAUCCCCGAAGCUUUGCUGGAUCGGAGCCCGGGGAUCGUCAUCGAGCUGAACGUGUGCUGAACUCGGAGGUGCCGUACGUUCGGUACUUGGAUCGGUCGGAUCGUGAAGACGUACGACUACAUCAACCGCGUUGUCAUAACGCUUCUGCUUACGGUAUACGAGGGCACGUGGACAACACUCUCUCCUCUCGUUGCUAUGCCAUCACCAUGAACUUGCGUGUGCAUAGGAAAUUUUUUGAAAUUACUACGUUCUCCAACAGCUGUUGGAACUCUUCGACACGACACACAAAGACGUCUGGAAGGUACUGUUCAAGACCAGCGAAGUUCCUCCCCCCCUUUCCGAGGACCGUGGACUCAGCACAAAGCGCCUCGCCAAUCCGGUAAGUCCUCUGACUAUCACAAGAUGUUCCUUCCCCAGUACAGUCGUGGGAGGAUUUUGAAGUCACCAUGCUGACCAAACAUGAUUGGGUGGAGAUGGCAGAGCGGAUUGACUGCCCGGCUCCGCUGCCUGAGGAUCCAACAGACGCACUCCUAACGGAGAUGCUGGUUCCAGCGCCUUACAAGGUGCCGGAGAAAAAGGCUGAAAAGAAGGCCACGGGGACCAGGAAGGGUCUCCGGCGCGAGGCCGCACCAGACGCCUCACCAGAGGAUGAUGAGGCGCACUCCUCCCACGAAGGGGAGGAGAGAAAGAGGAAGGCCUCCCCAACUGAGGGGGCCGAAGGCUCCAAGAAGGCGGCCGCGGGGACCAGAAAAGGUCUCCGGGGCAAGGCCGUGAUAGACUCGUUAUCCGAGGAUGACGAGGAAGAUUCCCCCCACGGAGACGGGGGGAAACAUGAGGAAAUGCCCCCUCCCCGCACUGGGGAGGAGAAGAAAAGGAAGGCCGCCCCGUUAGGGGAGGCUGGGACACCGAAGAAGGGAAAGGCGUCCCGUCCGGAUGACUCCACUAUCGCCGCGUACAGCGAGGAGUGGCUACCCAGGGACAAGCCCCGGGCAAGGUCGUAAGUAUCCACACUCUUUAUACUUUUCAUGCGAUCUCGCCUUCAUGGUUUGUAAUAACGCCGAACUUGUAUAUGCAGUCCGACCAGGUCCAACCUCGGGGUAUCCUUUUCGGAGGGAUCGUUAAGUGAGUCAAAGAUGAUCAACGAUUCACUCCCGACGGCCACCUCCCCAUGACCCGCGGACGACACUGAGGUGCUGUCCCAAAGGAUACCAGAAUAGGAGGCGGUCGUUCUGGAGGUCCCCCAGGGAAAAAUCCCAGGCGCCGGACACAUGGGGGAUAAGACUCCCAUGGAUUAUGUUGACGGGAGCCACAACAAAUCUGGCUCCCAGCCGGUUACUGCACCGGAGCCUCCAAAGGCUUCAGAUUCCAGUAGGCAGCCCUUCGCGAAGGAGGGCGAGCUGGCCGCGCCGACGACCUCCGCCCAGCCGAAGGCAUCGGACAAUUUGUUGGAAGUGCUUCGAGGCGCUUCCAUUGACGAUGAGCACCGUGCUCUUAUGAGUACUGUAAUUGAGAAGGUUCAGUUCGCCAAGAGCGGAUUAACCGAAGCCUACACCAGCCUGCUAACAUGCUUUGAGGUAAGUAAAAAAGUGUGAGGAAAUAUCACCCGAUAGACAGUAGCCCCUGAUACUCUAUUUGGUGUUUGGAAGGAAAAGCCAAACGGAGGGUCAACUAAAAAACCACGGGAAGCUAAUGGUGACGAGGAUGCAGAUCUGGGGUAGGGUCAUAGGCUCGACCUAUACGUCCUACCCAAGGCCACUACCCUGGAAGAUGAAAAUACCAAGAGUCAACAGAAGAGCACCAGUCUCAUAAGUCGAGUGCAAUCCACUCGACAGUCACAUCACUCGACGGUGGUUACCUAUCGCCACACGGCCACAAGGAAGAUCACUCGACCAUAUCGAAGACCAGUAGUCAGGAGAGCGCACAACGGCCAGAUAUUUAUUCAUUAGUCUUCAUGAGCAUUAAGAGUACUUAAUGCUGGCAUUACCAGUAACGCCUCUACUUUAUGUACAUUAGUUCCCUUGUAAUGGAGUGGGGCUGGGGUCCUGGCGCACUCUAUAUAAGCCAUCCCCUCCUCUGGCACGAGGGUUCGCACCCUCUGUAAUCCAACACAUAUAAUCCAAUCGACCGCCUCCGGGCACUGAGAUGUAGGGUUAUUACUUCCUCCGAGAAGGGCAUGAACUCAUAAACAUCGUGUGUACAACUUCAUCAUAACUAAGAUCUUGCCUCUUCAUACCUACCUCCCUUUCUACUGUCAGACUUAGAACCACGACAGUUGGCGCCCACCAUGGGGCAGGUGUCUUAGCGACUUAUUGGUGAAGUUGCAAGUUUUUUCGAUCAUCAUCAUCAUGGUUUCCGGCGGCGGAUUGACUGAGGGUUGCGAGAUCCGUCUCGGCGCGCACGUGUUCGUCGCCGACGACUCUGGGUGGCUCCAAGAAGCUCCCCUGGACACCGAGGUGCUCCCUGUCCGAGGGGCGACGCACUUCCGCGUGAGCGUUCGUGGCGUUCUUCUUCGGCAACCGUCAACUCAAUAUCAGUCGGCUCCAAUGGCGUUUUCUCCCCCCCGCUGUACACCGCCGCAAGCGAUCCAGUCGAUCGCGGCUCCAGCGGUGGGUGAAACAUGCGGUGGCUCAGAAAUCGACCACCCAUCAAGUCGCGACAAUCGAGCCCGACAAAACUCUCCACGACCUGUUCGACUGGAUCUGCGGAGAUCGCAUCAGAAUGCGAUAGCAGUGAUCCUGCGGCCGAAGUCUUGAUGGUCGACGGUCCUCACAGCCCACCUGGUUUCCCCCGCGAAGACGGCGGAGAUGGAGGCGGCGAUCCUUCGCACGCCCACGAGGAAUACCGACCCGAACCCCUCUCCUCUCAGCAGAGGGAGGAACUUCGUCGCUGCAAUAUGGAUGCACUCCACACGCCCAUCGUUGGGGAAACCCCCGAGGCUCGGGCCUUGGAGGAGGUACGCUUAGCUAAUCUAGCUGAGCGCACUCGACUGGAUAACCUCUAGCUGGCUCUCGACGCGCGCGCUCAGGUGCGGAUCUAUGAAUCAAGUCGACGGCAACUCUUCCCGCCUCCACCUAAGGUAUACCGCACUCCGAUCACUACAAAAAAAAUACACUUCCGUGAUGAUACGUGUUGGUCACAGUAGGUCGCGUUUUUUGUCAUGCAUGUACAUCCAUGACAAAUUUAUGACAGAAUCAAGAUAGUCAUACCUAUGCUGUCGUAGAAGUGUUCCAUGACAUUACCAAAAUUAUCAUCACGGAAGUGUCCACUUCCAUGACGAUAAAUCGCGCGUCACAGAACUGCUUUCGUCAAGGGUGACCGACACGUGGCAUCCACCGUAACGGAACACCAUUAAGCUAUCGGGUCGUGUUUUGGAUCCGAUAACCCGUUAACAGCCCUGACCAAUGGGGAUUUUCCACGUGUAAAAUCAUCAUUGGCUGGAGGAAACACGUGUUGGCUCACCGUUGGGGCAGAUGUCAUCCGCUCAUUGGACCGAAGGCGCCUAUGAUACGGCGACACGUGGCAUGGUCCAACAAAGGCCCAUUCCUGUGAAAAGGCCGGCCCGUUUGACUUGGUCAAAAGGUGGCGGACCGGCCCACGGAAAGCCUCUUAACGGCCUGUUCGCAUAUAGCACAUUUACAGCCCGCUAACCUAGGGCCCGUUACGCCCUAUCUGAAUUAGGCCCAGUAGCGUCAUCUGGGCCGUCCGAUAUGAUUCAGCCCGUUUUAACUUCCGGCCCGUGUGUGGCCCAUGACUUCUUUCGACCCAUAUGAGGACCUUUGUAACUCUUGGCCCAUCACUUUAUACCUAUUAAGGGCCCGUUAUUCCAUUGGGCCGUUUCCAGCCCAAGUUAUCUUUCGGCCUUCUCAGGGCCCAUUGAUUCUUGGGCUCAUUUGCAGCAUUCGGUUACAUACGGCCUAUUACUGUCAUUUUCUGCUUGUGGCCAAAUUCAGCCCGUCGUUACAGUCGCCCCGUUUGCGGAACGUUAAUACGUUGGGCCAUUUACAUGUCAAAAAAACCCGUUGGGCUGUUUUCAGAGAGUUAUCAAAUACGGCCUAUUAACGGCCCGUUAUGGUCCACGAAUAGUACGGCCCAUGAUUGGCGAAAUGAUGAUACGCCCCGUAGAAGGCCCAUGGAUCGUACGGCCCGUAUGAGGCUCAUGGAUAGUACGGCCCGUAGAAGGCCCAUGGACCCUACGACCCGUAGAAGGCCCAUUGAUCCCUAAGGCCCGUAUAGAAGGUCGAUGUAUCCUACGGCCCGUAUAGAAGGCCAAUGGUCCUACGGCCGAAUGAAGGCCCAUGGAUCAUACGGCCUGUAGGAGGCCCAUGGUUACAACAGUCCGUGUGUUGCCAUGAUUAUUUUGGCCUAUUACCAAAAAUAGGCUAUUGUGGCCACUAAAAAAACACAGAAAAAGAACUGCAGUGACUACAAGCAAACAACUAAACAAGACAAGAAGGAAAUAAACAAGCAAGCAAUUAAGGCUAGCCUAUUACCGCUAUUACACAUAUUAAAUCCACUUGGCAUCAAAGUUUGCCACCAGUGCAAAUAUGGGGAACAAAGUAGCAUAUUACAUACACUUGGCCGUCAAAAUUGGCCACCAGUGCAAAUAAACGCAGCAGCAAAACAAGAGCAUAACUGAAAUUACUUCAGAAGAGCUUAAGAAACGUUAUCAUGGGUAUCCACCAUGCUGGCAAUAAGCUUAGCAAGCUGAUUAGCUUUGUCCUGUUUGGCACUAAAAUCCUCCAACGCUUGCUGUUGCACCAGAAAGUAUGCAUCUGAAUGCUCCAGGGACUUCUAUAGUCCUUCUGCUUCUUGUCGCAGCACAGCUGAUCGAUGUCUUUCAGCUUGUAGUUGAGACUCAAGAAACCGAACUGAUUCAGACAGUGAGUUUGAAUAGCUUGUGCAAGCGGUAGUGGCCUUUAACUCGAACACUAAACCAAGACAGGACUUUGGGGUUGUCUCAUUGUCUUCAAGAUAGUCUUCCUUAGCUGUUUUAUCAGCUUUGUUGGAGACCAACAAGGAUGUGUCACUGUCCUGAACCUUAUCUGCAUUACUUCCUUUACCAUUGCUUAAUAAGGUACUCUUCCCCAAUAUUCUGUCAGCAUUCUAAAAGAAGAAACAAGCAGACACAUAACAAGUUUAGCAUGUACUAGUAUAUGAAACUCAUUUCGGUGAACCAGUUCAUUAGUAAGGUGGACAGGAUUAAACUACCAAGUCUUCUAUUGCCAAGUACUAGUACAUAAUAAAAGCAUCAAACAAACAUAUAUCUAUGUCCUAUGGUCACUGCAUUGUCUUGCCAAAUCAAAAUAGAGACACGGUUCAAAUCAUAUCAGUUCAAGACAAAGCAGCAGUGAAAGAAUACAAAGCGUGGGAAACUACACGGCACAACAAGAUUUCAGAUGUGUACCACGGGUCUACAUGUACAACAACACUAUUGGCUUUGUUGUGAUGCUAGUAAUGUGCAUGAUAUGAAAGUCAACUGUAUACACAAUUGAAAUUGAAAUCAAAAGAGCUAUUGAUAAGAGCAAACCUGUUAAAGAAACAUGCAGGAACAUACCUGCCGUGCCAUUGCAGUUUCGAUUGGAUCCUUCCAUUUAAAAAUAAGUUUGUAUGAGUAAAUACAAUGAUACAAGAGCAAAACAAUCAUAGUUAAAAAAGGCACACCUAAGCGAGCGCUUAAGCGUGCCUAGGCUCUAGGCGUUGGCAAAACGCAUUGCGCAUAACUACGCUUAAUCUGUGCAUAACUGCACAUAAGCAUGCACUUUGGUCAGUAAAGUGCAAGGCGGUGGCAAAACCCACAAUUAACGCCUAGCGCUUUUUUGAACUAUGAUAGCAAUGGAAUCUUAAAUUAGAACAGUUGUUCUUCAGGUUUAGGCACUUGUUCUACAUCAGAGUACAGUAAGACGCAAGAAUAUAAUACUUAAAAAUAGAAAAUGAGCUCAUAGACCUUACGACAUUCUUGGUUCGGGACCAGUACAGAACAAGGCGUUCCCAGUCAUCGUCCAGUAAAUGUUUCUGAGGAGAACGUAAGGGAAUUUGAUGAGUUUCUUUGCCGGUGAAGUACGUUUUCUUCAGGUAAUUCCGAUACUGCCACCAAGCAUUCUUGAAGAUAGCAGAGGUAUUAGCAUAGGUUACCUCAUCCUGAGUUUCCAAAUCGGUCCUUCUCUAUAGAGAAAAAUGGGAAAAUUUGCUGUAUUAUAACCAUCAUGGAGGUAGGAUGUAUGGGACGAAGCAAAGUAAUUGCCAUGAAUAACAUUACUUACACAUAACUCCUAGACAAACACCUGCAACUGGCAUUUUCCUUCAUCUUCAGUAUAAUAUUUCCAAGAUGGGAAGAUACGCACAUACGAUUUAACAACAUCAAAUGCGAUAGAUGCUAAACUACAACUGGCUGGUUGUGCUUCCUCCACGGGAAUAGGUGUACUAACUGGUGGAGCUGGGGUUUGCCAUGAUAGUACUGGCCCUUUGGGCACUGGAGCUGCCUUACUAACUGCUCUUGUUUGGGAGCUCUGUGGUGGAGAUGGUGCUGUGUCAACAGGAACUGGGUUACUAUUGGCUGGGGUUGGGGUUAGAUUGGGUGAAGCUGGUUCUCUGUCCAUCGCAGUAGGGGUACAAUCUGUGAGAGUUUGGGUUAUGUGUGGUAGGGCUGGUUCUUGUGCAUGUACAACCAGGGUGCUAUCUCCACCAAUUGGUAGCACUGUUUUAUUUGAAGACCGUGUUUUUAUUCCGCUAGAUACUAGCAUCACCCGCUCCAAUUCAAAUGGUUGAUAAACAUGAAACAUAGUUGAAUGUACAGACAUUGUAUGAGAGAUAGAUGCAAUAGAUAGUGUGGAAAAAAGAGGGCAUGAAAUAGUUGACAUGUAUAUUGUUUAACUAAAACGGAUAGCAUGACAUAAUUUCACAUAUAUGAUGUCUAUCUAAACUGGAUAGCAUAGCAUAACAUAAUUCAAAGAUAUGAUGAAUAACAAAACAUGAUCGCAUGACAUAAUUCACCUACAUGUUAUCUAAGUAAUCAGGAUCGCAUCAUUUAAUUCACAUAUGUGAUUUAUAUGCUAAACAGAGGGCAUUCGAUAUGAUGUCUGAACUAAGAACAUGGUGUUGAAUAUUGUGUAUAUGAUGUCUAAACUAUGCAAUGCAAGACACCGUAUGCAUGAUAUGAGCAGUAUAACUGUGCCAAGUUAGAGCAUACACCUCAGUAGGGGAAUAGGACUGGUCAUCUAUCUCUGAAUCCAUCUCUGAGGAGCUAUCGGGACCCAACAAGAGAUCUGCUUCGACAGGUAGAACUGUCUACUCUGAAGGCCUUGUUUUCACUCCAGAUUUUUCCAUCUCCCACCCAAAUGGCUGAUUCACAGGAAGAGUAGUUUAAUGUACAAACAUUGUCAACAAAUGGAAAUGUAAUGAAGAAAAGUAUGGGAAAGAUAUCAUUCAAAUAUAUGAUGCCUGGUUAAACAGGAUGGCAUUGCACAUUUCACAUAUAUUAUGGCUGGCUAAAAGACAUGAGACUGCAUAAUUCCCAUAUAUGAUAUAGAAACUAAAUAGGUGGCAUUACAGAACAUGUCUAAACUAAGUAGAUGACAUAUAUGAUGUCAAAAGUAGGCACUGCAAGGCAAUAUAUGCAUGAUAUGACUAACAUCAUCAUGCCAAGGUAGAGCAAGCACCUUGGGGGGUAAAUAGGAGUCGUCAGCGGCGUCUGAAUCCGCCUCAGAACAGAUAUCUUCCUUUGGAUUACAAUCUGGAGAGGGGUGGGGAGGGUUUGCCAUUGAACCCACCAUGGAGCGAUGUCUGCAUGACAUUGUAUUGCCGUGCAAAACUCUUCUCUUUUUCUCUACAUGUUCAGCAUGACUGUGUACAAUAUCUGACAUGCAUACGAAAAAAUAUGGUGAGAUUAUGUAAGGAGAGCAUGCAGAAAUUUAGAGUGAUGGUAACAACCAGUGGAUGGAUCCAAAAAUAAUGAUAGCAGGCUGAUGAUUGCUUUAAAUUAAUAAAAACACAGAUGAUGAUUGCUUUACUAUUUGUUUCCCACCCAAGAUGAACAACAUAGGCAUACCCUAGGUGAACCAGAUAUUAGAGAGACAUACUAUUCAUUGCUGCCUCGAUAUGUGCCCCACAACUAAUUUAGAACUCAAGUUUGAACAUGAAUUUGGACCUGAGUUGGGAGUCCAAGAGCUGAACAGGAUGAUAAAGUAGCAGGUAAGUUUAAGCAAUGCAUAACAUAAGCAGAAACAAAAGAGUGCGACCUCUCUUGUGGACCGUGUACUCCUCAGGUUCAUCUGCUGAGUCGAUGAUGGUGAUGCCGUUGAGGUGCGCGCCGGCGGCAGGGAAGGAGAUCUGAGGCGGCGAAAGACGGUCAGGAGUCAUGAUAUCUAGUUUGUGGAUGCUUCUGUUGAUGGAGCAGCUUAGGUGAGGUGGACGACGUCGUGGCAGGAGCAGGACAAACCACACAAAGUUCCCUUCGACAGGUACCUGUAACUGAAGUAAUUCUGUAAGGGCUCAUUUGGCUUGCAUGAUUCUUAAAACGCAGGGAUAGGAAAAACACAAGAAUAGGAUAGGAAAAUGCACAUGGUAAACAGAGCAUUUGUAAACACAGGAUUUCUAUCAACUUGGGUGUUUGGUUUACAUGAAUUGGAAGAGCAGAGGAAUGCAAAGAAACAUGGCCAAAAUAAAGAGAAACCAUAUGAAAGCGUGUACAGUUAGAAUGUUAUUCUGGCACUAAUGCACUUGGUCUUGUUUUCAUGCAUAGGAUUUUGAAAAGUAGGUCCAGGUGGAUGUUUUGCUUCAUUCCUUUCAACAAAAUGCAUGAAUAAUUGAAUAGUAGAGUGCCAUUGGAAAAUUCCCUAUUGCUAUGUUUUUCCGUUGAACCACAAUAGCCCUAAUGGAUCGACGUGAAUGUAUAGUAAUAAGUGACGCAACAAGUGUACAUCCUCUUUGCCGUAGCCGUGUCGACCUCAGCAUCAUUGGGUUGGUCGCUGAAGCAGUUGAGGCAGAGGUGGCUGUCGGAGGUGUGGAGGAAGAUAUGAGGAAUCUGUAGACGGCGUCCAGGGCACUGCUCUGUUGUGAUGGAUCGUUCUGUCGUUGGAGCAGCUCCAGUGAGCCGUAAGACGUCAAGGCUGAAGCAGCACAAGACAGACAUCGUCAAUCUCAAGUGGGAUUCUAAUAGCAUCUCCAAUAGAUGAUGAAAAAUGGAUGUAAAAUUAACAUCACCAAAAACCACCUGACUACAACAGAUGAGGUAAAAACUGUUGACUCUGAACUUAACUGUCGAAACUGAUUAACUGUGGAAUCUGAAUGCUACUGUCGGAACUGAACGCAAUGGUAGCAGAGAGACACUUGACAUGUAGUUUAGGGAGGGCCUGCAGUUCAUCUUCAACCUGCACACCCCUGAGCCGCCUGCCUCCACCGGCCGAACCACCGGCCCCAGCGCUGCCUCGCCGCCCCGAAACAACUCGCCGCCGCCGCCCCGGCCAGCCCUCUAGGCCCUCCGCCCCCACCUUGAACCCUAAGAUAGAUAGUGGGGUACCUCUCUGGCGAGCCCCCGUCCCCGCUGCGGGUGGCUCUUCCUUAACUCCGGCGAGCCCCCCCAACCCAUGAAAAUCGACUGACCCAGAAGUCGAUUCAGUCGACUCAAGUGUGGCUUAAUUAGAGCAGAGAAACAGCACGAGCGAGGGGGAGAGCAGCAACAGCAGCUGGGCGAGCGAGCGAUCGAGCGAGAGCCGGAGCAGCAGCUGCAGCGCGAGCGAGAGCCGGAGCAGCAGCAGCAGCAGCGCGAGCGAGCGAGCGAGAGACGGAGCAGCAACAGUAGAUCCGGCUGAUAUGGCCGCCGCCGCCGAAGGGGCCUCGCACUGGGGGAGAGCCGCCGUGGAGAUGUCGCCCGCGGCGCCGACUUCAAGGUAGCCGCUCCAUGGCGGUGAGGGAUGGAGCACCGUCGGCGCAGAGAGGUCGAGUUAAGGAGAAGGUGCGAUGCGAUGAGUGUACAACCUCUUUGGUGGCGCCGAGUAGGCCUCGGCUUCGUCCGAGGAGUCGGUGAGGAUGUUGCGGUUCCGGUGGAGCAAGUUAAUGCUGCGAUGUGGGGAUGGAGCGGCCGCGAUAGACGAGGCGAUCGUCGGAGCAGCUCCUUGGAGGUGGAGGACGGGCCGGCUGAACCGGCGGGACGACGGAUCCUCAUCCAGGGAGGUGGACGAGGGACAUCGAGCUGUUGCGGUGGACGACGUCGUUGGGGAAGAGGCUCUGGCUGGGCAGCAGUGAUGUGGCAGAUCGAGGAGGGUGGGGUUUCGCGGCUGGAGCGGAGAGGUUAUGGCGGCCUGGGAUUUUGAAUGGCGAAAAGGGGGCAAUGGGAGGGGGUGAAGCAUGACUUAGGGACACGCUUGUCCAAAAUGUAGGGUGUGUUACAAAAGUACCCCCCACCAAUUUGAACUAGCGGCCCUUUCGGCUCAGGGUUAGAAGGGGGAUUUCACGUGUCGGGAUUUGGCAGCUGGAGGGAGUUUUCACGCGCGUUGUAAUUUCGGGAUAGCAAGGCCCGGGUUGUGAAGGCGCGAGUUUUGGGAGCACGAUAUCUGAAUUUUCGGGUUGAAUUUUAGGGACAAGCCUAACAUGUAGUAAUGUUGUACUUGUACGUACCAAAUUAAUUCACACUUCCCUCAACCAAAAAGAAAACGAAAAAAUAAAACUAUUCACACCACACAAAGAGAGAGUCUUGCCCCGUUUUACUAUACAAAUGCUAUUCAAAGCUACUCCCUCCUUCCAUCUAUAUAGGGCCUAAUGCAUUUUUCGAUGCUAACUUUGACCAAAUAUUAGAGCAAUGAUAUAUGACAUGCAACUUACACAAAGCACACCGGUAACUUCGUCUGUGAAAGGUCUUUCAAUGAUAUAAUUUUCACAUUGUGCAUGUCAUGUACUAUUAAUCUUGUCAAUAGUCAAAGGCGGUCUUAAAAAUCUCAUUAUGCCCUAUAUAGAUGGAAGGAGGGAGUAUGAAUCCAUGUUAUGUCCGAUUAAUUUUUUUCGCUUUGCUUUAUAAUGCAUGUAACCUACUCAUACCAACAUUUUAGUGCAUUCCAAAUGUCUAUACUACCGCUGCAAUUCGAACUAAAUUUGAAUUCGUUUCUCUAUUUCAAUAAGAAUCUACAAUCAUGAUUGUUGCCAACUUCAACCAUCAUUCGUGUAUUACCUUAAUAACACACCACAUGAUUACUAUAGAGAUAGAUAUGAACUAUGUGUACUACAUGAACUCGAAUUCUAUUUUUUGAAUACACUUGAUGUUGAUUCCAAAUAAUAGUACAUUUGAUGUACUAACUAUAUAUUCAUAAUCCAAACCAUGUUCCGUACGUACACCGUGUUUAUCACACAAAGUAUAGUGCCCCGCACCCUACAUUAUGACAAGUAUUUAGACCUGAGUUGCAAAAGCCACACAUUAGCCCAAAUUAUAAUCAAUGUUGUACAUUAUGAUAUCUUCUUCAAGUAUCCAUAUCCACCUUUUUAUAAUGAAUUAUGAUCUUUGUUCGUCUUUUACACCUUCACGAUCCUCUUCUAUUUGUAGCUAGCUAGCGUUAACUUUCUAUCGUGCAUGCACACGCCCGCCCCCCUCACACACCUUAGCGUCCCCUCCAUCGCGCACGUUCAUUAUUUCUCUUUAGGUCGUCCACCAGCGGUGUGUGUAGGCCCCUGGCUCCUUCUUUCUGGCACACACCGGUCGAUAUACCUCUCUAGCCAAGUGUGCCUACAACAAAGACAUAUAUACUUCCCCUCUUCUCUUCUCACCGUCCAUGCCCCCAUAUGUCCAAUACGAUUCCACACAGGUGCACACUCCCACCCCUCUUUUCAUUAGUCACAUGCUCGCAGACUCCUCCCCCCUCGACAUGGUAGGCCUCUCGCACCACCUCCUAGCCACACUCUCUCCCCCUGUCUACCUCUCUGGACCUUAUUUGCUUCUAACACAUGCAGGUGUGUAUAUGAACUGAUCUCCCUACAUAUAGCCAGGUUGACUAUAAUUCGUUUUCACCAAGCACCGAUACACUUACCUCGCUAGUUAUGUCUCUCCUUUUCUCGGACACACGACGGGUGAUCUUCCUAUGUAGUUACGCAUGCUUACCAUAACCAUAUCUUCUCCCCUCAUCAUCCUUGAAUACCUCCCGACCCGUCUCUCACACGCACGUGCAUAGACAGACAGACAUCCCCCGCCCUCUCUUAUUGAUAUUGCACUCAUACCCUCCAUUUGUCUAGCAGGCCUCUCCCACCAUUUGUGAGAACCCACUCCACCACCAACCCUCCGAUGCUCUACCUUUGUCUUUUUCCCAACCUUAUUCCUCGGUAACACAUAUCCAUGGAUGUCGAUCGAUCUCCCUCAAUACAUAGCUAGGUCUCUCUCCUUCCCCAGACAUAUACUAGUCGAUCGGUCNNNNNNNNNNNNNNNNNNNNNNNNNNNNNNNNNNNNNNNNNNNNNNNNNNNNNNNNNNNNNNNNNNNNNNNNNNNNNNNNNNNNNNNNNNNNNNNNNNNNNNNNNNNNNNNNNNNNNNNNNNNNNNNNNNNNNNNNNNNNNNNNNNNNNNNNNNNNNNNNNNNNNNNNNNNNNNNNNNNNNNNNNNNNNNNNNNNNNNNNNNNNNNNNNNNNNNNNNNNNNNNNNNNNNNNNNNNNNNNNNNNNNNNNNNNNNNNNNNNNNNNNNNNNNNNNNNNNNNNNNNNNNNNNNNNNNNNNNNNNNNNNNNNNNNNGACACACAAACCGAUAGUCGAACGUUGUAGGUAGGUAUCGAUGCCACGGAGAAGAACUGCACCUCUGCCCUCUCAAAUUCCAGUAGGCCACCCGCCCUGUAUCUUUGACCUGGGCAAACACAAAUUCGAUGGCACUCUUUAUCGAUCGCGCAGCCACACACUUCAUCCCUGUUUUCAAUUCUAUCGAUAUCUCACGUCCAUGACUCCGUUUCACACACAUUGCAUAUGUUACAUUUUUCUGAUUGAGAUAUGAUCAACACAUUGCCUCUCUUUCGCACAAACCAUCUCUCUCACACCCACCCACGUACGUACCUGCACCUAAAGAAGAAGUGCACGCAGGACGCACGUACUCACGUCUCGUUCCCGGCCACACCCGCACGUGUACACGGUGGAGUUCGUUUCUGUACGAAAAGGCAGCCCACGUGAUAAUUUGACGCAUGUAGCGGUUGUUUACUCGAAGGAGGGUCAGGUACCACGCCUAGAAUAUAAAAUGAUUGCCAUGGGGAAAAUGGAAAAAUGGGUUUGUCUCUCGUGAGUCUCGUCACACAAUCUCACACAAGGACGCCGUGGCCUCUCUCUCUCAGCGUUGGUCAGUGAUCCGGCCGCAUCACGUCCGCUGGCAGAAAGGGAGGAUGUGCAUCGUCUCUCUGUUCGACGGCGUUGAGGCAGCUCAUCCCGAUCUGCGGUACCCGCCGUUCUCUCUGACCAAGCUCCGGCGCGGUAGGGCCUUCGCCACUUGCUCGCUGUCGCAGUAUGGGCAGAUCCCGGCCGCCGGCGCCCUCCUAGUAACAUCCCGACGACCCUCAGGUACAGCUUCCUCUGGCCUUGCUCCACUGCCCAUCUUCCCAUGUUGCCGCAUGUGGAUCUUCUUUAGUUGUUUGCUUAAAUCGUAUCUCGGCUAGCGUACUUUCCAUCUUGCAAUCUCGUCCUCAAACCAUUUUUGAUAAACCACCAUGUGCUAUCUUUCCCUUUUUACAUGGAACAUGCUUCUUUUUUGUCGGCGUAUGUGUCUUCAACUCGUGUUAUUGGGCAGUCAUUGUUUCCUUUCGACCUCCUUUUGCAAACAGGGCUAUCCAUUUUCACCUCAUUGCUAUUGUGACCUUUUGGUGAACUGCACAAAUCACUUUUCUGAAGAGUGUUUUGUGCAGUUCCGCCAAAAUGUCACACGGGCAACGUUUUUACAUUUCUGUGGGACUGCGGAAAGGGAGAUUGGUUUUGCUACCCUCCUCAUCCAACUCCGUGCCUAAUCUUCUCCGACAAGAAGUUAGUCCUAAAGAGAGAUCGUAGAGGUGAUCGGCUUCUAUUUAUGUGUGUUAUGUUUCAUCAUCUAGUUCCACUAUUAUUGUAAUCACACUGAGUGGAUAUCUUUGCAAACAGGGAUGGUCUGCCCGAUUUUAGUGGAGCUGCACAAAAUCAUCGGAUUGUGGUGUCCUUCAUACACCUCUUUUUUGUCUACAAAGCUGGGUGAAACUAGCUGCCAAGCAAUGAACACCGUGCCAAGGAAAUGGAACCAUGCCUACGAACAGCAUUGAUCAAUUAUAUAUUUUUUCUUUAUUUGUACACCUUCUCACAACUUUGUCUUCAGUUGUGAUGUGAAUAUUCACGCUGAUCUGCGAACCAUUGAGAUGCAUUAGCUAUGGUAGUUUCAUUUGUAUUUGAUGGAAUGUUGUAACGAGAUAAUCUCGAGGCAAGACACAUGAAUCCUAAGUUGAAACCUUUUUUUCCUGCGGGAGCCAGAGUUGAAACCUUCAUAGCAUCACAGUACAAUUUCAUCAAAAUUAUGCGUACAUAUAAACAAAUCCUGAAGGAUUGAUAGCAAUGCCAGAAACAAUUCAACUUUGUUUCGCCGACAUGUUGGACAUCCUUCAUCUGGCUCCACCUGCCAUGCAGCAAUAUUGAGUGCACAACACAACUUCAGGGAAAGAUUCACCCCGGUCGUUGUGCCGCAGUAGUAAUGACUAGUGAGCAGUCAAAUCACAGAGCCCCACCUUCGCCACAGUAAGUUGCUCGGACGAAGCAACCAUCAUUUCUCUGUUCCUUGAAUCCGCUGGUACUCCCAUAUUCCCAUAGUAAAGUUGCUCAGGCGAAUCAACCAUCACUAUAUCCGCUCACGUGUGAUGACCACAGGAGCUAUCCAUUCAGAUUGCAUGUUAAAAAAAAUAAAGGUCGAUAACUAAUGUGGCAAACUUAAAAAAAAACUAAUGCGACACUUCGGGCCAACGCAGCCAGAUCGCAUUUUGCACGAGAAAUUACACACCAUGUUUCGUUGACAUGUGGUCCUGUUCCAACAUAUCAGUGAGACGACGGCGAGUAGUAGGAGUAUUUCCGAACCGAAGUGUAGGCUGGGGCACCCCUUCGUGAACCGUGGCAAACCGGCAACCGUCCACCGACGCUUCGCCUUUCCCUCUCGAUUUGGAACUACUGUCGCACACUCUUCCUCUCCCUCCUCCAUUUUCCUUCAGCCCUUCACGCUUUCUUCUGCCAUUGUUUGAUCGUCUUCUCCAUGGAGGGAACAGGACGGAAACGUCCCCUUUAUUCUUUCCCCAAUCUGAAAGAUGACGUGGUGGAGGAACUCAUUGAUCGGUGCGACGUCAUCACCUCGGCUAGCAUGGCAGGUUCAUUCAAGCCCAUUCUUGUCUCAACUAAUAACAUCAUUACAAGGAACCCAAGAGUCAAGGAAUGGUUUGAUCUCCCCUAUCUUCUUCGCCGUGACCCUUAUGACCGGCGGCGUCACCUCGGAGGCCUCGCCCUGUGCAAGUUGAUGCCGCUUGAUAAUGAUACGUAUGAUGUUAAGAUGCCAUCGCUUGAGGGCAAGGCCUGGGCAGGCGCAAAUGGAGAUUGGGUUGUUUACAUUGGGUCCAACUACGAGUGGGAACUUGUGAAUGUGUACACUCGUGACCGGGUUCCACUUCCAAAAAUCUCAGCAGACUGCCUAGAAGUUGAGCACACCGGUAUUGUACGCACGUUCAAAUACAAUCAUGGUGACUGUCUUCUAUGGAAGAUAGCAAUUUCUCGAGUUCCCACCCGCUCUUGGAAUUACAACAACUAUGAAGUUGUUGCUAUCUUCCACAAGCUUGUUGCCGUCGUUGCUGGUUUGAAUCGAUGGACAUUGCUUAAAAUCAGUUUCUGUACACGGAUGAGUACUGUGAUGCAAUUGAAUACCGAGGGCCUUGUGUUUGCUGCCACCACUCGUGGCACUGUUUUUGCAUGGAAUCGUUAUGAUUUCGGUACGUUUGUCUUCCACCGUAAUUAUAAUGGUUUCAUCCACAUGCAUGCGGGUUAGCAAGUUUCCCUUUACUAAUUAACCUUCUUCUUGUGUUUCCAAGGUCCUGUGAAAAUUCCACCACUUAUACUUGAAAUGUUUUAUAACCAAGGGGGAGAUGACGAUGGUGAUGAUCACGAGCAUGAGGACGAGCAGCGCCCAUAUACUCGUUGGCGCCUGGCAACUAAUUCCGAUGAAACGUGCGUUACAAUAGGUUAUCGGAUGUGGCCAAUCAUCAACAAUAGUAGUACACUAUUCGUACUAGCUUCACAUGCUCCGCGCGUCGUGCGGGUGUUUUUACUGUAGCCAUAUUGUACUAUGUAACCAGCACCUCGAAUCCUCGAUACUAGUAGUACUAUAUAGUAAGUAGUAGGAGUAGUAGGGUGGCAUGGGCCAGAACAAGCAUUCACGUCCAGGAGUACGGCACACGCCACCAGCACGACUUCCAUCUGACACCAUAUUUCUUGGAGUCCGUGCUAGAGCAGUAUCUUCAACCUCAUCGUUUCUCUAACUCAGCCAUCGUGUGGCGGGCGAGGUGGGGGUUUGCCGAUAGUCGGUUUCCUCAACUACGAUUCCACUUGUAAGGCCAACUCCAACGCUCUAUCAAUAUAUGGAUGUACUAUUCUUCCCAAUACAAAAACUUGCAUCCAUUCUACUCCCUCCGUUCUACUACCUCCGUCCUGGUUUAUAGGUCCCCUUUGUAGUUUGUGUCAAAUUUUGACCAAAGAUUUAACUAACAAAAUUUUAAUGCAUGUCAAGAAAAAUUAUCUCAUUGGAUUCGUAUUUGAACAUAGUUUUCAAAAAUAUAAUGUUUGGUGACAUGCGUAAACAUUUUGUUAGUUUAAUCUAUGGUCAAAAUUUGGCAUGAAAUAUAAUGGGGACCAAUAAACCCGGACGGAGGUAGUAUUUGUCAAAAUAUAUAUGUGUCUAGACAUGUUUUAGUAUAUAGGCGCAUCCAUUUUUGGACAAAUGGAAGUCAAGUAUUUUGGAACGGAGGGAGUACACAAUAAAAAUUUUAAGUUAGCACAACAAGUCUAAUCAGAGAGCACAACCGAAGAUUUGGUCGGGUUCUUCCUCCUUUUGCCGACACGUGGGACAUCCAGCAUCCAGGUCGUGUCAUGAAAGAAAAUAUAGUGGUAGUUGAUAAGUUGAAGCCACGAGAUGUGCAUCUUGGGUUAAACUGUAAAUAGAAUCUUACUACUCUUGAGUAACUACAAAAGCGGCCACCAAAGAUAUUUCUUGGAUUUGUUUUUCAUCACCAGCAUGUCGAGGUGAAAGAUGUGCAGGUUCAAUGGGUCCUCUUGCGUUUUCACUGACAUGUGGGGCCGCAUGUGAGCAAACAGACGAUGGGCUCCGCGCGUCCGCUGGCUGGCUGAGAAGAGAGAUAGAGGAGUGCUGAGCAUGGACUGCAGGAAAUUUGUUCUAUGUAACCAACACCUUGAUAUUCGCGUGUGGUUGUUUCUAGAAUAAAAAAUGGAGGUACCUCUACUUAUGUUACUCCCUCUAUGCCUAGCCUAAGGUUAGUAGGUGACCUUGCGCUUGGCUCUUCGCCUCUUCCGGAAGUCGAUGGUUAUACAGUAGUGCUUCUGGCAAUCUGACACCAAAUGAACUGCUGCACGUCCACCGCUUGUAAGCAAAAGUUUCUCCUCGUGCUGCGAGCCACUGCGCACGCAUUGGCGAGGGAGAAGGUGUAAUCAAGCUUCUCGUAAUUCUGCGAAUUGAUGGGACACAUCAAAGUUAUUUACUAGUAGUACGUACUCUCUCCAAAAAAGGGCUGACCAUGUCAUUGCUACCAUCCCGUGCUCCGUCGUUGAGUACAUGCACUAUUCACGUGCCAUUCACGUGCCAUCGAGGAGACAAAAUAUUGCGUAGGUGCCAUCGAAGUGCACGACUCACUUACGGAAAAGGGUUUCCCCCCACUCCCCCCCCCCGCACGACUCACUUACGCACUGCUUAUCUGAUUAUCUCCAUUUUCUUGCAUGACACGUGCACCUUGAUGCUAGAUGUCUCGCGUGUUGGGAAAAGGAUGAACAAAGCUCAUGUAGAAGAAAAGAGUUGAAGAGCAUAGACUCCCGACGACCGAGGAGGAGCAAGGAACCUCGCAGUGGAGCGUCUGCAAGGAACCUUGCGCGUUUUCCCCUGUUUUUUGCCGCCUGCCCACCUAUAAACAACUAAAAGAACAUGAACUUUUCACUAACCACUAGAAACGGUACAUCAGGAUGCUAAGUUGAAGAUGUUUUAAGUCUUUUUAGAUAUUUCAAUAAGGGACUACAUACGAAAGAAAAUGAGUGAAUCUACACUCUAAAAUAUGUACACAAGCGAACGCACUAAUUCCAUCCGAUCCAACUCAUGCACAUACGCGCACAGCAUGGAGCACACAACGCACGUACACAAGACGUGCAUGCACACACGCUUGGCCGCAGAAUGCACGUGAAUAACACAUGCAUGCGCACACACUCAGCUGCAUGGAGGCGUGCGCCAUCUGCGGCGACGUCUGGUUCGUCAUGCUACGGCGAAGCUCGCACGCAAUGGUGCAUACGCAUCUCUUGCAGCACCUCUUUGCCGUCGUUGCUCAACUACUAGUCAGAGACGAAGAUGACCGCAACAUUGGCCUUAGAGCUAGCACCGAUGGAAAAACACGCACGCUGCACGCACAUGAGCACAUACAGAGUGCCCACGACAUGGUGGUGGUGCGUCCCCAGUCGCCUCUACUCCUUCUGCGCACGUUGUCUAUCAAGGCGGCUGCAUGCUAAUGAUGAUGUGGGUGAGAUCUUCUAGGACUCAAAUGAUGACGGGGAAAAUUAUGAGACACAAGGUGAUGUACACCGUCAAGGUCCAUGGUCAAGGGGGUGCUAGCAAGUGCUUAGAUGUGAUUAGAGCAAGUACAAUAGAGCUGAGUCAGCGGGCUAUAAGGAAUACUCCCUCCUUUCCGGUUUAUAAGGCUUAUCUCAACUUUUUUGUUUUUCCAAUUUAGAGGGCUCAUCACCAUCUCAUUUUUAGUUUCCAGUGCGCAUUAAAUCUUUGCAUGCAAGAAUUAAAAAGGAACACACCAAUGCAUGUAAUGUUCCUACUCAUCUAGUGGCCAAGCAUGCAUGCACUGUAAUUAAUCCAAAUUAAUGCAUGAGUUUAAUUGGGUAGUUUUGUAAUGUACGAGAUACAUUCCUCCACUCACAAAAUGCCUUGGUUGAUGAGAGUUGAGAUUUGAGCCCUAUAAAACGGAAGGGAGGGAGUAAACAGUAGUAUAUUUCUGCUUAGUUGGAGGAAAGAGAAGAGGAAAGAGAAGGUAAGUGGGCUCUUCGUGAAGAGCCAGCCCUAGCACGUGCUCCUAGGCACUUUGUAGUACAUGUUGACUAUAAGAUGGGGUGUAGGCUCAUAGCCAGCAACUGGCUAUACUAUUAAUGCUCUUUAGAUUAGGUGCUAAGUGCAUUAAAUGGCUUAGUAACUCAAGUGUUCAAUGCAUAGGUGCUUAGUUUAUUGGUGCCACAUCAUAUUUUUAUGCCUACGUGGCAGGCUUAGCAGCUAUACAUGGUGGAGCACUAGGAGAGGCCAAGGCUGGUCAUAGUGGGGAGUAACUUGUACUGUAACAUAUUACUAUGUUACUCUAAACAUCUCUAUAAACCGGAAAGGAGGGAGUAGUAACAUACACUAGUGUCAUAUGCAGAGUAUGGGAGCACAUGAUAUUUCCCCGUCCGAACCGAUCCCAAGUUGGCUUCUCACCUUCUUGGCCCAACAAAAACCCCUCCCCCCUCCCGCGCACGCUUCCCGUCCAGCGCCAGCUGAGCCCGCCGCUCCACAUUGAUGGCAAGUCAGGGCAACGCAACCUCUCACUGCUUCUGCCGUUGAAGCGGCGCACCGACCGAGGGCACCGCCCGCUGCACGCCCAACAUUUCAGACUACACAGUGGAUAGUAACUUUUAGAGCAAGUACUACUAUAAUUAGAUGACAUAAGCAGGCUAUAAGGAUUUAAAUAUAGUAUUUGUGCUUAGUUGAAGGAGAGAGAAGAGGAGAGAGAAAAGAAGCGUAUUGUAAACGUGUAGCUGGUUGUACUCCAACAUACUCUACUUUAUGAGACAAAAGGUGGGGCCAUUAUUAAUGAUAUUGUAUUUAUACUAAAGGGACUAACGGAUGCCUUAAUUACUGCGUUUUUUUAGAAAAACCUUGGUGGGGCUAUUAUUGACUUUUUUUGAGCUAUUAUUGACAUGGAUGUGGGGUUUGGGGGCCAAAGCCUACUAUUAUACUCCGACCUGACAUGCUCUACCCUAGCCGCCGCUAUACCAUAUGGUUUCACACCGUUCCAGAUCUUAGCGCUGCCACGCAAUUCUUCUCCAGCCCUCCUUCUAGCGUGCACCGUGAGAAGGGACAACAGUCCUCCCAACCCCGCCUUUCGUGAUCCUGUACGGGAGAGGGGCGAUCAGGUUUUUGGGGAGCACACUCCUGUGAUCGCUGCCAGCGACGACUUCCUCAACGACAACCUUCUUCCUCGACCUCAGUAACCUCUUCAUCAACGACAUGAGGGACAACAUCAACCACAUCGGUUCUGCUCCCGCUGUACAAUAUGUGAUUCUGUCCUCCCGGUUUAGUCCCAUCAUUACAUUGAUGUUUGCAAUUGUCGUCAUGAUCUAUUUACUGCUGAUUCAGAUUAAAUCUCAUACUAAAUUGCUCAUAUAUUCAACCAUCUAAUCCAAAAACCUGAUCACAGGCAAUUUACUUCGAGUUGUUUUGCUGCGCUUUUGAAGCCGCCUACUUUUAAGGUGGUGCAAUAUAAAAGGUGGGGCACAAGAGCAGUAUAUUGGUUUCAGAUCAUGUGCUGCUAUGACGCCACUAAGGGUAAGCCUGAGGGCGAUCUUAAUCCUACACAUCAGGAAGCUUUUCAGAACAUGGAUACCCUCUUCAAAGCCGCCCUGCUGAGUGUUCUUGACGAUUCCAUUGUGGAUUCGUAUAUGUUGUUUGACAGCGGCAAAGACAUGUGGGCUGCGCUCGAGGCCACGUUUGGGCCCUCGGGCGCUGGCAACGAGUUGUAUGUCAUGGAGCAAUUCUGUGACUACAAUAUGAUUGAUGAGCGCUCUGUUGUUCAGCAGACUCAUGAGAUACAGUCACUCUCUAAGGAACUUGAGUACUUUAAGUGUGUGUUGCCGGAAAAAAUUGUUGUUGGGACCAUCAUUGCCAAGCUUUCACCUUUGUGGAACGAUUUUGCUACUUCUCUGAAAAACAAGAGACAUGAGUUUUCUUUUUUGGAUCUCAUUAGCACUCAUGAUUUUGAGGAGAAGGCGAGAGCAAAAGACACACAUGCUCGGGUUGCCGAGGGAGCUUCUAGUGCCCACAUGGUACACGAGAAGAACUUCCAGCCCAACCAGCCCCAAAACAACAAGAACAAAUCUCAGGGGAAAGGUAAGUUCGAUGCAAAGAACAAGCCGUCACAUUCUACCAACUUCAAGAAGAAUUAUCAUAACGGGAAGGGAUACAAACCUCAAUUUUGGUAGCACCGCACAAAAUUUAUAUGGCUGCAUCUACCUGCUAUCAGCUAACCUCAUGGUGCUCCAGGUAUUCCUACAUUCGUAACUCGGUACAAUGACAACCGCAAGAUGAAAUUAGCUUAUUCGUACGUUGACUUGCUGAAUGCAGUGCAGAACGAUCCUGUCAUGUCUGGAGGAGCAAACAAGCAGUGCAGCCAAAGGUGGAAAUCAACCAAGGACUUAUGAAAUUAUAUGUAAUCUUCCUCAGGCAGGUCAGUAUCCCCCUCAUCUAGAUGAUCGUGUUUUGUCAUGCCGAGCUAUUGAUAUGUGCUACAGUUUUGCAACACCGUUUAAGUAUAGCUACUGUUUUCCUAUCUUUUCAGAUUCAGGACAAUGAAUAGGAUAUCAAGGGAACUGCACAAUACUGACCCAUGUUGAGUCAUCUCUAUUGCCUCAUGUGUUUUCUGCAAAUGUGUCAGCAUCAAUUGCAAGAUGAGGCAGCUAGAUAGCUGUGGAGUUGCCAACAUGCUCAAAGUGCUCGCAACAUUGAGAAGAAACAAGCAUGCCUAGGAAAUUAAUGCGUGCGCAGGGGAGGCCCUUUGCUCAGAGAAGCAUCGACCGAUUUUGUUUAUUUCCACACCUUCUCACAGUUUUGUAUAUUGGUUAUAGUAUUGUGAAUCAUUGAGAUGCAUAGACAUGCUGAACUUUUGUUCUUCUGAAUGUUAGUUUAAUGUGAGUGUCUGCAUCCAGUACCGCAUCCUCUAAUUUGGUGGAUGCACACAGAGAAAAUAAAUCUCCUUAAUUUACUCCAUAACCACCCUAUUAAAUAGGCCUAGUAACAAACCAGGCGCAUGCAGUGGCCGGCGGGCACAUGCAUCCUGCAUGCAUGGCCAGUCAUGCAGCAACGCAAAAGAAGAGAGCGGUUCUUGGGAAAAAGCGAGUAGUUAGUGCAGUGUGCCUUAUAAACACGAACAACUCGCUCUCCCGCUUCCGUCUCCCCACCCAAUUCCCCCCGCUCCCCAAUCUUCCUCACUCGUCUAGAAAACCCCACUCACCUUCUUCCUCACUCAUACAGAAAACGCCUACUCCACUUCUUCCACUCCUACAGAAAUCCCCAGACCUCCUUCUUCCCCACUCGCAGUGCCACUAGGCUCGUCUCUGGCUACUAUGCUCAAACCCGUGAGCUCGGCACGACACCCACAAGGAAAAUGGAGUCGGCUGGCCCCAACACCAAGAAGAUGAGGCUCCCGCCGGCGGCGACGCCGGUUGUAGAUCCCGCACCCGGUAGCAUGGGGAGAAGCGGCGAGCCCCCCACCCGGAUCUGAGGAACCGGUAGAAUUUCUGGUGGACCGCAUCAGCAAUCUCCCGGACUUCAUCCUUGAGGAGAUCAUCUCGCUUCUCCCCACCAAGGAUUGCUGCCGCACACAAGUCCUCUCAACUCGGUGGCGCCCUCUAUGGCGCACCGCGCCCCUCAAUCUCGACUGUCGUCAGAUAUCUGUCCUUCCUGAAUUUGAUCUCAUCAGAGCAAUUGUCUCUUCUCACCAGCAGGGCCCCGUUCAGUGCCUCUGCAUCCCGACAAGCUACCUGCUGUCCAUACCCGGCAAGGUGGACUCUUGGCUGACAUCCCCUGAAUUCGGAAAACUCCAGCAGUUUGAGUUCUACCAUUACCACGAAAGUUUCAUACCACGAACAUACCAAGAAUUUGUGCCCACACCACCGUUUUCCAUCUCACAGUUUUCCUCCUCUCUCCACACCGCCACCUUCGCCCGGUGCCAUCUACCAAAUGAUCUGGUACAAAUGCUUCGACUCCCACUACUAAUAAUCACAAGGAGUUGGUGUUUGGCUCCUCACCUUUUUAGGUACCGUAUAUUAUCAUCUACACAUUUGUAAUCAUAUGCUGCAUUUUUCAUUUAUGCGCAUAAGUUUUAUAUCAUCUUGGAGUACACUUUAGGUACUAAUAUUAUGUUAUAUGCUCAAUGAAGAGUUCGUCCAUUGAUAGCUUAUCAAUGCUGCUGGAUUCUGUAAAGAUCAUAUAUAUUAGAAUGUAUAGUUUUGAUCUAGACAUAAUUAUCGGCUUGCUGCGAUGCUUUCGAUCUCUGGAGAAUUUAUUGUCACAUCCCAGCUAGUCCAUGCAUUAGAGUGUUGCAUCAUGUCUACUUUCCAUCAAAAACUUGAAUUGGGGAAGCAAGAACCCCCCCAGAACCCCUCUGAAUUCAACUAAGCACUACUAGGGAAAAGCCUAUACACAGAAAGUUACUAGUAGCGAGGGUUAAAAACCCUCGCUACUGCUACUUACCAGCAGCGCAUGUUUUUAAGCCUCGCUACUACUAAGUUGAUAGCAGCAGCGCGGGUUUUAACCCUCGCUACUACUCAGCGGUCUCUACCGUGUCCCCUGGGACAUGCCAUAGUAGUAGCGUGGUUUUUUAAAACCUCGCUACUACCAAGUUUGAUAGCAGUAGCGUUGGUUUUUAGCCCUCGCUACUACUAAGUGGUGCCAUAGUAGUAACGAGGGGGUAAAAAACCACGCUACUACUAAAGGUCCCAUUUUCAAACUUUAACCCCCCCCCCCGUGGAUCGCCUUUUCAGUUUAAAAAAAUGAUGAAAAUGUCAAAAAAAUAAAAGAAAAUAAGUUUCCCAUGUGAUAUGUGGUCUAGUUGUUGGGAAAAUUUGCAAAUAUGAAUUUCGACUUUAUUUGCAAAAUCUCUCGAGAAUUUGUAAAAAUGGGCAUACCUUUUGCAUACUAACUCGGAUGAAAAAGUUUUUUAUAUGAAAAAUCAUCUACUCAAAAAGUUACAUCCAAAUUUAACGGGGGGAACCCCGUUAAACAUUUUCAAAAUCCUCAAAAACCUAACAGAAAAAAAGUUACGGGGCUUUUAAGAUCUAGAGUGGAAAAAAUCAAAAAAAAUUCAAACUGUGUGGUCAAACUGUGGUCAAACAAUGGUCAAACGAAUUAUUCUAGAAUAUUAGUGUUACUAAAUAAUUAUUUUAGUUUUUUUGAAUUUUGGUCAAAUCUGGUCAAACUAUGGCCAAACUGUGGUCAAACUGUGGUCAAACUGUGGUCAAACUAUGGUCAAACUAAUUAUUCAAGAAAUAUUAGUGUUACUAAUUUUUUAGAACAAUAGUUUCAAACUCAAAUAGUGAAAUGUGUGACUUCAUGCUCAAGCUAAAUUCCUGAGGUUAAUAGGAUUGACAUCUUACUAUUGUCAGGAAAACAACAAGUGCAGACUUGGAAACGAGGGAGAAUAGAACCCGGAAGUUAAGCAUGCUCAGGCUGGAGUAGUGAGAGGAUGGGUGACCGUCCGGGAAGUUAGAUGAUUUGGAAUGAUGAGGGGUGAUUAGAGAUGAAAUUGAGUAGCGAUGAGGGGUGAUUAGAGAUUUGAGGUUAAAAUAAUUCAGAAAUUUGAAAAAUAGGGAAAAAAAUCGAAAUAUUUUUUCGAAAAGAUUCAAAAAAACCUGCGCUAGUAGUAGUAGCGCGGGUUUUUACCCAUGCUACUACUAAAGGACGUAGUAGUAGCGCGGGUGGCACCCGCGCUGCUGCUAUAAGUUAGCUGUAGCGCCUUAUUAGUAGCGCCGCCCCCCGCGCUGCUAAUAGGCCCAAAACCCGCGCUGCUGCUAGGCUUUUCCCUAGUAGUGAAGGCUUACUAAAAAUAUUUUCAAUGAACCUGAAAUUCCCUUCUAAAAAGUUCACCCCCUUUGUCUUGGGUUAGAACCUCUGGCAAAAUUGGUGCACAUUUUUCUAGGUCAACAGAAGGUCAUUGAAUUAAAUCAUAUGUAAAUUGCAUUUGGGCAUUUAAAUGCUAGUAAAUAUUUUGAAUGCUCAAAUAAUUCUAAAAAUAAGUGUGGGCUGUUGGAUAUAUUCUAAACAGAGCCCCUGAUUAUUUUCAGGAUUUUUAGAAGUACCUAGCUAUUUUUAAUAAAGCCACAAACUUACAGAAAAAUAGAAAAAGAAAAACAAAGCAAAGCAGAGGCUUACGUGGCGCCCACCUGGCAAGCCCACCUGCCGGCCCAGCCCAGCCACCGCUCCAGCGAGCUGCUUGGCUUGGCCAGGCAGGCAGCCAGGUGCUAGACGUCGGCACCAGCGCGCGCCACGCAGCUGCCCGCCGCCCUGCUUCCUCCCCUUGCUGUUCUGCCGCCCUGGGUCGGUCACCCACUCCUUCCCCGAGCCCACAGACACACCCAUUCCUCCCCAGCUCCCCUCCCUCGCUCUCCCGCACAAUGGCAGACGCCACCGCAGCCGCACCAUUGCCAUAGUCGCGCUCUCCGUCGUCCCUGCGCCGUGCCACCGUGUCCAGAAGCUCCGCCGCCCUCCUCUCCUUCGAGCCGCGAGCACUCGCUUGCCCCAAAGCCUCUGCACCGACCUCGCCCGACUCCGUCACCGCCGAAGAUCCCCUUUGCCGUCACCGCCGCAACAGUUCGUCCCUGACCUCGCCGUCAGCUCCGUUGCAACCGCCGUAAGCCUAGCUACCUCCCCAUCCUCCUGUUUCCUCUCUCGAUCCCUGUAGCGACUGCAAGUAGCUCACCCGCACGCGCCUCCAUGGAGCUCGUCGCCGACGAGGCUCCGGCCACCCAACGGCCGCGCCACCUUGUCCACUAGCCCUAACGCACCCCCAGGAGCUCAAUGCCCUAACCCACGCGCCUCGCCGUGCCCCCUAGCGACGAGUCCGAGCUCACCCGAGCUCUGGUCGCCGCCAAACUCGUCGCCGGCGAUGUUUCCGGCAACCCCGAGCCCAACCACCGCCACCAAACACUACAUCUUGCUCACAGCUACGCGUAGACACUCCCCGCCGCCCAUUUGGUCGUUGGAAUGCGAAAUUGCACUCCCACCGCCCCGUUUGGCCUCACCGGCGGCUAAACGCCGGCGGGUUUGAGCCGCUGACCUUGACUGGGUGGGCCUGGGUUGACUUCCCCUGAGCCUAUGACAAGUGGGGCCUGCUCUGCUAAUUAACCUAGGGUUAGCGCUAACUAAUAUUAGUUAGUUAAACUAACUACUGACACGCAAGGCCCACAGGUCAGUUUGACCUGGACCAGCCCCGUUGACCGCUAACGUCACCCUAAUGCAGUGCUGACGCAUUAAGUCAAUUACUGGAAUUAUUCUUAUACAGGAAAUUCCAGAAAAUAACUAAAACUUCUAAAAAUCAUAGAAAAUCAACCGUAGCUCCAAAUCAAAUAAAUUGUAUAUGAAAAAUGAUCAGAAAAAUCUAAUCUAUCCAUCUGCACUGGUUUCAUGCAUGUUAGAACACAUUAACCUUGUUGUUUAGGUGAAACAAGUUAAUGCACUUUUAUGACCUCUUAAGAUGGGUUUGCAUUUGAAUCUUUGGUUCAAAUGGACUCAUCUCAAUAUGUUCUAGCUUGCAUUAGCCAAAACACAUUCUUAUUGCCAUGUCAUAGCAUGCAUCAUAUUGUGCAUUGAAUUGAUCGUGUUUCUUCUCUGUUUGUUGGUGUUGUUCCCCCUCGGUAGACGUUGUACCGACAUUGUGAUCGUUGACACCGAUGAAGACUCAAUGCUAUCUUCAGAAGUGCCAGGCAAGCAAAACCCCCUUGUUCAUUCCGAUACGAUCCUACUCUCUCGCUCCUGCUCUACUUUACUGCAUUAGGACAACAACGAUUCAUUUGUUACUUGGUGCGGUAGCUGAACCCCUUUAUCCUCUGCAUGACCUGUCAUUACCACAGUAAAUAGAUGAAACCCACUAGCAUGAGUAGGAGUUGUUUGAGCCAUGUUGUGCCUACUCAUUCAUGUUUGUUUAUCAUGCCUACUACUGUUUAGAGUUGAGUCAGGUCUGAUUCAUCGGGGAUGAAUCAGAGGUGUGUGAACAUGUCCUACUGUGUAUGAGCUAAGUGUGUGAACACGAUUUGGUAAAGGUAGCGGUGAGAGGCCAUGUAGGAGUACAUGGUGGGUUGUCUCAUUGAAGCCGUCCUCAGGAACUGAGUUCUGUGUUUGUGAUCCAUGAUUCAGCUACUACUAUGCAUCGGGCCCUAAAAUAUGAUCCCGCUCGACUUCUUAAUCACCCUUGUCCUCUGUCCAGGAGAUGCAAGUACUUUCUGGUGUUUGUAGUAUGCUGGAGGCCGUGCGUAGCGCUGGCCGGAGGGGUGGGCUAUGAUGCAGUAGGCACGUGGCUGGGUAUACCGGGCGCCCGUUUGGUGUCACGGAACCCUGUACACAUCGUUCGGGGCCGUAUGUGGCAACCUCGGCCGGACUCCCUGCGGAUGGAACCUGAAUGGGCGAUAAACCUGGACUAGAGACUUGAGUGUUUAGGUAGGUCGUGGUCUACACCCACGUCGGCUUUCUCUUGAAGUCUGCCGAGCACAUGUCGUGUGCAGACGCUAAGUGGUGGAAACAUGUAUGAAGAAAUGCACCCCUGCAGGGUUAACAUGAUCUAUUCGAAUAGCCGUGUCCACGGUAAAGGACUUCUGGGUUGCCUAUAACAGUUCAUAGACAAGUGAAAGUGGAUACUCUAAAAUACGCAAGAUAAGCGUGAGUGCUAUGGAUGGCGUUCUCGUAGGGAGACGGGAGCGGAUCCAUAGUGGUGUAUUGAUAUGGUGAAUAUGUGGACUCGUGUGCGCCACCUCAAGAGAGUGAAUUGUAGUCAUAGACUAGGAUAGCCCUAGAGUCGAAGCUGGCUUGCUGCAGUUAAAGCCCACCAUCCCCUUUGUUGAUACUGAUGCAUUUGUUGAUAGUUCUGAUUUAAGUCUUGCUGGGUACAUUUGUACUCAUGUUUGCCUAUUUUAUGUUUUUGCAGAGAGAAUUCGGUCUCGCUAGUAGUUUCGCGUGGACUUCAACAUUUAGCUUGUUACCUCAGCUACGAUCUUGUGCCCUCGGCAAGAUCUGGUAGUUAGUCAGGCUUCUCAGCCUUUUUCAUUUGUAGAUGUCUGUACUCAGACAUGUUAAGCUUCCGCUUGUGCUUUGACUUGAAUGCUCUGAAUGCUGGGUCGAGAGACCCAUGUUUGUAAUAUCUCGCUCCUCGGAGCCUAUUAAUAAAUACUUGAGUUGUAGAGUCAUGUUGUGAUGCCAUGUUGUAUUUGCACAUAUCGAGCAUAUUGUGUGUAUGUUAUUGAAAUGCUUGGUAUGUGUGGGAUCUGACUAUGUAGUUGUUUAUCCUUGGUAGCCUCUCUUACCGGGAAAUGUCUCCUAGUGCUUCCACAGAGCCAUGGUAGCUUGCUACUGCUCCGGAACACUUAGGCUGGCCGGCAUGUGUCCUUCUUCGUUCAUGUGUCUGUCCCUUCGGGGAAAUGUCACGCGAUGAAUACCGGAGUCCUGUUAGCCCGCUACAGCCCAGUUUACCGGAGUCCUGCUAGCCUAGUACUACAGCCCAGAUUCACUCGCUGAUGACCGACACGUUCGAUGCUGGGUCAUGGAUGCCUGUCCCUGUAAGUCUGUGCCACUUUGGGUUUACGACUAGCCAUGUCAACCCGGGCUCCUUAUCAUAUGUAUGCUAACGACACUAUCAUAUACGUGUGCCAAAAGGCGCAAACGGUCCCGGGCAAAGGUAAGGCGACACCCGUGGGCAUACCGUGCGUGAGGCUGCAAAGUGAUAUGAGGUGUUGCAUGCUAGAUCGAUGUGGCAUUGAGUUGGGGUCCUGACAGCUUUGGUAUCAGAGCUUUACUGCCUGUAGGUUUACCAAGCCAAACUGGUCGAAGAUGAGUCUGGAAAUUCUUUAGUUAUGUAAGGGAAUUGAUUGUGGGAUGGAACGUAAGGCUCUUUUUACUUCUUAUACCUUAUGCCUUCUGAUCCGAGUCAUCUUAUCUUCCCUGCGGGUUAAGGAGCUAGGCGUUCUCUUCUUUCUAUCAGGAUCACAUGUUACUAAUCCGUAGACUUAUAGAAUGUUGAAUUUAAGCCUCAGUUCAGUUUCUACUACUUCUGUGUGUUUAUAGUUGGUCUCAGAAUCUUCAUAUUGUGAUGAUCGAUUGGUUAUGCCACCAUUUUUGUCGCAUGUCUCCAAUCAUUUUGAGCAUUUACAGCCGUUAUGCUGUCCGAGUCACCGCAGGUUUCUAAAAAGUCUGAUGCAUUUGCAAAUCCCUUCCUCCUAUUCCUGAUGUUCCUUUGGGCCAGGUUAACCACACUAAUCAGUGAGUUGAGGUACUCUAUUGCCUCGACGUAUAUGUUGGAUCUAAUAUUAUGACCCUAGAUGUCUAGAGUAUCACCUAGUAAUCUAGCCAUGUUUUGUGUUCCUAGUGUGAUCAUUUUGGCCGUCAUCCUUGGAAGGAUCCGGUGAUGCAAUUUAGUUAGUAGGUAUUCUAUUCCUAGGGUUUUGAACCCGAGAUUCACCCUACUUACCUCAUGUUGAUAGUGUUUGCUAGUUCCUUUAGGAUAUUAGUAACCUUUGUGAUAGUCCUCGAGGUCCGUGGUAUUUCCUUCUUCCAAAUACCAUGAACCGCUUAUGGCAGAAGUUCUUUGAACCAAAAGAUCACAAACAGAGUACUCUUGAGGAGUUCUCCAUUCAUAAUCAUGACUCUGCCAGUCCUACCUCUCUACAUGAAUUGUCUGGAAGAAAUAUGUUGAACUCGUUCGACAUCCUAAUCCAUGCAUCCACAACUCGGGAAAUCAUAUGUUAUUUUGGGAUUGUCCCUCUUUAGUUGUCUUCUGACCCUCGUCUAUCAAUUGAUAGACAGGAGUAGUUGUGUAACCAUGUUCAUCGAUGCCUAGUAUUCUUGUGGUCCGUCGAGCCAUUCUAUUCUAGAAUGACUGGGAGAAACAAACUCCAGUACCUUGUCCAUUUCUAGGAUUGGGUCAAAGCAAUUGUAUUCCGCAGAUAAAAUUCCAAUCUUGCUUCUAAUCUGUUCCACCCCGGAGUAUUGCAAUCUUAUGUCAAGAAUGUCAUGGGAAUUGUACAACCUCUUAUGAAUUCUUGAUACAGUGAUACUCUCGCCAUCAUUUUUCAUUCCUCGGUCCCUGUGUUGUUGCAACCGGAAUACCGACAAAUGGAAUGUGAUGUGUGAAAUCCAUACUGCUAGCAACUCCGUUGCUUGGUAGUUAAAUGGACAACAACCUCAUUCUUAGCGUGCUGAUUAUUGAAUCAUCAUUCUAAGAUAGAUUGUGCUACCUAGUCCUUAUUUCUAGUGCACUCUUCGAUCAAUGAGUUAGGAUUUCAAUCCCUUGCCUAAUUGAUCACAUCAUCUUGCCUUGGAAGCAAGAUUGUUCUCGAGCUUAAUAACAUAUUGGUGGUUCGUAAUUUUCUGAAUAUCUUCUCGAAAGUAUUACCAGGUUGUCACCUGACCGCUAUGUAGGGUUCGUGAUCAAGUUGGUUUCUUGUAAACACCCUUCUCCAAGAAUCUGUGUUGGAUACCCUAAACUAGUUGGCUAAGCUAAACAACAACUUGGAGAGUUGGAUGAUAAAUGCUUGUCCGACUUAGUUCAUUUUAAGGGAUAUCUUUGUGUGUGUGUGUGUGUUUGUUGAAGAAAGAUGAUAUCUUCAUCGAUUGGUCCCUGUGAUCAGUUGUUGGAUCUAUUAUCUUAACCAAUCUUUAAUUUGAGCAUGGGCUCUUGUCAAGUCAAAUCAGAACCAACGAUAUUCGUAAUGUUGUCUUACUCAUGGUUGAUUCCUCGAGCAUACACCAUUAUACGUUUGGGUCUGACCAAUGUUAUCACCUUGUUCACAUAAUUAUGGAAUUCCAUUUAUAUGGAAAUCUCGAUAACUUGUUGUUGAGCCCGUCGAAAACAUCCUUAUUCCCUCCAAGAUUUUGUUGAACACUAAGCUAGUGUUGGAAACUUCUGAAAGCAUUUCUUCAUGCUAGUUCAUGAAGCAUAUGUUCGGAUGAAAGAAGUGACUUCCUCUAGAUCAUGUGCAUUUAAUGCAAGUUGCCGCCAUGAAUUAGAGAAGUCAAUGUUGCUUCCUUUGGAAUCAUUCGAAAUCAGUCAUGCAUGUGUGAAGUAUUCCAUGGUCUGAUAGACUGAUCAUCUUCAUUCUAUACGUAUCCCUAGCACACCAAGCCACUGAUUGAUUUGUUCAAGGAGAAGAAGUUCCUUCUUAAGAGCUAGACUUAUGCAAGGACUUCGAUAUCCUCGUUGAUGGUUUCCGACCUGAACUCGAUAGUGUUUUAUUAUAAGACUACUACAUGGUCAUGCUUGUCUGGGACAACGUGUUCUCAUGUGUGUAGCAGAACUAUCUCAUGUUUUGGAGCUUGCUACCGUAGUUCAUCCCCCAAGAAUCUCACAAUAUCAUCUCGUCGAUUUGUGUUGCAACCUUUUCCUUUUCGGACAUGUUGUCUGAAGUAUCCUGUUACUAACCAGAUCUGAAUCUCAGGCAGAUAUGAUGGUUGGAACAUUCCAAUAUUUGCAUUUUGUUCCUAGCUUGCACCGUCUUUGUGCCAUUUCACUAUGGGCUGCCUUCUUAGUAACUCCUGUUCAGGAUCAUCCCCAAAAGUGGUCCUACCAUGGGUCCCAUCCAUUCCCAAUGAUAAGCAAAAAUCAUCCAUUGCGUUGUCCUCAACAAGGUAGUCCACAUCAUCCAUCCUAGUCAGAGUAUGCCAUUCCUUCGAGCUCUUUCGAUCGAUCAAUUGUAAAUUGCCUUAAGAUGGUAUGAAGAGUUUCAAUGAUCUAUGGAUCAAAAGUAAUUCUUUUUGCCACUUAAGGGAGCAGUUCAACGAGUCACCUUUUUCAAGGUGCCCCAUUACGGGAUCAUGGAAAUUAUUUCCUCGCCACCUUGACACCAUCCACCAUCUUUCUAAGAGUGGAAUUGUUGCCCACCAAAACAAACCCCGUCGUUUGUUCUUCCAUCCCUCUCGAUGUGUUUUGUGUCUCAACUCAAGAUGUUUCAACAUCUCAUUCCGCGAGUUGAGAUUGUAUAGUUCGAUCUUUGAGAAGUUCAAUCCUAGUAGAGUUCCUUUCCACCAUCGUCGUCAUGUGGAUGAAGAUCUCAAAAGCGAGGAUGUCAAGAUCAACGUAUGCAACAAAUCAACAACCUUAUGAGGUGCAACCUGGAUCGUGAAGAUUGUAUUGGUCUUGUGCCCCCCUCCGUCUUCUUACCUCACGUCUUGAAUCUCGGGACGAGAUUCUUGUUUAGUGGGGGUGAGUUGUCACAUCCCAGCUAGUCCAUGCAUUAGAGUGUUGCAUCAUGUCUACUUUCCAUCAUAAACUUGAAUUGGGGAAGCCAGAACCCCCCAGAACCCCUCUGAAUUCAACUAAGGCUUACUAAAAAUAUUUUCCAUGAACCUAAAAUGCCCUUCUAAAAAGUUCACCCUCUUUGUCUUGGGUUCGAACCUCUGGCAAAAUUGGUGCAGAUUUUUCUAGCUCAACAGAAGGUCAUUGAAUUAAAUCAUAGGUAAAUUGCAUUUGGGCAUUUAAAUGCUAGUAAAUAUUUUGAAUGCUCAAAUAAUUCUGAAAAUAAGUUUGGGCUGUUGGAUAUAUUCUAAAUAGAGCCCCUGAUUAUUUUCAGGAUUUUUAGAAGUACCUAGCUAUUUUUUAUAAAGCCACAAACUUACGGAAAAAUAAAAAAAGAAAAACAAAGCAAAGCAGAGGCUUACCUGGCGCCCAUCUGGCAAGCCCACCUGCCGGCCCAGCCUAGCCACUGCUCCAGCGAGCUGCUUGGCUUGGCUAGGCAGGCAUCUAGGUGCUCGACGUUGGCACCAGCGCGCGCCACGCAGCUGCCCGCCGCCCUGCUUCCUCCCCUCGCCGUUCUGCCGCCCUGGGUCGGUCACCCACUCCUUCCCUGAGCCCACAGACACACCCUUUCCUCCCAAGCUCCUCUCCCUCGCUCUCCCGCACCAUGGCCAACGCCACCGCAGCCGCACCGUCGCCGUAGUCGCGCUCUCCAUCGUCCCUGCACCAUGCCACCGUGUACAGAAGCUCCACCGCCCUCCUCUCCUUCGAGCAAGCCGAGCCCCGAGCGCUCUCUUUCCCCGAAGCCUUUGCACCGACCUCGCCCGACUCCGUCACCGCCGAAGAUCCCCUUUGCUGUCACCACCGCAACAGUUCGUCCCCGACCUCGCCGUCAGCUCCGUUGCAACCGCCAUAAGCCUAGCUACCUCCCCAUCCUCCAUGUUUCCUCUCUCGAUCCCCAUAGCGACUGCACGUAGCUCACCCACACGCGCCGCCGCGGAGCUCAUCGCUGACGAGGCUCCGGCCACCCAACGGCCGCGCCACCUUGUCCACUAGCCCUAACGCACCCCAGGAGCUCAACGCCCUAACCCACGCGCAUCGCUGUGCCGCCUAGCGAUGAGUCCGAGAUCACCCGAGCUCCGUUCGCCGCCAAACUCGUCGCAGGCGACGUUUCCGGCAACCCCGAGCCCAACCACCGCCACCAAACACUGCGGCUUGCUCCCAGCUACGCGUAAACACUCCCCGCCGCCCAUUUGGUCGCUUGAACGCGAAAUUGCACUCCCACUGCCGCGUCUGGCCUCGCCGGCGGCUAAACACCUGCGGGUUUGACCCGUUGACCUUGACUGGGUGGGCCCAGGUUGACUUCCCCUGAGCCUAUGAUAAGUGGGGCCCGCUCUGCUAAUUAACCUAGGGUUAGCGCUAACAAAUAUUAGUUAGUUAAACUAACUACUGACACGCAGGGCCCACAGGUCAGUUUGACCUGGACAACCCCCGUUGACCGCUGACGUCACCCUGACGCAGUGCUGACGCAUUAAUUGAAUUACUGGAAUUAUUCUUAUACAGGAAAUUCCAGAAAAUAACUAAAACUUCUAAAAAUCAUAGAAAAUCAACCGUAGCUUCAAAUAAAAUAAAUUGUAUAUGAAAAAUGAUUAGAAAAAUACAAUCUAUCCAUCUGCACCGGUUUCAUGCAUGUUAGAACACAUUAACCUUGCUGUUUAGGUGAAACAAGUUAAUGCACUUUUAUGACCUCUUAAGAUGGGUUUGCAUUUGAAUCUUUGGUUCAAAUAGACUCAUCUCAAUCUGUUCUAGCUUGCAUUAGCCAAAGCACAUUCUUAUUGCCAUGUCAUAGCAUGCAUCAUAUUGUGCAUUGCAUUGAUCGUGUUUCUUCUCUGUUUGUCGGUGUUGUUCCCCCUCGGUAGACGUUGUACCGACGUUGUGAUCGUUGACACCAAUGAAGACUCAAUGCUAUCUUCAAAAGUGUCAGGCAAGCAAAACCCCCUUGUUCAUUCCGAUACAAUCCUACUCUCUCGCUCCUGCUCUACUUUACUGCAUUAGGACAACAACGAUUCAUUUGUUACUUGGUGCGGUAGCUGAACCCCUUUAUCCUCUGCAUGACCUGUCAUUGCCACAGUAAAUAGAUGAAACCCACUAGCAUGAGUAGGAGUUGUUUGAGCCCUGUUGUGCCUACUCAUUCAUGUUUGUUUGUCAUGCAUGCUACUGCUUAGAGUUGAGGCAGGUCUGAUUCAUCGGGCAUGAAUUAGAGGUGUGUGAACAUGUCCUACUGUGUAUGAGCUAAGUGUAUGAACACGAUUUGGUAAAGGUAGCAGAGAGAGGCCAUGUAGGAGUACAUGGUGGGUUGUCUCAUUAAAGUCGUCCUCAGGAACUGAGUUCUGUGUUUGUGAUCCAUGAUUCAGCUACUACCAUGCAUUGGGCCCUGAAAUAUGACCCCGCUCGACUUCUUAAUCACCCUUGUCCUCUGUCUAGGAGUUGCAAGUAGUUUCUGGUGUUUGUAGUAUGCUGGAGGCCAUGCGCAGCGCUGACCGGAGGGGUGGGCUGUGAUGCGGUAGGCACGUGGCCGGGUAUACCGGGCGCCCGUUUGGUGUCACGGAACCCUAUACACAUCGUUCGGGGCCGUAUGUGGAAACCUUGGCCGGACUCCCUGCGGAUGGAACCUGAAUAGGCGAUAGACCUGGACUAGAGAUUUGAGUGUUUAGGUAGGUCGUGGUCUACACCCACGUCGGCUUUCGCUUGAAGUCUGCCGAGCACAUGUCAUGUGCAGACGCUAAGUGGUGGAAACAUGUAUGAAGAAGUGCACCCCUGCAGGGUUAACAUCAUCUAUUCGAAUAGUCGUGUCCGUGGUAAAGGACUUCUGGGUUGCCUAUAACAGUUCAUAGACAAGUGAAAGUGGAUACUCUAAAAUACGCAAGAUAAGCGUGAGUGCUAUGGAUGACGUUCUCGUAGGGAGACGGGAGCGGAUCCAUAGUGGUGUAGUGAUAUGGUGAAUAUGUGGACUCGUGUGCGCCACCUCAAGAGAGUGAAUUGCAUUCAUAGACUAGGAUAGCCACCGAGUCAAAGCUGGCUUGCUGCAGAUAAAGCCCACCACCCCCUUUGUUGAUACUGAUGCAUUUGUAGAUAGUUCUGAUGUAAGUCUUGCUAGGUACAUUUGUCCUCACGUUUGCCUAUUUUAUGUUUUUGCAGAGAGACUUCAGUCUCGCUAGUAGUUCCAUGUGGACUUCGACGUUUAGCUUGUUACCUCAGCUACGAUCUUGUGCCCUCGGCAGGACCUGGUAGUUAGUCAGGCUUCUCAGCCUUUUUCAUUUGUAGAUGUCUGUACUCAGACAUGUUAAGCUUACGCUUGUGCUUUGACUUGAAUGCUCUGAAUGCUGGGUCGAGAGACCCAUGUUUGUAAUAUCUCGCUCCUCGGAGCCUAUUAAUAAAUACUUGAGUUGUAGAGUCAUGUUGUGAUGCCAUGUUGUAUUUGCACAUAUCGAGCAUAUUGUGUGUAUGUUAUUGAAAUGCUUGGUAUGUGUGGGAUCUGACUAUGUAGUUGUUUAUCCUUGGUAGCCUCUCUUACCGGGAAAUGUCUCCUAGUGCUUCCACUGAGCCAUGGUAGCUUGCUACUGCUCCGGAACACUUAGGCUGGCCGGCAUGUGUCCUUCUUCGUUCCUGUGUCUGUCCCCUUCGGGGAAAUGUCACGCGAUGAAUACAGGAGUCCUGUUAGCCCGCUACAGCCCGGUUUACCGGAGUCCUGCUAGCCUAGUGCUACAGCCCAGAUUCACUCGCUGAUGACCGACAUGUUCGAUGCUGGGUCAUGGAUGCCUGUCCCUGUAAGUCUGUGCCACUUUGGGUUUACGACUAGCCAUGUCAGCCCGGGCUCCUUAUCAUAUGGAUGCUAGCGACACUAUCAUCUACAUGUGCCAAAAUGCGCAAACGGUCCUGGGCAAAGGUAAGGCGACACCCGUGGGAAUACCGUGCAUGAGGCCACAAAGUGAUAUGAGGUGUUACAUGCUAGAUCGAUGUGGCAUUGAGUCGGGGUCCUGACAUUUAUACAUAGAGGUGAUGAUUUCAUGCACAUUGAAAGCCCGUAUGUAUUGUACUAGAAUUAACUGUUCAGCUGUCGUUCUUUCGACAUACUUUUUUUCAGACCUUAACUGUUUUCAAUCUUCAUGUCUACUUAGGCAGAACCACAUGGAAAAAAACAUAUAACCAAUCGUUGGCGUAAUAAACACAAGGAUUUUCUCAGUUCUCAUGACAUUCGUUUGAGGACAAUAACGAUGGGAGGAUAUGCAUCCAACCAGGAAAACAGAAGCUUUGUCACAUUCUUCCUGUUGAAUGAGAGGUUACUAUUGUCCAUGAGGCUUAAUUUUUACAGAAAGAGAUUUCUCACGGACGAACAUGUUCAACAGCAAAAAAAGAAGUUUCAGGUGGACAAAUGGGCUUCUAAAUGUGCUCAGCUUCUAUUUACAACAAGUUGUAGACAUCCUAAAAUAAAUUUUUUUGCACAGGAUGUUGAUUUUAUGGAUCAGACCGAUCCAUUUGUUUGUGACUACAAAAAAGAGUGGUUGGGUUAGAUGUUACUGU
rnacentral:lncRNA from 1 species